UUAUGUGUGCUGUAUGAAUGUCCUCUACCUACAUGCAUAAUUUGGUUUUAUGCAUGCAUGAAGGUAUCUUUCUGGUUAGGCAGGUUGUUCACCUGGAUGCUUCCUUUGUUUGCAGCUUCAGCAGUUGCUCUUUUCUACAACAAGGUCUGGUUAUUGGGAUUUUGUGGAGUCUUGAUCUUUUUCAUCCUUUGUCGGUCAUAUUGAUGGUUACCUGUAGAGUUUUGAGGCAUUCCAGGCGCCAUGGCGGAAUGAUGUAAAUGCCUGAGUUUUGUUCUGACAGGAUUGGUAGAAGCCCGGGAUAAGUUUGCCAGUCCCCUCCCCCCCACCCCAACCUUUUUUCUUUUCUCCUUCACGGAAGCAACUUAUUUUUAAAUGAAAUGGAACGAGGUCGAAGCCAAGAAGGUGGCAGCCCGCUCAUCUCACCUCAGUGUUUGUGAUAUGUGAAGAUAACAAUUAGGAUGUUCUUUCCAAAGGGAAACAACUCCUAAUGUGAAGUGUUGCAAGUUGAGAAGUACAAAUAUAUCCCCGAUGUCAAAAAGAACCUUCAACUCCACUGACCUUUUAAGUGUAAUAUAUGCAGGUUCUUUUGGAGCGUCUGCAAUGUAGUAGUACAAAGCAAAAGAUGUCAUGCAGAAAUGGAAUAUAAACUAGUAUCAUAAAUUACUCAAGUAAAAGAUGAAUACUUGUAUAGAUGAAUUCAGCUUUAUCAUCUCUUUUUUUAAUUUUUAACUGGUAUUUGAGUUGCUUGAUGAAUAAGAUAACAAAGUCAUUAAGAUGCAGGUACAAGUGCAUUUCUCAGGUAGGGAAGAAAAUAAUAAUAAUAAUAACGAUCAUGCUGACAGUCAUGAACAAUUUGGAGAUCAUAUUAUAACUUUAUAAGAAAGUUAGCUGAACAAUCCAUUUCCUCAAAGUUGGACUGCUCCUACUUAGGCUUCAGAGUUAAGGGCUGAUUGGUUUUUUAACUCAAUGAUUUAAUUGCCGUAAUUUUAAUUAGUUAAGUCAUUAAAUUUAUUUAUUUUUUCAAUUUAAUGAAAAUUUCUGUUAAGUGGUUAAGUUAUUAAAUUAAUUUUUUUAGUUUUUUACUUAACCUAAAAGUUUGAAUGAUACAUUAAAAAAUAUUCUCUAAAAAUAUCUCUAUCUAAUUAGUUAAUUUUCAUCCUUAUUUAAAUAAAAUUUAAUAAUUAACAUUGUUACUCAUUUGUAUAACAUGUGAUAAUAUAGUGGUAAAUUAUUAUUAUUUUUAUCUUUUUUUUUCAAAUUAGAAUUAUUUGUCUUCAAAAUUUUUAUGCAUACAUUUCGUAUAAAAAUAUCAUGAACUACAAUAAAAAUUGAUUAACAUGUACUAAUUUAGAAUAUAUUGGAUCAUAUUUAAUUGAUAUAUAAUUUAUAUUAUGAUAAUAUAUUAUCUUAUUUAAAUUCUUUGAGAUAUUUGUUAUUUCACAUUUAUAAUUUGUAAGGACAUAAAUGGAAAAAUAUUAGUUUUCAGAUUUUUUUAAGUUAAAAAAACAACUUAAUAAUUAUUUUUAACAAUUCAGACUCAAAUAUAUAUAUCAUUUUGAUUCAGACAUUCAAUUCUACUUGAAUUUAGAGUAAUUCAGGUCUAUUAGAUUUCAGAUAAAAAAAUAAACACCACCUUAAUCACAAAAGAACCAACCAGUUCUCUCAAUAAUCAUAAGCUAAGAAGUUAGACAUUAUGCCCUUUGCUUAUUCAUUAUCAGAAUGUAUAAUACAAAAGGUUUACAUCUAAACUAGUAGAAGCAUUUUCAAUGCAAAAAUGAUCAGGAGAAAAGCCUUUCUCAUUCCCUGUGAGUUAGCACGGGUCUUAGAAAGAGUGCUCGGACAUAAAGUCAACUCUUCAAUUGAGCUGCCUAGGCUUUUCUUUUCCAGUUGAUGAGGUGGAAAAUCGGUGCUCUGUCAGAGAAAAUUCUGAAACCAUCAUCGGAGGUGAAUUCAUACUUCAAGGCAGGUCCAAGAAGCCAUGAAAUUGCAGCUCCACCAAGCAAGCCUCCUACCUGACAUUAAGCAAUGUGCAUACCACACAUGGAUAUGUGCAUAAACAAAUCAAUUGAUAUCAGCGACAUAUAAUAGCGACUUGCAUAAAGAAAAUCUGUAUGAUAAGCACAUGAGAAAAAACUAGGCCAGCAUAUAAUGGGGCUUUUUGUGCGUCAAAGUCGAUGGCUCUCCCAUGGAUACCUGUGAGGGUUUUGAUUUGGGAGAAUAAGUAUAAUUCUAGGGAAGUUUAGGUAAUUCCUAACAGUUGUAGAGGCACUCUUCUCCCUGGCAUAUCCUAGAGAAACAGGUGAAGUAGAAAUGUCAUUACAUGUAUAAGCCAUUUAUAUGUAAAACAUAAGUAAUUAGGUGUCAUUCAUUUUGUGGUUAUAACCUAGUCAAGUCAUUGACACAUCAUCCAAAUGUUGGUUAUAUAACUCAUCAGCGAUGAUAGACACACAACAGCUGUUUGUUGGCAACAUUUUGCAGUGCUAUUUGAUAAGGAGAUUUUUCAGAAUACUAUAAAUAACCCAUGAUUCAUAUCUCCAAUAUAUUCUAUGACAUUGUAAGCAAGACAAGACUCUCGCGGAACCUCCCUAUGAUUGCCUCAAUCCCACUGAAAUCAUAAUUUCUAACACCGAGAUAUACGCAGAAAAGAAACUUUAUAAAACAAUAGCAAAUGCGCAAUUGCCAAUGGAUGAAGCAGUCAAAAUCGGAAUCCGCCAGAAUAUUAAAGGCCUAGAUCUACAAAGAUUCAGUAACCAGUUCUAACUUUAUGCAGAAUAGCAAACACUUGUGCCACAUUGGCACAAUACGGUCAGAGCUGCAGUAUCACAACAACUGAACCAAGGCAGAAAGUUUUGGCCUUUGAGGAAAGGAAAAGCCAAUCCAAAUGCUUGUUAUCCUUAUUUUUAACAUAGAUACUGAAACUGAUUUUAAAAUAUAUGCAUUUUUAUAAAAAAAAAAAAAUUCCAUAUUUUUUUGGUUUUUCGGGGAAAAAAUAUCACAUACUCAGAGAGAAAACAAGAGAGGGUGGGACUUGUAUACUUACAUGUCCCCAGUUAUCAAUGCCUUUAAUCAGAAGUCCAAUAGCCUGCAUCACAUUUGCACAUUACCAUGUAGCUUAGACAUGCGCGCGCGCGCGCACACACACACAAAAAAAAAAAAAAAAUUCUAACAUAUCAGUUCAUUUGUUUGGAAGGAUCAAUAAAAUAACAUGUUUCCCCAGUCAAUGUAGGCCUGCUUUCUAUUUUGACAAUGUUUGCAAAGCUGCAGAACAUACCAUAUUAAAGAUAAUCACUUUUGCUAAAUGCUGUAGCUCUUCUUUGCUACCUCCAAGGAUGUUUCUAUGUCUCAUGAUAAAUACAGCAAAAGAUCCAACCUAUAUAAAAAAUAUAAACUAAGUACAUCAGAAAGGAAACAAUUACCUUGAAAAAAAUUCACGGUAAAAAAUUCAACCAACAUAAAUUCAAUCAGAAAGGAAACAACCUACGUAAAAAGUUCAAUCAGUGAACUCCACAAUAAAUUUGAGGCAUUAGAGUGUUGAUUCACUGGUCAAAAGAGCAUUAAGAUUGAAAUUGUAUGGCACUGAAACUUAAAAGAGCCACAAUUUAAAAUGGUGACAAGUUCAUUUAUAUAUUAUCGCCAAGGGUGAGAGUGAAGGGGGAAGGGAGGGGGGGGGGGGAGAGGGAAAUCAAACGUCAAAACUGCAUGUGAAAUUGUAAUAAAUAACAAUACAGGGGCACAUGAUCUAGCAUUAUUGAGAAAGGGAGAGCAAGAUUGCAUCAAGGGCUGUAAAUGUUUCCACUUUCCAGGUUCUUAAAGAAGAAAACUCAGAAAUAAUUAUAAGCUUGAAAACAUACAGCACUGAACCUGAUCGAGUUAUUGAUUAUUUGCCUUACGGUUGUAACUUGGGUACAUACUGCAACAGAAAGGAGAUUCAAUUUUUGCUGAAAAGGAGUUCAAAAUGACAUACCAAUCCAAAGAUUGCUCCUGAUGCACCAACAGCAGGGGAAUUACAGAAUCGAUAACUCAUAGCUGAACCUAAUUUCUUCAAAGAACUAAGUCAGAAUAAUAAUGGGUAAACAAUUUCAUCACUUGUGCAAGUGAGGUUAUGAGUUGUUACUUGCAAUUGCCGAGGAGAAGUACACUCCAAGAUAUCUCCUUGGACCACAGAUUUUCUCCAUAGUAGGACCGAUAGAGUUCAAAGAAUAACAAUUGACCUAUACAACGUAAUUUUUUUUCUUAUCAGACCAACAUGAAAAGGAUCAACAAUGAUGAGAAAUAAUUCAAGCCAAAAACUUCAGACCAGACCAUUAGGUGUACAAUAUUUGCAUGCAAGAAGGCGCUCGUGGCCAGCCUCCAGAACUGCCCUUUGUCAAUUAGACUAUUAAUCUGCAUACUUAAAAAGUUAAAAUAGGAAAUCAAGCAAAAAGGGGUAAUUCAAAAGGGGAAUAUUCAAAAGUCUACCAGAAUUAAUGUUUAAACUUUCUUCUGUAGUCUAAGCAUCUCACCUUGGCUCCCCACAAAAGAAGCUUGUCUUGUGUUGCAAAUUGUGCAAUAUAAACUCUAGAGAAGAAAAAGAAAUAGAAAGCUAUUACUCUGCUUAGCACUCUCUCAGAAAUUCGGAAAUGAAGACUGCGGCCUAAGCUAAAUAACUGAAAUCAGGUAAUGUAGAAAAAUUGUAAAGAAUUGGGGAAUUUGUUUAUGUAUCGUACUUAUUAUAUAGAUAAAUGAUAACUACAAUUUAUUUCAUACAAAUAUAAGUGAUACUCACAAGACAUUAACUGCAAGGAGGAUAUUCGUCCAUUGCCUUCCAAUAAAUAAAUUUCUCCUGGCGGUCUCCAAAUGUGAUGUACCCUCAUGUCCAGAGUUUUUCCUAGUACCUCCACCAUUGAAAAAAGAUAAUGAGGAUGCAAAUGCAUCAUUUGUGAACUGGAAAAAAUUGACUCCAUUAAACCGGAAGGCGUUUUCACACCAUUGAUCCUUCAAUCUGGGUAUAUGACAGAGACGAGAGAGUUUCUGCUCAACAAGAGACAUCAGAUGGCAGAGAGAAAUUUUGACACUCAAACACGUAACAGAUGUUGCAGUAGAAACAACUUAACCAUUCCACAUCAAUCAAGAAAUGACUAAGGAAUUUCAGCAUUAUACAGACAAAUUUGACCUUACAGAGCCAUGGGUUGCCAAACAUAAAUAUUCUAUGAAUUCCGUAGACAUACAACUAAAGAUAAAAAAGUCUAACAAAAUGAACCCACGUUUUCAAUCAGGAUUUAUACAUUCAAAACUAAAUGGAGCUACAAAGUCUAUGCAUUUGAUACUUUUUAUUACAUUUCAACCAAAGAUUAAAGGGUUCAGAUUCUCAUUUCUUAAAAAAUUAAAAAUUGGUGGAACAACAAAAUGGCAUUACAAUUCCAUUAAUUACAAACUCUGCACUGUCCUGAUAAUAUCACAUAUGAAAAACGGCAUGGUAUAUCUGUAACUGCUGUGCUUCUGAUUAAACUCGAAGCACAACAGCUAAACUGUUUGGCAAACAUCGCACUUCUACUUGGCAGAAUGCUGACAAAAACAAGAAUAAACCGGUUCCGGUUUACUUAAUUGCAAACACAAUAAAUUGGCACAAGCUUAUAGAUGUUUUUGUCAGCACUCUGUGAGCUCCGUAUCUCUUUAGCAUUUUUCACUAAUGAAUUAUUAACCACCCAACUACUUAUACAACCAGUGAUUUCACAUUCAAUCCAUGGCUCAUAAGUCAGUGGCUUUAUUGAAAUUUCCCAAUCAAGUCAAAUUUAUAAUUUUUUCCCCUUUUUAUCAAUUGAAUUGGACAGAGUAACAUAAUUACUUAAAAAUUCAGAGAGUGUUAACAUACCUACAUAACAAAUUUGCAUUGGCAGUGAAAAAACAGAAAAAUUGGUUAAAAGAAAGGGGUAAUUGAGAAAUUGUACCUUGACGGAGGAAUGGAGAAGGCGGCGGGCGUGGAGGGGCUGGUGGUGGAGAAGACGACGAGAGAGGCUGAGAGAGAGAGAAUGUUUGGCUGUUGUUGUUAUCAGAUUCAACGGCGGUCUGAUCAGCCAAUCGAACGGCUCACGAUGAUGAGGCAAAGCUCUGCCUGAUGCUGAUGAUUCCAUUUUGUUUCUCUCUUUCAAGUCUCAACAAACCUUCGUUUCAAAGUAACAAAACUAACAAGAAGGCAAUGGUUUUUAUUUAUUUUUUUUUUAAGAACGCCUUUCCACAUUCGGCCUUUUUAACCUUUUUAAUAAUAAUAAUACUAAUUUUUUUUUUGAGAUUUUCGACAUUUGUGUACGAACAUAUCCAAAUUUCAUUAAAUUAAAUAAAACUCUCUUAUUUUAAAAAAAAGAUUAAAUAAUUUUUUUAAAUUUUUUCUGUGAAACAGAGCCUCGUCACCGUAGAUAAAGGAUAUAAUUAUCCUAAAAAAUAGUCUACGCCAUUAAUUUUAAAAAUAAAAAGUUUAUGUGACCAUUUUCGCUAAAUUGCUCUCUAUGAUCGUUUCAUUAAGGAUUUAAAUUCAGUCUUAAGCUGACUUUUUUUCUAAGUUUUUAAAAGUAUAAAAUUGACAGUUAUUAAAUAAGAAUAUAAAAUUAAUUAAAUCUUAACCGUACAUUGUUAUACAUGCAUGAGCUAAUUUAGUACUCAACUUUUUAUAAUCUUCUACCACAUGUGCAUAUAUAAUCUUUCGGCAAAUUGUCUAAUUCUCAAAUCUAAAUAUUGAAUAACUUAGAAAUAAAAAUUUAGAUAAGAAAAAUAUAUCCGCUAAUAACUCAUUAGUUGAGUUGAUUGAUAUUUUUCCUUUAUUGUUAAGAAAAUUCAAAUAUCUCAUAGUCGUGUGGGUAAAAUGGAGACAAGUUAAAUAAAUAAAUAAAAAAGAGAAAAAAGAGGAACAAAUCAUAUAACCAUAUGUAUUGAGGCGGGAAUGAAAGAAACAACAUUAGCAAGUAUCAAACCAAACAAAUAAGUAAACAAAUUAACAAAACAAAGCCUCUGGUUGGAAUUGGGAUUCUGGAAUCUGCAACAUGAAACAAUGUCAUACUCGUACGUAUAUCAUGGAUAUAACAAAAUAAAUAUGAAAAAAAAAACCAGAUUUAUGAAAAAAAAAAUCAUUAAUUGCAGUUAUGCCAUCUCUUCUAUAUUCAACCCAACGACUGAAAGGUGCAAAAAGUAUAAUUAAUUUGAUUAAUAACAUAAAUAUGUAACUAUGAUAAUUUUAUUAAAAAUGAAAUAGAAAUUAAUUUGUAAGGUAUUCAUAAUAUUCUUAGGGGUGCUAUUGCUAUCUUUAAAUCAAUGUAUGAAUUAUGUACAUACCUGCCUAGCUAAUAAGAAACAACAUAAAGCUAGCAAUGCUCGCACCACUUCCAAUUAACUUGACCAUGAUCAUUGACAUAGUAAUUAAAUAGCUAAAGAAUGAGCCAAGAGUGCCACCAAGGUCUAGAAGCUGCAAAAUAAAUAAAUAAAUUACAUACAAAGUCAGCUUGUAAUGCUACAACAAAAUAAUCAAAAUAUUUGUCAUUACAAAUAGAAGGGCUAUCAUCUAUUUGAUAUAAUGAAUAUAGUAACUAUUACUACCAUAGUUUAAUUUUAUUAUUAGUGUCACAUGAUACGACAUUCAUAAAUAAUGCUUAAUAUAAUAUAAUAAGUUUUAUUUAUAAUUAUGAAAAAAAGGAUUUGGAUUAAAUUAAGGUAAUGAUAUAAUUUUAUAAUCAUAUUGCGAUCACAUACUAUAUUAAAAAAAAUAAGGAGAUUGUUAAUUUUCUUUCUUCUGAAAUUAAUAUAUACCAUUUAUUCUCCUAUUAUUUUCAUAAUAGCCAAUAACCAUAUGAUAUUAUUUUACAUUAUUACCCUUAUUUUUAAAUAUAUUUUAUUUAUAUUUAUCAUAAAUUAAAUAAAUCAUUUAAAUGAAAAUUGAAAUAAAAAAUUAUAUAUAUAUAUAUAUAUAUAUAUAUAUAUAUAUAUAUAUAUAUAUAUAUUCAUGUGAUGACCAGAAGCUACCGCUAUGAGAAGCAUUAUUAUUACCAUUAUUAAUCCUGCUAUCGAUAGAAUCAAAAUGCCUCCGUGCCCAUUCUGAUAUUGCACGAAAUGGCCUUAAUCCCAUCAAAUGAUUCCACCACAACUCAAUAUUAUUCGCCAGUUCUUCUUCAAACCUGUAAGUAUUAUUAUUAAUAUAAUAGCGAUUAUUAACAUAAUUAUUAUUCUCACCGUCUCCAUCAUCUCGCAGCUCAUGAUGAUGAUGAUGAUCAUUCAUAAUGUUUCCACCACCAGAACCAAUAAUAGAAUCUUUCAACUCGUAACGACAAACGGGGCACGUAGUGCUGUAAUGUCUCAGCCAUGGGACAAUGCAAUCAGAAUGAUACAAAUGCUUGCAUGGCAACUCCAUGAUCAUCACUUCAUCACUAUCAUCAUCAACAUCAUCCCGAACCCUAAACUCUUCUUUGCAGAUUGGACAGCAUUGCACCUCGUUGUUCCUCAUCAACUGGGUACUCUCGGAUAUUCUCACUCUUUUCAAUGCUUCAACGGCUGAAACCGGUGCCGGUGUGGGCCCCGCAUCCGGCUGAAGAUCGUGCAUUGGAUAUUCAAUCAUGGCUUGUGGUGGCGGCGGUGGUGGCGGAUCAAAAUGGAGGGAAAUCCAAGAAUGAAGGUUGUGUCCGUCGUUAUUUGGUGUGUCGAGAGCUUGAGCCAAUGAGUCGAGAAAGCGACCAGAGGGCGUCGGGAAAGACUCGACAGCUGUGGGAGAGGAGGAAACAAGCCUAGGCCUUGAGACGUCAAGCUCGAGAUAAAGUUGUGCGGAGCAAUGAGGGCAGAAGAGUUCAGACGGGUCUGUGGAUCGGAACCUCGUGGUACGCUGGCAGCUUUGGCACCAGAAGUAAUGAAAAGUUCUCGUUCUUUGAGUUCCAUUGACGAUAACUCGCGGACGAUUUUGAGCCAAAGACAUGGAUGGUUGGUUGGUUGAUUCUUUAGCUUCAAGUGAUUGAAAUGGGAUUUGUGUUUUUGUUUGACAUGAUGAGGAAAUGGAUACGGGUAUUAUAUAUAUAUAUGUGUGCGCGUUGUUGUGUGCGGUUUGUGGAUGGAGAGGGAGAAAAGGAUAGCUUUUAGAGCUACAGGAAGUGAUUCCUUGUUUUGUUUGCAAGUUUUGUUUUGGGUUAAUUUGCAGCUAGCUGCAGGCUUUGUUUUCUUUGCUUUGUUAAAGCAAAGGAUGAUUGCAAAAUGCUGCACACGUUUACUUAUUACUAUUUUUAUAUACUAUUUUGAUGGUUUAGUCUAACCACAAUCUAAUUUCGAAUUAACCUCAAACCUCUUGCUUUCAACAAAAGAGAUUUUAUCACCUCAAUUAGGUGGUACGCACUCAUACAUUUGAGUUACAUGUUGGGAAAAAUCAUAGCUAGGUUUGGUAAAUCAUAGUUAGGUUUGGUAACCUCAAACCUCUUGUUUUGGGAGGUUUAAAAGUAAUUUUGAAAAGUUAAAAGUUAAUUCUAGCAUUUGGUAAAUAUUUUUGGAAAUCAUUUUUGACAACAUCACUUUAUCCUACCUAGAUUUUGAAAAAUAAAGAAGAAGUAGUUUUUUAAAAUUUGAUUUUAAGAAUCACUUUUAUACUCAAUACAAUUCCAUAUAUAUAUCCCCAUGAGUAAUGAUACAGUCACAAACUCUUGUACAAACUUAUUUUGUACAAACUGAUGUGGCAUGAUAAGAUUGGUUGAAUUAAAUAUUACUUGGCCCACAUGAUUUGUUUUUAUUAAUUUAUAUUUUCAUUCAACCAAUGAAUUAAUGCCACGUCAGUUUGUACAAAAAUAAAUUUGUACAAGAGUUUGUGGCUGUAUCAUUACUCAUAUCCCCAUAUAUAUUAUAAAAAUUUAAAAUUAUCCUUAAUAAUUAGUAAAUAAAAUCGUUAACUUUAAAAAAAUUAUUAUGAUUACAAUUAUAUGAAGAUAGGAAAAAUAAAAAAUAAUUUUUUAACUAUCCAUUAUAUGUACACACUUGAAAAAUUAUAUAUAUAUAUAUGUUUAAAUAAAUUUUAUUAAUAUUAUGUCCAAUUCAUUUAUUUAUAGUUUUACAACAGUUAAUAAUAAGAUUUACCAAACACAUACAAUUACUUUUAAAAUUUACAACACUUUUAAAAAUAAAAUUUAUCAAAUAUUUUACUGAUUUUCUUCAUAGUUGAUUAAUUAUAUAGCACAACUAACAAUAAUUAUUUUAAAAGCUACAAUAUUACUAAAUUGACCCUUAGUGUUUGUACUAAAUAUGAUGAAACAUAGUGGUAGAUCCGGAAAAAUGAUUUACUAAAGGCUAAAUUAUGUAACAACAAGAUGUAAAAACUAAAAUUUCAUGGUUUAAUGAGUUUAUAAAUGUUAUUUUAAAAGGUUUAAAACCUGCCUUAAAAUUCAAGUAAUGCCACUCUAUUCUCAAAUCAAAUAAAUCAAUUACAACUUACAUAAAGUUUAUUCUCUUUUACUAGAAAAUAAAUUAAAUUUCUGCAUAAACUUAUAUUACCUUCUAUUUUCAGUUUUAACAAAAAAUAAUAACAAUAAUAACAAAUAAAUAAAUAUUCAUUUUUGCUCAUUGAUUCGUGGUCAUGUAUUUCGGAUUGAAAUAUUGUUAGGUAUAAAAUUUGUUAAAGUUUUACCACCCAUGUAAAAUUCAUUUCUUGUUAGCAUACCUGAAAUGUUAGGUAUUUGCUGACUAUGUCUUAACAGAUUAUCCCUUUAGUUUCUGAGUUUGUUUUGAAUAAAUCCUGGUUUGUAGGGUGAAGAUUUGUUUUUGAAUUGUUCUUCCUUAAUCUUAGCACUUUAGAUCAUUCUUGUUUGUAAUGGCUAUAUAAAAGCCUCAGUUCAGUAUUUAAUAAACAAGCUUUUACAGCUACCAAAGUUUGUUGCUUUCUGCAUUCGAGUUCUAACUCAGUUAACAGUGGUAGAGCUUCACAAAGGGGCCAUAUUGUAAGAAAGUGUGAGUAAAACAUUGUGGGAAGAGUGAAAGAGAGAUGGCUGCCGAAGCUAGCAACUUUGCACAACCAAGCAUUCCCAAGUUUGAUGGAGAUUACGAUCACUGGAACAUGCUGAUGGAGAACCUUUUGAGAUCGAAAGAAUAUUGGAGCAUCAUCGAAACAUGUUACACUGAGCCUGCUGAAGGAGAGACAUUGACAGCUACACAAAGAAAAACCUUGGAGGAUUUAAAGUUAAAAGACCUGAAGGCAAAAAAUUAUCUCUUCUCGGCAAUUGACAAGCCAAUUCUGAAGAGCAUCAUUCAGAAGAGCACAUCCAAGCAGUUGUGGGAUUCAAUGAAGAGAUAUCAAGGCAACAUCAGAGUGCAGCGUGCUCAACUUCAAACCCUUCGCAGAGAAUUUGAGAUUCUGGAGAUGAAGAUAGGUGAGUCUGUCACUGAUUAUUUUUCAAGGGUGAUGCUGGUAACCAAUGACAUGAGGAAUAAUGGAGAAGAUAUGCCGGACGUGAAAAUCAUUGAGAAGAUCUUGCGUACUCUCACUUAAAGAUUCAACUACAUUGUAUGUUCCGUUAAGGAAUCAAAAGAUAUUGAUCAGCUCUCUGUGGAUGAGCUGCAGAGCUCACUACUUGUUCAUGAGCAGAAGUUUCAGAAAAAUGGUGGCGAUGAGCAAGCUUUGAAGGUCACAAGUGGUGAGUGGCUUGGUGCAAGUGAGGAAGACAAGUUUGGAGGAAGAGGCAGAGGUCGUGGAAAUCUCAGAGGAAGAGGGAGAAGAAGAGGUCGAGGAAGACAACCUGUUGACAGAGCCACCGUUGAAUGUUUUCACUGUCAUAAGUUAGGACAUUUUAGAUAUGAAUGUCCCAGCUGGGACAAAAAUAUCAACUAUGCUGAGUUGGAUGAAGAUGAAGAAAUGCUACUCAUGUCCCAUGUCGAGAUGCAUAAUUCCAAAAGAAAGGAGGUGUGGUUUCUAGACUCCAGCUGUAGUAAUCACAUGAGACAUGAGUGGAGAUAAGAGGUAGUUUAUUGAGCUCGAUGAGUCAUUCAGGCAAAUAGUAAAACUCGGUAACAAUUAAAAAAUAGCUAUCAUGGGAAAGGGAAACAUCAAGAUACAAGUUCUUGGAAAAACUCAGGUGAUCAUUGAGGUAUAUUGCAUUCGCAAGCUAAAGAGUAAUUUGAUUAGUAUUGGACAACUUCAAGAAAAAGAUUUGGCCAUUGUGAUUCAAUAUGGUGUAUGCAAGAUUUAUCACCCAAUGAGAUGGUUAAUUAUGCAAACAAACAUGUCAGCAAAUAGGAUGUAUAUGUUGUGUGCUACUGCACCUACUCAUGCUCCAGGACAAGCUUGUUUUCAAAUGGCAUCCGAGACACAACAACUCAUCUGUGGCAUCGAAGGUUUGGACACUUGAACAUGAAAGGCUUGAGAACUUUGGCAUAUAAAAAACUGGUGAAUGGUUUGCCGAUUCUUAAAUUUUCUGCCAAAUUAUGCACUGAUUGUGUUGUUGGCAAGCAACACCGUGACCCUUUUCCCAAGAAAAGUUUAUGGAGAGCUUAUCAACCAUUGCAGCCUGUGCACUCUGACAUUUAUGGUCCUAUCACUCCUGAAUCAAAUAGUUACAAGAGGUAUAUACUCACUUUUAUAGAUGAUUAUAAUCGUAAGAUGUGGACUUAUUUCUUGCAUGCUAAGUUAAAGGCAUUUGCUAUGUUUAAGAAUUUUAAAAGCAUGGUAGAAAAAGAGAAAGGGAAUUAUAUUUCUUGCUUACGUAUUGACCGAGGUGGGGAGUUCACCUCAUUGGAGUUUAAUAAAUAUUGCAGUUCAAAUGGGAUCGCCAGACAACUCACCGCAGCUUUCUCCCCACAACAAAACGGGGUUGCAGAGAGAAAGAACCGAACCUUAUUGAAUAUGGUGCGGUGCAUGUUGACUAACAGAGGAGUUCCUAAGCAAUUCUGGCUAGAAGCUGUGAAUUGGGCAGUGCAUAUUCUCAACCGAUGUCCUACCUCAGCGGUGAAAGACCAAACACCUGAAGAAGCAUGGAGUGGACUCAAGUCUUAUGUGGAGUAUUUUAAAGUGUUUGGUUGUAUCAGACAUGUUCACAUACCAGACAUCAAGAGGAAGAAACUUGACAAUAAGAGCUUUAAGUGUGUGUUUUUAGGGGUGAGUGAAGAAUCGAAAGCCUUUUGAAGAAGAAGAAAAGUGGAGUUGGGAGAAAAUAACUGAAAUAACUCGCUGUGAUAAUCUUGAAUGGGGAGAUGAAAAAGAAUGUGAGAAAGAAAGUGUCAUUGGAGAAGAAGGACAACUUAAGCAAGGUGAAGCUGGUGGCUCGGGUUCUUUUACUCCAACAGAUGUAAAUAAUUCGGUUCAAGGGAGGAUUAGAAGAAAACCAGUAUAGAUGGAGGAUUAUGUAAGCGGUGAGGGUCUGUUCGAAGAAGAAGAAAUGCAGCAGCUAGCUAUGCUCACCUCAUUAAGUGAUCCAGUAAGUUUCGAAGAAGCUGUUAAAAGUUCUACUUGGAGAGAUGCCAUGGAUCUGGAAAUUCAAGCUAUCGAAAGAAAUGGUACCUGGGAGUUGACAUAAUUGCCAAGAGGAGCCAAGAAAAUAGGUGUAAAGUAGGUUUUCAAAACUAAACUGAAUGAGAAGGGAGAAGUGGACAAAUGCAAAGCUCGGCUUGUAGCAAAAGGAUAGACACAACAAGCUGACAUUGAUUAUACUAAGGUAUUUGCUCAUGUUGCUCGUUGGGAUAUUAUUAGAUUAAUUCUUGCACUAGCUGUUAGCAGAGAUUGGGAGGUGUUUCAGCUUGAUGUUAAGAGUGCUUUCCUGCACGGUUAAAUCACUAAAGAAGUUUUCAUUAAGUAGCCACGAGGUUAUGAAGUGAAGGGUGUUGAGAACAAAGUCUAUCGGAUGAAGAAGGCAUUGUAUGGGCUCAAACAAGCCCCACGAGCAUGGUUAAGUAAAAUUGAGUCCUAUUUUAUCAAAGAAUGGUUCGAAAGGUGUUCAAGUGAGCACACUUUGUUAAAAAAGAAUGGUGGGGAUGGAAAAAUCCUUAUAGUCAGUGUAUGUUGAUGAUAUGAUUUUUACUUGGAAUGAUGGGAAGAUGUUUGAGGAGUUCAAGAGGUCAAUGAAGCAAGAGUUUGAAAUGUCUGAUCAUGGAAGAAUGAAAUAUUUCCUCGAAAUAGAGGCGGUGCAGGGUUUAGCUGGAAUUUUCAUAAGCCAAAGAAAGUAUGUUAAUGAGGUACUUGAAAGGUUCAGAAUGAAGCAUUGUAAUCCUGUGAAAAAACCUAUUAUGCCUGCAUGUAGACGUGUGAAAGAUGAAGGAGGUACGAAGGUUGAUUGCACCACUUACAAGCAAAUGGUGGGCAAUCUCAUGUAUUUGACUGUCACCAGACCUGAUCUUAUGUAUGUAAUAAGCUUAAUAAGUCGUUUCAUAGAGGCACCAACUGAGUUGCAUCAACAGGCUGUGAAGAGAAUUUUUCGGUACUUGAAAGGAACAAUAGAGAUAGGAAUAUUAUACAAGAAAGGAGGUUUGGAAAAUUUGGUUGCUUUCUCUGACAGUGAUUAUGCCGGGGAUCUUGAGGAUCGAAAAUCCACUUCAAGUUAUGUCUUUAAAUUGAGUUCUGGAGUUGGGGCGUGGAGUUCCAAGAAACAGCCAGUUAUGACACUCUCUACAACAGAGGCAGAGUUUAUAGCUGCUGCUUCAUGUGCCUGUCAAAGUAUUUGGAUGCAGAGGAUUCUAGGGAAACUUGGUCUCAAUCAAAGUAAAUGCACUAUUUUCUGUGAUAAUAGUUCUGCUAUUAAGCUUUCGAAGAAUCCUGUAAUGCAUGGUAGGAGUAAGCAUAUUGAUAUUCGAUUCCAUUUUCUUCGAGAAUUAACUAGAGAUGAUGUAGUUGAUUUGGUGCAUUGUGGCUCUAAAGACCAAUUAGCUGAAUAUUAUGACAAAACCAUUGAAGUUGGAUUUGUUCUUGAAGAUGAGAGGACAUCUUGGAGUAUGCAUCGUUCAAGAGGUAAACUGACUGCAAAUUUUGCAGUUCAAUUUAAAGGAGUAUUUGUUAGGUAUUUACUGACUAAGUCUUAACAGAUUAUCCCUUUAGUUUCUGCGUUUGUUUUGAAAAAAUCAUGGUUUGUAGGGUGAAGAUUUGUUUUUGAAUUGUUCUUCCUUAAUCUUAGCACUUUGGAUCAUUCCUGUUUGUAAUGGCUGUAUAAAAGCCGCAGUUCAAUAUUCAAUAAACAAGCUUUUACAACUACCAAAGUUUGUUGCACUCUGUAUUCGAGUUCUAACUCAGUUAAUAUGAAAUACUAUAAGAACAUUUUUAGUUGUUGGUAUGUAGAUUUGUAAUCUUGAUUUUUAUUUGUACUGCUCUUUUGCUUUUCCUUCUUCUGCUGCUAUAACACCUCCCAAUUGAGAUAUUAAAUAAUAACUUUAAAUAUUGGAGGAAACUAAUUGAUAUAGAAAUUUAUGCAUGUGAUGAUGAGCUAUAUAUAAAUUUGAUAUUUGCUUUUCCUCCUAAUUUUAGUUAUAAAUUUUGCGAUCAACCCAAAACAUUUAGAAUAAAUAAGUUUCUUCUGUUUGAGUUCCUAACAUCCCUUUAAAACUCUUAUUAAACCCAUUGUUAUACUUAAAUAUAUAUUUUUGUAAUAAAAAUUCUAGCAUUAGGUAAUUGAUUUCUUCAAUAUCUCAAAAUUCUUUUAAAUUUAUAAAAAAAUAAUUAUUUUUUUAAUAAAAAUUUUAGGAUUAGGUAUUUUAUUUCUUCAAUAUCUCAAAAUUCUUUUGAAUUUAUAAAAAAAAUAAUUAUUGUUUGGGAGGGAUACUGUUUGGGACAAAUGCGUCGAAGGGACCAGGAACGACGAGCAGACAUCUGAUGGCGGAGUUCUGCGAACCGGUGUUUUCCGUUAAAGCCUGGCGCGUGGAAGAACAGGAGCAGAAACAUCCUGCUCGUCCACGAUGUUGUCGUCCGCGAGGCCGAUUCCUAUAAAAGGCACGAGGCCAUUCCGGCUAGAGAUCGAGAGGCGAGGAGACCCGGUCGACGGCAGUUGGCAAGACGUGCUCUCCAGCACGAGAAUCUAGGCACAACAGCCACGCUUUCCCCAGAACCGCGACGUAACACGCAAGAUCUCACGGAGCCAGGACAGCCACACUUUCCCCAGAACCGUGGCGUAACACGCAAGGUCUCACAGAGCCGUGGCAGCCACGCUUCCCCUGAACCGUGGCGUAACACGCUAGAUCCCAUGUUUUGCCCAUAACGCAGCAGUUGGAGUCCCAUACCGUCUCGAAAAGAGCGGAAGACUGAGAUUCAGAGGAAGCCUAUAAAAAGGUAGCCAACGAAGGUAAAAGGGUUGGCAUUCUUGAGAAAAGGGGAGAAAACCACAAGAAACGCCAUAAGACCUGUGGCAAGCUUUUCCCGAACCUUCAUAUCUGACUUGAGCGUCGGAGGGUUUGCGCCGGGAAAACAACCGGCGUACUCUGACUUAUCUGUGUACGCAGGGACCUCCGGAGAAGAAGCCUGGCGAGGAGACCUCCUGGUAGUGACGAAGUUGAUCGAGCAGAGAUCCUGAUCGUAGAACGAGGAGAACCGGAAUCUCGCAUCAACAUAAGUUGUAGUUUGUAAUUUGUCCACAUACAUACAUACAUACGUACAUCCAUCCAUCCAUCGUUCAAACAAAAUUCUCAAGUAGAAGGCUUACCAGAUGCAAUUCCUUCUUCCAUGGCAGCCUUGGCAGCAUUGAGAGCAUGAGUAAGAAUACGCACUUUUUUAACUCACAUUUUGACUGUUAGAGCCUCCAACCUUAGGAAAGAGCAAACCUCCAUUUAUAGGUAGUUAAGAUGCCACGAAAAUAAACUUAACACAACUCAAUGAGCAGUUCCAAAGAACCGAACUUUUAAAACAGCAUAUCACCGAUCUUCAGCUGUAAUGCUUUUAGACGUCGAUCUCAACUGUAUCAGCAGUAAAAAGAAGAAAAAAAAAGUCAAUAAUGAAAUGAGAUUUACAAAAGAGUGGUCUCGACUCAAAAGACUGUACAGCUGGAAAAACGAACAUCCCAGGCAAAUGUAAUAACUAAUAAACACAAUCAAAGGCCUACGAACCUGCUGAAAAAUCAUGUGAGAAGCCACAAUACAAAUCUCUUUAGACUUCUUCAAUCUUUUCCACGGUAAGAGAGCAUUUAUCAAGGAAAAUGGUUUCAUUCUCUGAUGCUAUAACCUAUGUGAAAGAGGACAUUUAAUAUUUAUGUUAGAAUUCUAGACAUGCUUUUAGACCACAAAACAUAGGUCUAUCCCACUGUCUGGCAACAGCAAGCCAUUAGUAUCAUCAGCUGAGGCACUUUCCCCGCAAAUCCUAAAAGGUCAACGUAUUUUGAGCAAUCCUUUUCAGUGAUGACCUAAGGAAAGGAAAGGACAGAUUGCACAUCACAUCAUAAUGCAUGUUCAGGAGAUUAGUUUUUUCCAUCUGAUAUUAAGUAGAUCUUUCAUAAUAUCAUGUCCAGGAGCUUUGAUGGCACAAAUCUUCAAACAAAGUUAGAAAAACUCCAAGAAUCAGUGGCGGAUAAAAAAGUUGAUUAAAAAUAGAACAAUAUCUUAAUGUUGCAUAAAACACAGAAUUUGUAGUUUCUUGACAGCUGAAAACUUUGAAGUAUUCCUGAUCCUUCUCGCACGGACUAGAUUACCUUGGCUCCAGUAGUUUGCUUAUUCAUUAUAAGAGUAUCCAGGACAUCAUUUUCAAAAUCUUCAGCAACAAAUCAGGAGUCUGAUGAAUACUGUUUGGGAGGGAUACUGUUUGGGACAAAUGCGUCGAAGGGACCAGGAAGGGACCAGGAAUGACGGGCAGACAUCUGAUGGCGGAGUUCUGCGAACCGGUGUUUUCCGUUAAAGCCUGGCGCGUGGAAGAACAGGAGCAGAAACAUCCUGCUCGUCCACGAUGUUGUCGUCCGCGAGGCCGAUUCCUAUAAAAGGCACGAGGCCAUUCCGGCUAGAGAUCGAGAGGCGAGGAGACCCGGUCGACGGCAGUUGGCAAGACGUGCUCUCCAGCACGAGAAUCUAGGCACAACAGCCACGCUUUCCCCAGAACCGCGACGUAACACGCAAGAUCUCACGGAGCCAGGACAGCCACACUUUCCCCAGAACCGUGGCGUAACACGCAAGGUCUCACAGAGCCGUGGCAGCCACGCUUCCCCUGAACCGUGGCGUAACACGCUAGAUCCCAUGUUUUGCCCAUAACGCAGCAGUUGGAGUCCCAUACCGUCUCGAAAAGAGCGGAAGACUGAGAUUCAGAGGAAGCCUAUAAAAAGGUAGCCAACGAAGGUAAAAGGGUUGGCAUUCUUGAGAAAAGGGGAGAAAACCACAAGAAACGCCAUAAGACCUGUGGCAAGCUUUUCCCGAACCUUCAUAUCUGACUUGAGCGUCGGAGGGUUUGCGCCGGGAAAACAACCGGCGUACUCUGACUUAUCUGUGUACGCAGGGACCUCCGGAGAAGAAGCCUGGCGAGGAGACCUCCUGGUAGUGACGAAGUUGAUCGAGCAGAGAUCCUGAUCGUAGAACGAGGAGAACCGGAAUCUCGCAUCAACAAUUAUAUUAUGAUUAGGAUUUAAAGAUGGGAUAGUUCAUAAUUUGCGGGUGUAAAACUUUUAAUUUAAUUAAUUUAAUAAUUAUCGUUUAAUGUAAUUUCCACUAAUAAUAGAAUUAUAAUAAAAAUAAAUGGAGUUUAAUAAAAAUUUUAAAUGGGUGUGGAAAGCGUUAUACUUUCUUAUAAGGAAUAGACGCGCAAGCCCAAUUUACAAAUUCAUGAUUAAAGUCCAACAUGGAGGACCAUUAAAGUCUGCACAUGAAUCAUAAGAAAGUAUAGAAUAACACAAUCAAACUCAACCAACUCAACAAAUGAGCUGUUAACUUCUGUAUGAUUAUUUUAGUUUUAACUUUUAUUUGAGCAAUUUUACGGAUGUUUUUUUUAUUCCUAUCUUAAAGACCCAUCUAGCUUUAGGGUCGAGUACAUUACAUUAUGCAUUUUAUCUAUAUUUUAUUAGAAUAUAAAUAUUAUUUAUAAAGGUCCCUCACACUUGUAUCAGGAUGACUUAAUACGUAGUGAACUAGUGAUACUCAUUAGAUGGUAAACACUUGAAUAAGUGAUAAAAUUCUAUGUCUCUUUAUGUAUAUUAUUAAAAUUUUGAGUUAAUCAGACAGUAUCACGUGAUAAUGUCACUCACCAUAAAAUGCGUAUCAUCGCCCACUAGAUCAUUACUUUUUGUAUAAAUAUAAUGAAUUUAUUUUUUUAUAACAUCAAAUAUAAAAAUGAAAUAAUCUUAUUUCUGAAUUAUUAUCUAUUAAAUUCAACUCUAUAUCUAAUAUAAUUUCAUCACCAUUUACAGUUUAUUUAAAAAGAAAAGUUUUGUCAAAAAAUUUAUAUUUUAUUAAGCAAGAAAAGUUUGUUAAAACUCGUUUAUUUCUAAGGAUUUGAAUUUCAAUAGUAAGCUAAACAAACUACUUGAAAAUGACAAUAGACAAAUGUAGUAGACAAAUGCUUUUGUUAUCGAUCAUAUUAUAUUUUUAAUUUUUAUUAUUUUAUUUAUUAAAAUAUCUAUUAGCUAAUUUUUUUUCUUCAAUAUUACAUUAGAGAAUCCAAAAUAAUAUAUUCAUUGGAACCUAAGUUCUAAUCCAAUGUCUAUUGAGAUUUGUUGGUACAAAAUUGAAGUUCAGCUAAAAAAUUCUAAUAUUAAAAAUAAUAAAUAAAUAAACUACCAUACACCCAUAAAGAAUAUAGAACUUUCCACAUCAAGAAUAAGAUGGGAAGAUGCUUAACAAUAAUUCAAGGGUAUCUUUAACAUCUUGUAUUUCUUAAAUUGUUUAAGAAAUUAAAUAAUUAUUAAUCUGCAACAAGUGACCAUCUGUAAUUUUAGAAACCACAGGGGCUGUAUUGUAAUUUUGCAGCAUAUUAAAAAAUAAGUAAUAAUAUAACUACUUGUAUAAAUUUAUAUUAUAUAAAUUAAUGUGACAUAAUAAAAUUGAUUGAAUUAAAUAUCUCUUAAUUCAUAUAAUUUAUUUUUAUUAUUUUAUAUUUUUAUUUAAUUAAUAAAUUAAUAUUAAUAUUAUAUUAAUUUAUAUAAAAAUUUACCACUGUAUCACCGAGCAAUCGUUAAGCAGUGAGCAUCGAUCGGCUACUGCUAGCGGACAGUAGUUUAAGCUCUUCGUGUCAGAGAAACGCCAACUCAGCGAGCCGGCCGAGUGAACACGUGAAACCGGACGAGUUAACUCAACGUCUCAAAAAACUACGCACACUAUCUGAUUACGUUUUUGUCGUUUAGUCGAGCUUAAACUGAUCCUUCAAAACCCUUUCAAUCUCUCUCUCUCAUUUUCUCUCUCUCUAAAAUCUCAGAGAGAGAAAGAAAACCAAAACAAAAAUUAAAAAAUAUAUAUAUAAAAUUUCCGGGAAAAUUACCAAAAUUUUCUCGGUAUCCAAACAUUCCAAUCAUGUCUCACAUCAUGUUCCAAACGACUCCCGUCCCCACAACCGCUGCCAAAGCCGUGUCAUCAGCAUCAUCAUCAUCGACUCUGGCGGCUCCUCGAUACAGUACGAGUUAUCCGGUGGGGGUUAGGGUGCGGAGAAAGAAUAUGCCGAUAACGUGUUCGGUGCCGUCGCCGUUAAUUGACGGCGGAGACCAUUCUGUGGUUUUGUUGGAGAGGUGCUACAAAGCGCCCAGUGCUCUACCGUCCGGUUCGACUGCCGAGUACGGUCCGCUUAUGAAAGGGGGUCAAUACGGUGCAUUUGGUGCUGUUACGUUGGAAAAAGGGAAACUUGACACGACGCAGCAGCAAUCUGAGACUACACCUGAGGUCUGUAACUGUUAUUUUUGCUGCUGUUGUUGUUGUUGUUGUUUUCAGUUUCAAAAUUCGUUAAAUUUUUUCUCUUUUUUUAAUUUAAUUUUUGCAAUUUCUUAGAGUUAGGUUUUUGGGUGAUUGAUUGCCAAGUACAAAUGUUCCGCGCCCCCCCCCCCCCCCCCCCCGGCGAAAAAAAAUUUCCUUAUUAAAAGUUUCCUGCUUUGAGAAAAAGGCGUGGUGAUAAACACUGUUGAUGUUGAAUGACGUUGGAAGCUGCAAAUUGAGGUCAUUUCCUAUGGAUUCAGUUGCUUUAGGGUUUAAGCUAUGCCUAAAAGGAUUACUAAUCCUGGGGCAAUUGUGUGGUAUGAUACGAAUCUGAGAGCAAUGACGGUUUUGUUUAAAGGUUCUAGGUUAUUUGGGCUAAUGCGAGAUGGGGGUGAGGGUAGAUUUUUGAAGUAUGGAUUUGAGUGUUUGAAGGUGUUUUAAUGUGAUUGUUUUAAUGUGAUUGUAUUCUUGUAAGUGGUUGCUCAAAAGCUGGGAAAAGGAAAAAUAGGUAGAAAUUGUUUGCUUGACUUGUGAUUUUCAUUCGUCCUUCCCCUUUUGUUUGCAUUGCUUUGACACAAGCUCUUAAGUUGUGUACUUGCAGAAAAGGUUUAAGAUGUAUUCUUCCAUGAAUUUGAGAAGUUAUUUUGAUAUUUAGUAGUUGUCAUUUUUUUAACACGACUUUAGGAUUUUUUUGAAGUUGAGUUUUGGUUAUUUAUUUAUUUAUUUUCCCUAAAAGUUAGCUAUUGGAAAAAGAAGUGGUUGUUUGUCUGUUAAUUGUAUAAGAGUUAUUAAAGGCUACUUUGGGCAUUUAAUUUUUAAUUUGAGGUUGAUAAAUUAGUUUUUAGAGGAGCUAAAAAAUCUGGUUUUAGAUAUAUGGAAAUGAGUUAACCAUGAUUAUAAAAAGCAUAUUUGGAUUAAAAUGAAACAACUAAGAAUUGAAAAUGUUCUUCUUGAUCCAAAAAAGUUGGGAUUUCAUCAAAUAAAUCUCUAUCUAAGCUACUUUGAGCCACUCAUUAAACUCAAUAAUGUAAUGAGCUCCACCUAUGGAGAAAGUGAAAUCAUGGAAUGUUACGAAAAGUUAGUUUGAUGCUGUAUUCAACACUCUUUAGAAUAUAACUAGUUUGAUGCUUUAUUCAAUACUCGUUAGAAUCUAACAUAGUUGUUCAGUUGGUUAGCUGCCUGCGGAAAACGCACUAGAUUUGAUUUUAAUGACAUCCCUGUGCUGGUCAUCAUUAUGUAGAUUAAGAGUAAAAUAAAGUAGUGAUAUAUGAAUGACAUCCCUCUGCUGGUCAUCAUUUAUGUAGAUUAAGAGUAAAAUAAUGUAUUAAUAUAUGAAUGAGCACUUAUAUAGCAUUUAAGUAGUUUUCACCUCAAAAGUGUUUGUGAAAGCAUGAGAUAAGUACUAUUUGUAAAAGCAUGGGAAAAUAAAAAAGACAAAAACGUAGAAUCACUCUACAGAAGAGAAAAUGGGCUUAAAUGGUUUUGAAUUUACCUCAUGAAGAGGUCAUCAUGACCAUCUGAAGCUCACAUAUUUCUCAUCUCAAAUAUACAUACCCUUUCUUUUUCUUCUCUCUUAAAUGUUCCCUGCCAUACUUUCAAAAUCUUAAAACUCUUGCAGUGUAACUUACCCCACAGUAUGACUCGAAGCAACCAAAUUUGCAAGUACUGGUCUGGAGACACCCCGUGUUAUGCAUUUAUCACGAGUUGUAAAUCUUAUCCCCCCAUAAUCACAUUGUCAUUGGUAGAAUGUUUUGAACGGGUUGCAGUUCAAGCACAGAAAGCUACCUUGAAAUGUGUUCGGUGCACUAGGUUUCCAUCAGUGAAAUAUCAAGUUCCUUGCUCUUGUACAAGCUAUUUUGUGUUUUAACUGCAAAUUUUCAUUACAAAUGAUCUGAAACCGAUUGUUCAGUCCCUAUCACUAGUUUAUGCCCCUGGUUAAAACUGCCAAGAUUAUAAAUUGCAGUGUUAAAGUUUUAAAAGAACUUACAUUUAGUUUUGUAACUUUAGGAUUUUUGGACAAAUGAUGACCAGUCCUUGUGCUGAGCCGCUUUCUUACUUGUCCUCUACAAUACAAUGCAGAUCAGGAAACAUGAACCUUAAUAAUAAACCUCAACAUUUUACAUUCCUGAAAAACAAUCUCAAUUGUGUUCCCUACACAAAAUAUUGUUACUGCAGAUACUAUUAAAAACUACUCUAAUUCUUUCUGUAAAUUUACUCCAUAUCAACUUGUUACUUCUUUAGUACAAGAACAAUCUGUUCUGCCUAUUAAACUUGCAAGUCAUUCCAAAUGGUGAUUCCUUUUACAAAAGUGUCCUCAAUAUCAUCCCUAAAAGGUGUUUAUAAGCAGUUAAUACACUUCAUUAUGAUUUGAUACCACACCGAUUGUGUCGUUCUUAGCUGUCUCAUAGAUAUUAUGAUUUGAGGUUUUAUUUGCCAAAAUAUUAUUAGUAGAGGCAUUGGUUUUCUUUGCCUGUGACCUUAUGUCAGUAGAAGAGAUUUGCUUUUUCAUUUGUCUUUCUAGGAUGGUGAAUAUUCAGUACAUGCAAUAAUUGGUUUAAAUCUAUGGAUUUGUUACUGCUGUUUUUCAGUCAUUGCUAUUAAUUAGUUAGUACAAUCAUCUCCCCCUUAAUGAUUCCGGUGGCUGUAUGUGGUAUACAAUGCUUUUAUUUUUGUUUAAAAUUCAUUUUAUGGAGAAGUUUGUUUAAUUGGUUUGUUGACUUAAUUGUUAAAAUUCUAUGUUUAUGGAAUCGUGAACCUUACGCAUUGUUGGACUUUUAUCAUUCAUUUGUGAGUGGUGUGCUGAUAAAUCGUUCAUUUGUGACUGGGGUGCUGAUAAAGGCCUGAAAGUGAGGUUCAAGGUUUUGCUUUUGCAUAACAUCCAAACGCAACAUUUCAUUUUCCUUUUUUUUUUUUUUGGCUUGCAUAAUAGCUAGAAAUUUUGGCAAGGAGGCUAAUUCAUUUUAAAAUUACAGCUUGCAACUGGUGGCGGUGGUGGAGAUAUUGGAAAGAAAAUCAACCAUGGUGGCGGUGAUGGAGGUGAUGAUGAUGGGGAUGAUGAUGACUACUUCGAUGAUUUUGAUGACGGCGAUGAGGGAGAUGAGGGCGGACUUUUCAGGAGGCGGAAAAUCCUUGAAGAGGUUGAAGCUUAUAAGCUCUGAAACAUACUUAUGGAUAUUUGUUGAUUAAAUUAAUAUUUGCUUCUGCUCAUAUUCUUUUGAUUUUGAAUUUCGAUGUAGUAACUAUUUCCAUACUUUCUGCCAGCUCUUUGAUCGAAAAUUUGUAGACGCUGUGUUGAAUGAAUGGAUGAAGACAAUGAUGGAUUUACCUGCUGGGUUCCGACAAGCUUAUGAAAUGGUACAUAGUUGCUCGUGUUAUUGCUUUUGUCUGUGAACUCGUAUGGCUAAAUACUCACUGAAAUAUUGUUUCUAGGGAUUAGUCAGCUCUGCUCAGAUGGUAAAAUUCCUUGCUAUUAAUGCCAGACCAACAACUACCAGGUUCAUUUCUCGUUCACUUCCUCAGGGAAUCUCGAGGGCAUUCAUUGGCAGGUAGUCUUUCUUGUUGUGCUCCUGGAAUUACUUUUAAUUUAUCAUUUAUGGGGUUUUGCUUUUUGAUUGCUUUGUGAUUUGUGUAUUUAUCGCUUUGUAGCUAAUUAAUCUUGGCUGUUUUGUAUCUGUGUUGGAUUUAGAAGUUUGGAGCUGAAAACUGUUAAAGCUUAGACUAGUAGAAGAAAUUUAUACAUUCAUUUAUCUUGGACAAAGUUUUUGGAAAAAAAAAAUUAUAAGUAUACACUUUCCAAUGGUUCAGUGAUGUUUGAUUGGUUUUAAGAUGUUGGAUCUCUCAUGAUGUAUCGACUGCUGUUGCCACAGGAUGCUCGCAGAUCCUGCUUUUUUGUAUAAACUUGUACUAGAGCAGGCUGCCACAAUUGGUUGCACUGUUUUGUGGGAGUUGGAGAAUCGUAAGGAGAGGUGUGUUUUUUCUUUCAUAACAAAGGAACUUUCCCCUUCCUUUUUAUUUUCAUUUUAUAUAUUAAGCUAAUAAAUAUUUGUUUCUGUCAUGACAGGAUAAAGCAAGAAUGGGAUCUUGCCCUAAUAAAUGUGCUCACAGUAACAGCAUGUAAUGCUUUUGUUGUUUGGUCGCUUGCUCCUUGUCGUUCUUAUGGAAACACCUUCCGGUUUGACUUGCAAAAUACAUUACAAAAGCUCCCAAACAAUAUAUUUGAACGGAGUUACCCAUUUCGAGAAUUUGACUUGCAAAAGAGAAUUCACUCCCUUUUUUACAAGGCUGCAGAGUUGUGUAUGGUGGGAUUAAGUGCUGGAGCAGUGCAAGGUUCUUUGUCAAACUAUCUUGCUGGUAAAAAGGACAGGUAAACAUGGUUGCAAAACUUCCUGUUCAUUCCUCGUUCACUUAUUCGUUAUAAAUAAAGAAAACUUAGAAGAUUGUUCUGUUUACUGUCUAAACCAGUUUAACAUUUGUUAAAUUUGGGCCACCUUUAAUGUCUGACAGGUUAUCUGUGACAAUCCCAUCUGUGAGUACUAGUGCGCUUGGUUAUGGUGCUUUCCUUGGACUAUAUGCAAACAUGAGAUAUCAGCUAUUGUGUGGAUUUGAUAGAGCGGUCAUCAACCAUUUUGAUGUUAUUGGAGUAGCACUGUUCUUAAGCACUGCUUUGAGGUAUCUCCCUCUCUCUCUUUUACGUAUUUGUUUAUUGAUCUUCAUCUCUAUAUACAUUGAUAGACUAUUCUGGUCGUACCAAAUUACCCUUGUUUUAAUGUUUUGUUUGUUAAACUUUGACUGGGGAAUCUGUUUAUUGGUCUGAUAUGAUGUUAGUGUGGUUUCUAUUGGAGUGUGUAGAUCUAUCACCGAGUAUUAUUUCAAUUUUUCUUUACUUAAUCAACUUGCAUCCUUCCCAAGUCCAGAUCCUUAACAAUAGUGAGACUUCGCUACGGAAGUACAAUUUCUCUAGUUUUACAGUUAAAUACGUAAGAAUGGUUUUAAAUUAACUGAACUCUGAGGUAGUUCUCUAAGGAAAUACAAGUGGUGAAUACGGUUCCAACUUUUAAGUGCCUUAAUUUACCCAUUUGUUCAGCCCUGUGCGUAAACAAUCAGUAAUUGUUGUCCAAAUUAUUCUUUACUGCCUAUAUGUGUUGGGACUUUGUCUAUUGUUCAACUUCUCAAAUGGAUUCUAUGCAGGGUUCUUAAUGUCCAAUUAGGAGAAAGAUCAAGGCUUGCUUGGCUAGGAGUGGAAGCGGAUCCGCUACUUCAGUCAGAUGACCUUUUGAAGAAGGCUUACAACAGGCCGUCUCAGGAUGUCAAUGGCUCAACUCAAAAGUCCCCAAGGUGGUUGAUAUCAAAGAAUGCCAUUGUCUCUGGGCUUGGGCUCCUUGGCAUCAAACAAGGGAAUGUCGACUCUGUUGAAGAGGAAGCAAGGGCUCCUAAAGUGCGAAGAAAGAGGAUAGUCCGGAAGAAGGUGACCGCAUAAAUUUCUUGGGAGUUAAUCCUAGUCAAUAGCCCAAUUUUGCUGCCUGUCGAAGAGAUACAACUCGGAAGUCCUCAUCAAACUCUUUGAGACAUCUAAGAACUAGUAGGGAGGUGUUUCCUGACAAGUAUAGUUCACUGCUGGAGGGAUUCUUUUCUUGAUGUCUAAAUACUAUAUGUGAUACAACGACGUAUAUUCCAAUUUUUCUCUAGUUAAAUUCUAGUAAGUUAGAAAAGUUAAUUUUGUUCUAGCGAUGAAUUGUUUUCUUAAUAAAAAUAAUGGCCUGUUGCUUUGGAAUCUUAUUUACUCUUUGUAACUCAGUUAAAUUGUGCAAAUUCUACUGCAGAUUUAUCAAACAGAGUGUCUUUGUGAUUGUUUUGAUACACUUUUGAUGGCAAGUUCAAGUUUGAAUCAUCUUGUAACGCCAAAAAACCAGAGCUUUUAAUUACGAGAUCAGCUUUUAGUAUUAGCGGUAAUUAUAGUAUAAACGUUGAUAUUAUAUAAUAAACAUGAUUGUCAAAACAAUAAUUUCGAUAAAAUUAUUAAAAAUAUUUUAGAUUUUUUAUAUUAGAAUAUGAGAUUAGAUCAAUUCAAGUAAUAUUGUAAGUGUUUACUAAAUACUCUUUAACGUUGUAUCUUAAAAAUUAUGCCCUACGAAACUCUUACCAAAUUUUAGUUAUACUUUCUAGUCCGAUUGUAGAAAUCCUUACUCGAUGUACUUCACCAUACAAGAUGUUAACUCAAUUUUACUUAAAUCUUACUCGUUAAUUUUAUGCCUAAAUUUUUGUCAACAAAUUGGUCCCAGUUCUAUGCUUCUUCGGCUUGGGUGAUCCCACCAAAACCAUUACGUCCAUUCAAAAGGGUUCCACGUUGAGUGCACGAAAUCCACAAGUUUGAUUGACCAGAAAUAGCCAAAAAAGCUGAUGAAACCCACGUCCAAAGAUGCCUUUUGUCGCGGAGGCCUAGACACUACCCCCAUCCCCUCUUACCAUAUUUUUUAAUUGAAGAGGCUAUUAUUGAAUUGAAAAAUUAUGAUUCAAAAUCCCAAAAUAGAAAAAGAAAAGCAAUUGUUGGAAACACAAUCGGAGUUUUAAAUUGACAUGAGAAAAGAAUUUAUUAUUAUUAUUAUUAUUAUUAUUAUUAUUUCUUUUUAACAAAAAUUUAAGCUCGGACAACAUUCUAUGCCCAAAAUACCCCUCAGGUUAUCCCAAACUGUCUAAACUCCCCCACUCCUCUCAACAUCAUCUCUUUCUAAUCUUUCCUCCCCCUAAAAACCAGCCAUGGCUUCAAAUUCAAUCACCUCAACACUCCAAUAUUGGCUUGUAAACCAGCCCCAAAUCCUCAACUUCACAUGGACUCAAAACCAAACCCCAGCUUCCUCCCCACACUUCCUUAUUCUCUCCAUCCUCACUUACCUCUCCCUCACAUUCAUCCUCUACCACACAUCAACAUCAACAUCACCACCAUCAUCACCUCUCAUUGAACCCCACAUCCUCAAGCCCAUCACAGCCGUCCAUAACCUCACCCUCCUCCUCGUCUCCCUCGUCAUGGCCGUUGGUUGCACUCUCUCCAUCGUCCUCCAUUCACCCGACCUCCGUCACACCCUCUGUUUCCCCCCCACCAUUUCUCCCUCCGGUCCCCUCUUCUUCUACGCUUACAUCUUCUACCUCUCCAAAAUACUCGAAUUUCUAGACACCCUUUUGAUCAUUUUGUCAAACUCCAUCCAACGGCUCACGUUCCUCCACGUCUACCACCAUGCAACCGUCGUCGUAAUGUGCUACCUUUGGUUACAGACGAAGCAGUCUUUGUUUCCUAUCGCACUUGUCACCAAUGCAAGUGUGCACGUGAUCAUGUACGGGUACUAUCUAUUGUGUGUGAUGGGGUUGCGGCCAAAGUGGAAGAGAUUGGUCACUGAUUGUCAGAUUGUUCAGUUUGUGUUUAGUUUUGUUGUUUCGGUUUUGAUGCUGUAUUAUCAUUUUGCGGGAUUUGGUUGCUCUGGGAUUUUGGGUUGGUGCUUCAAUGCUGUGUUUAAUGCUUCUCUUUUGACACUUUUUGUUAAUUUUCAUUCCAAGAGCUACGCUAAAAAAAAGCAGGGAUGAUCAGAACAAAUAGUUUUUGUGAUUGUUUUUGUGUGUGUGAUUUGUUUUUUUAAGUUUGAUUUUGUUUAAUUAAGAAGGGUUGUGAUCUGUUCAUUGCAAUUGACAGAGAUGUUUUCGAAGGAAUUGCGUGGGAUAUACACGGUUUCUCUCGUAAUACCCAAAAUAUACCUCUAUCUAUUAAAAUUUGUAACUUUACAUAUACAUACUUAAAAAAAUCAAUAAAAGUACAAAAAUAACCUCAAUAAAAUGCCAACAAAAAAUUAAUACUCGACUCAUUAAAUCUACUUACUCGACUAGAUACUCGACUUAUUCAAUUAUUUUCACUUCUUACUUGACUGAAUGCUUAACUUAUCAGACUUCAGACCCGACUUCGUACUCGACUAAAUAUUCGACUUAUUCAAUUACCUUCAUUUCUUACUCGACUGAAUGCUCAACUUACCAGACUUCAUACCCGACUUCGUACUCGACUAGACACUCGACUUAUUCAAUUGACUUCACUUCUUACUUGACUGAAUACUCAACUUACCAGACUUCAUACCCGACUUCGUACUCGACUAGAUACUUGACUUAUUCAAUUGUCUUAAUUUCUUACUCGACUGAAUGUUCAACUUACCAGACUUCACUUCUUUAAAAAUAUUAAUACUCGACCCAAUGUACUUACCCGACUUAAUACUCGAUCUCUUUAAAAAUUACAUAAAUUUUACUCGACUUGUUCAAAAAAUUUACUUGACUUUUACUUAAUACUCGACUGAUUUAAUAUGCUUACUCAACUUCUUACUGGACCAUAUACUCGACUUAUUUAUCUCCAAUUCUUGCUCGACUAAAUUCUCAACUUACCCGACUUCGUACUCGACAUCUUCCUGUACUGAGAGGAAGAAAUGUGUGGAAUCUUGAUUUUUUUAAGGUUAUUUUUUACUUUCCCUAUCUUCGUGAGGUAUAUGUAUAUAAUAGGCUAUAAAUUUGAUAUUUAAAGAAAAAUUGAGGAUAUUUAAAUAAAAAACCUGAUGUUUUCAAUUGCCUAGACUUCGUAUUUUUAGUUUUAGUAAUACAUGUCGUUUUUCACCACAUUUGUUUAGUCUCUCCCUUUUAAAUCCCCUCUCACACAAAAAAUUUGGAUUUGCAUUUUGUAAACUAAUAUUUUUCAUUUUGUUAAUGUAUUAAUUAUUGUUAUCUACAUUUAUGUGAUAGGGCACAGCCCCUAAGCACUCAAUGUUUGUAAGCACAAGUUCAAGUCCCACCAUUUGUUAGGAUUUAAAUAAAGAACAUUAUAACCAUGUGUCCAAAAACUUAAAGUUAGCUUAAGUGCAUGGAUUUGAGUCCUAGUUAUUGUUGGAAUUCGAUUUCUUUUCCAAUUAAAUUGGGUAAGGGUACAAUUAUCUCUCAAUUAAUAAGGACAGAGUGGACAUCUCUCUCAAUUUUUCUCCCAAUUAAAUUAGUUAGAGAUAAAAUUAUCUCUUGAUUAAUAAGAGUAGAAUAAGCUUCGGUUGCAGAUUUUGGCCAUGGACAUCAACAGAGAAAAUUAUGAAUUGGGGCUGCCAAUUAUCCAAAAAGCUGGUGUUGCUCACAAGAUUGACUUCAGAGAAGGCCCUGCCCUGCCUGUUCUUGACCUACUGAUCCAAGAUGUAAAAAUCUCACCAGACCCAUCAUUUCAAAAAAAAUUUAUAUAAUAAGUACACGUAAUCAAAUGUAAUUAGAUAGUCAAAACUAGAUAAUAAGUACACGUAAUCAAAUGUAACUUGAACAUUAAAAAAUAAAAAUUUAUAUAAGAAGAGGAUCCCCCUUCAUUCAUUACGUCUGAGUUAAAGUUUGAAAUAUAUUGUUACAAAUAUUUAAAGAGCGUAGGGAUUACAAAAUGAAACUAAAGUGUCAAACUCAAAAUUUAUGAUUUGUAAGUAGUACAUUUAUGAGUAUCAAUAAUCUUUAUAACAAAAAUGAACUGGCAAGUGUCAACACACAUACAUGACACAUAACUCUGCAGCAUGAGAUGGUCCAAACUCCUAAAUCGAUCGAUCCAUGCAUGGACCUUAUUCAUAGCCAAGUGCACGUGAGAUGGAACCAUUGAAAUGUUGAUGGAGGAAUAAGCUAUAAAGCUUUAUGUCACAUGCAAGACCAUUCAUGGUUUCUGCAAAACCUGGCUAGCCAUUUGCAUCGAUCUGUUUCUCUCCGUAACAUUAAUUAAAACAAGGAAAACAAAACAACAUCAUUAACUCGACAGAGAAAAAGUGGGCACUUGGCAGUGGGCCGGAUUACUUAGGAGGUAAAAUUCCCACACGUUAGGAAUUUGGCACAUAAUCUCGGAGUUUUAAAUUGACAUGAGAAAAUAAUAUAUUCAUCAACCUCAUACGUUAAAGAUGCGACGAGUUUGAGAUUAUGUGCCAAAUUCCUAACGUGUGGGAAUUUAAAGAUGUUAGUACAAAAAAUGUGUUCGUCCGUGGAGUAGAAUCAUGGAAAUUACAGAUGCUACUACAAUUACUAACGUGUGGGUGGGGAUAAGCAUAACUUUUUUCACCCAAUGCCAUAUUUCUGCACGAAAUAACAUGCAGAUAUAGUAUUUUAGAAGAUUAUGAAAAAAUACAUCAAAAUCAUUACUAGAUCCAAAUUUGUGCUAUUUUCAUACAUAACUUGAGAAUAUUUAUAAUUACGCAUCAGAACUAGUGGAGUAGAAUCAGGGAAAUUAAACAUUCUACAAUCAUUGACGUGUGGGGUGGGGAUAAGCAUAAGCUUUUUCUAUGCAGUAUAAAAGAAUGCAAUAACUCCUUUCUUUCAUAUCUUCGCAACAAAAGCACAUCUAAUAACUCAUCAAAAUUCUCGUUUUCUUUGUCAGAAUGGUUGAUGCGAUCGUUUCCUCUCUCCUGGAGCAGCUGAUCUCCGUUGCGGCUGAUGAAGUGAAACAACACGUGAGGCUUGUGACUGGUGUCGGAGAAGUGAAAAAGCUUACCAGCAAUCUUCGAGCCAUUCGAGCUGUGCUGGAAGAUGCAGAGAAAAGGCAAAUGCAGCGCGACAAUGCUGUUACUUUUUGGCUGGAUCAGCUCAGAGACGCAUCCUACGACAUGGAAGAUGUGUUGGAUGAGUGGACCACUGCAAGGCUCAAAUUGCAGAUUGAGGGCGUUGAUGAUGACAAUGCUCUUGCUCUUGCUCCUCAUAAGAAGAAGGUACGCUCCUUCUUUUGUGCUGUAUCAAACUGCUUUGGUAGUUUCAAACAACUUAGUCUUCGUCAUGACAUUGCCGUCAAGAUUAGGGAAAUCAAUGGAAAGCUAGAUGAUAUUGCCUCCCAAAAAGAUACGUUUAAAUUUGUUGAGAAUGUGAGCAACAAUGUUAAGAAACCAGAGCGAGUGCGAACCACCUCCUUGAUUGAUGAGGGAGAGGUUUGCGGUAGAGUUGAUGAGAAAAAUGAGCUCUUAAGCAAGUUGUUGUGUGAAAGUAGUGAACAACAAAAAGGCCUUCAUGUCAUCUCACUAGUUGGGUUAGGGGGUAUAGGUAAAACCACUCUUGCACAACUAGCCUAUAAUAAUGAUGAGGUGAAAAGAAAUUUUGAAAAAGUUAUAUGGGUGUGUGUAUCAGACACUUUUGAGGAGAUUAGGGUUGCCAAAGCAAUCAUUGAAGGUCUAGGUGAGUCAGCUCCUAGUUUAAGCGAAUUCCAAUCUCUUACGAGCCAUAUCCAUAGAUCAAUUGAAGGAAAAAAGUUUUUUCUUGUCUUAGAUGAUGUAUGGGAUGGGAGUUACAAUAAAUGGGAACCAUUCUUCCUUUGUCUAAAGAAUGGUCUCCAAGGAAGUAAAAUUUUAGUUACCACACGUAAUGAGUCAGUUGCACGUAUGAUGGGAUCAACAAAUAUUAUCUUCAUUAAGCAAUUGGCUGAAGAGGAAUGUUGGUCGUUGUUCAAGCGGUUGGCAUUUUCCAGUCGCUCUUUCGAAGAUUGUGAAAAAUUAGAACCAAUUGGGCGAAAAAUUGCUUGUAAGUGCAAAGGCCUGCCUCUUGCUGCAAAGGUAAUAGGGAAUCUCUUGCGCUCUAAAAUUACAGUAAAAGAGUGGCAAAGAAUUUUAGAUAGUGAAAUGUGGAAAGUACAAGAGAUUGGGCAAGAUCUUUUGGCCCCUUUGUUGUUGAGUUAUAACGAUUUGCCCUCCAAUUCUAUGGUAAAACGGUGUUUCUCAUAUUGUGCUGUCUUUCCAAAAGACUACAAUAUGGAUAAAGAGGAGUUGAUUAAUCUGUGGAUGGCUCAAGGUUACCUUAAUGCAGAAGAAGACGAAGAGAUGGAGAUGAUUGGGGAAGAGUGUUUCAACAUUUUAGCAGCACGCUCUUUCUUUCAAGAGUUUGAGAAAAAUGACGAUGAUGAUAUUAUGAGUUGCAAGAUGCAUGACAUAGUACAUGAUUUUGCUCAAUUUGUAAGUAGCAAAGAAUGUUUGUGGCUAGAAAUUAAUGGUACCAAAGAAUCAGUCAUAAACUCUUUUGGUGACAAAGUCCGUCACUUAGGGUUAAAUUUUGAAGGAGGCGCUUCAUUUCCUAUGUCCAUUCGUGGACUUGAUAGAUUGCGUACCCUUUUAAUUUAUGAGAGAAGUGAUUUCUAUCUGUCUCUUAGUAGUAGCAUCCUUUCGGAGUUAUUUAGUAAAUUGGUGUGUUUAAGGACAUUAGUUAUAAGGCAAUCGUCCCUAUAUUUUCAUCCUUUUCAUCUUGACCCAAAUUCGAUUAGAGAAAUUCCAGAAAAUAUCAGAAAAUUGAUACAUUUAAAAUAUCUUAAUUUAUCUGAAUUAGGCAUAGAGAUACUACCUGAGACUUUGUGUGAAUUAUAUAAUUUACAAAAGCUAGAUAUUAGGCGGUGCCGAAAUCUUAGAGAAUUGCCAGCGGGGAUUGGGAAGUUAAUGAACAUGAGGAGUUUACUGAAUGCUAAAACUUAUUUGUUGGAGUACCUGCCAAUAGGGAUUUCCAGAUUGACCAGCCUUCGAACAUUAGAAAGGUUUGUUGUGGGUGGAGGUGUUGAUGGCGGCAGCACGUGUAGGCUUGAAUCUCUGAAAAAUCUUCAACUCCUUCGUGAAUGUAGAGUAGAAGAACUGAGUAAUGUAUCGCAUGUAGAUGAGGCUAAGAGGUUACAACUUUACAAUAAGAAAAACCUCCUUCGUUUGCAUCUUCUGUUUGGAGUCGUAGAUAUGGAAGGUGAAGAAUGGAGGAGGAAGAAUGAGAAAGAUAAACAACUUCUUGAAGCCUUACAACCGCCUGUGAAUGUAGAGGAGUUAAGGAUUAAAUGCUACGGAGGCAACAUUUUUCCCAAAUGGUUGACUUCGCUAACCAAUCUAAGGGAACUAAAACUUUCGUUGUGUUUUAACUGUGAGCAUUUGCCUCCUUUGGGAAAAUUACCUCUGGAAAAACUCGAACUAAAGUACUUGACAAGUGUAAAAAGAGUGGGUAAUGAGUUUUUGGGAAUAGAAGAAAGCAGUUAUUGGGACGACCCAUCUUCAUCUUCAUCAUCAUCAUCAGUUACUGCCUUCACCAAAUUGAAAUCUCUCAAAAUUUGGGACAUGCAAGAAUUGGAAGAGUGGAAUUACAGGAUUACGAGGAAGGAAAACAUCUCCAUCAUGCCACGUCUUUCUUCCUUGAUGAUUUGGUCUUGCAACAAAUUAAAGGUAAUGCCAGAUUACCUUCUUCAAACGACGGCACUGCAGGAACUGAGUAUUUAUUCUUGUGAAAAUUUGGAAGAACUGCCCAUUCUAGAAGAUCGCAGGACAACAGACAUACCGCGUCUUUCUUCCUUGUUUAUUCAGAAUUGCCCCAAAUUGAAGGCGCUGCCGGAUUACCUCCUUCGAACGUCGACGCUGCAGGAAUUGACUAUUGACAAAUGUCCCAUUCUGGAAAACCGUUAUAGAGAGGGGAAAGGAGAAGACUGGCAUAAGAUAUCUCACAUUCCCCACAUCAAGAUAUCACCACAUACGAUUAUCGCUGGUAAUUUCUCCUCCUCCUCUGAUUUACUUCGUUGUUGCUUGCAAUGAAAUUAAUAAAAAUAAUUAUAUUUUGAAUUAAAAUUCUAUAUAGAAUCAAUCUUGGUAUAAAUAUGUAAAACUUCCUAGUUAUCAAAUCUGUUAAACUUGUUUUCUAAAGAUUAAAUAAUAAAAAAAUACAAGUUUAGUCUGUUGAAAUUUCUAUAUUUAUUUACUUUUAAAAAAUUUGUGCUCUUUUGUAAAAUUUCAUACAACAUCAUAGAAAAUCCUAAUGUAUUUUAUUUUUUAAUGCACGAAAAUUUGUUAUGUGCAACUUCCUGAGAGACAAAAUCUCUGUGAUACAUUUGCAGAAAUGUUGAAAACUAAAUCAUCAAUUUUAUCUUGUAUAAUGAUAAUCGUAUUUUUUAUAUAUAAUUUACGUGACAUUAAUUGUUUAAAGUAAUUGUGUAAUUGUUUUUAGUAGUACAUUAGCCCACUUUGUUUUAUUUCAUACGAGUUUAAUUAUGUUCACCAGGGAUUCGAGGAAAUGUCAGAACCACACUAGCAAUUCACAGGUCCAACCUAAUUUGGUUUUAAUGAUGCAGGCAGGAGAGCAUGCUAAGAAAAUGAAAAGUUUAGCCAAAGGAUUGCUAAAAUGUUCUGCUGGUAAUUCACUUGCUUUAUUUUAUAGAAUUUCAUUUCCAUCUUCUUCUAUUGAUAUCUUGUUGUGAAUAAACAAGAACAGAAAAGUAAAGAUGUAUCAAAAUUCGCUAUUAUGAUGAUGUUAAAGCAAGCUCAAGCUCAAGCAUUGCAUUUUAUUUUAUUUAGUUUAUAGAAUUUUCAUUUCCACCUGCAUUUCAUUUUUAGGUUGACUUUGAAGACUCUAUGGAGAAAAUUGGGGUAACCAAGGAUUAUCACUGCGGUUAUUGUGCAACGUUUGGUUGCUGGACUUUAAAGAAGGAAGUGAUGGCUGGGUCUGCUCUGUUUCAAUUGACAGCUGCCCGAAAGACAUGAUGAUUAUUGUUGCAUGAUGUUAAGGUGCUAAGAUCAUCAUUUCUAUCUUGUUUCAUUCUCGGAAUCAAUGGAGGCAGGAGUUUGGUGUUGACACUAUUAUGCAGGUAACCACACUUGAUAGUUUGCACAAAUUUGCGUUGUCAGAAUAUCCUUUAAUAUUCAUUGUGUUUCUUUGUAUUAUCAGGUUAUCAUGGUAUGUAGAGUAUCAUCUCCAAGGGUUUGAAAGAGCCUUUGCAGUAAAGUCAGUUGUCACCAGCUCGUGCAAUUGCACAUUCAUUCAGAGUACUUCAAUGUUAGGUUUUCAAGUUUUGUAUGUUUAUUCAAUUAAAAUGUUUAGUCACUCAUUCUUAAUCAUUUCUGAUUUUCAAGUUCUUUAGGGCCAUAAACUGUUUUUGCAACUCAUUCUUAUUUUUAAGGUUGAUUUCCUACUCGUGCAGAACAUUGGUGAGACCAAGGAUUAGGCUGGCGAUGGAACCACUGCCUCUGUUGUUAUUGUGCAAGGUUUGAUCGCUGGACCUUGAACAAGAAAGCCUUACACGCAUUUUGUAAUUGAAGCGUUCUCUAAAGCAAAAGAGCAGUAGAAGGAAUAGUGAUGGCCGGAUCUGCGCUAUUUUAAUUGAAGAUGUCUGUGAUGUUGAGGGACUUAAAGCAGUUAAUGCUCUUUGAAAAUUGUUACUACAGAUGAAUUGAUUCCUGAAGGCAUUUAUCUAAUGAAUGUUAAGCGUAUUUUCAUAAACUUCCUUUCUUAACAAAUGUUUCAAUGCCUGCUGUAGUAACAAUUUCAUAUCUUGCAUCUCUCGGGUGCAUCAUGUUCAUGGGUUUGAAAAAGCAUUUGUGCCAAAGCUUCAAAGCUUGUACAAUGGUUGUGAAAAGGCACAUUCAAUACGGUACGUUUUGGUGCGGUCUCCUAAUGCUAAUAUCAUAUUUUGUAUCGCAAUUAAAAUUUAGAUAUGCAGUCUUAUUACGCCAUAAAUCAUUGUGUACAAAGUUUUCUAUUAACUAUAUGGUGACUGAAAUUUUAAUUAUCAUAUCAAUCUUAAAAUUUUUUUAACUCUCUUUUACUAUGCUUGUAUAGAGUACUUGUUUUGGCUGAUAUGUCUAAUUCGUAGAAAUUCAUUUCCUUCGGUUUCCAUUGGCUUUAGCACAAACAGAAACAGAGCUCUGGGGAAAAGUUUGACUUCUUGUGGUAUUAUGCCUUUGUUUCUUCAUUCAUCAUAUUUUUCAAAUUCAUGCUCUCACUCAGAGAGUAAAGCCUUUUCCAGGCUGCUUUGUAGCCAAACUUUGACGCCAUUGAUGCAUGACUGUCAUUUAGAUUUUCCAAAUAACUGUUAGAUUGGAGAAGAAUAAGAAGAUGUUGUUAAAAGGGUAUUUAAUUAGCGCCCGCUGAAUUUAGUUGCCAAUAAUGCAUUAAAAUAGUUGGGGAAAGUUACUGUCUUAAUUAAAUUACAGGUGAUAAGAUGCUGCUUCAAUUUUGCAAGCAUCUCGUAUUGUGAAGAUUUUACCCACAUGAGAUGCCGUGAUGCUUGACAUCAGGGUAAUACAGGUCAAAUUUUAGUAUCAAUAUAUAUCUUCUUCUUUAUUGUUCUGCCUCUAAAUAUUAAACUUUAGGCAAGUUGUUUUUGUUUAUGUAAGUUUAUCAGGUUAAGGAUACUAAGCAGCUUAAUUGUUCACAAGCCAAUUUGAUCAGUGCUAGAUAUCAUCAUCAAAUUUGAGUAGAGAAUCUUUGAAGAGAAUUUUGUUGUGAGAGUUUCACUGUAAUGAAUUUUGGGAGCUUGAACUCACGUGAGUGAGAAAUUAGAAGGUAUUGGGGAUUUGGGUUAUGAGUAAUCGUUAUCCUUCCAAUAUUUGCAAGCUCUCACUUGUUAGUAAAAUCAUCUUCGUAUAUUGACUCUGUUUCUUUGUUGCCAGGAAGAGUGUGAGCUUCACAGGUUUGAGGAAGUCUUUGCAGUAAACUUUGCACCACGAGCAAUUGCUGCCAAGAGGCAUAUACAUUCAGAGUAAUUUAGUUUCAGAUUUACAAGGUGUGUAUAUUAAAUUAGUUUCGAUUAUCAUAUUUAGUCACUCAUACUGAAACUUUUCUAAUUUUCAAGUUCCUUAGGGACACCACGGUGUUUCAAGUCUGCAUAUGGCUGCAAAAGAUUGAGGCAUCGCGAUUGAGCACACACAGAAACAGAGCAAAAGGAAAAGAAGACAGUAGAAGAUGCUAUAAAUAUAACAAAAGUAUACUUCUACUUGUGGUUAUUUCAAUUUUGUUUCUCCUGUCAUCAUAUUUGAUUAAUUCGUUUGAACUCACAAUCUCACACAUUAUUUAAAACCAUUUGCAGGUGGUUUGCAAGCUAGUUAAGUUAACGCAAAAACAAUACUCUAGACAAAGACGAGCAAAUUAAAGGUGAUAAAUGCAAAUUGAAUUUCCAUGAUUAAUUGUUAGGCUGGUGCAGAUAUUCUUAAAAAGGCAUUAAGCUACCUUAUGGAAUUGGAAAAUUAUUAUUGCUUGAAAGCAAGCAGCAUCUUUGUUGCGAAGGCUUUCCCCACUUGAUAAGAUGCAAGAUUCUUCGCCAAACAUCCUUUUCAUUCCUUUGUUCACUUAUUCGUUAUAAAUAGAGUAAACUUAGAAGAUUGUUCUGUUUGCUGUCUAAGCCAGUGUAACAUUUGUUAAAUUUGGGCCAUCUGCCUGACAGGUUGUCUGUGACAAUCCCAUCUGUAAGUACUAAUGCGCUUGGUUAUGGUGCUUUCAUUGGACUAUAUGCAAACAUGAGAUUUCAGCUAUUGUGUGGAUUUGAUAGAGCGGUCACCAACCAUUUUGAAGUUAUUGGAGUAGCACUGAUCGUAGGCACGGCUUUGAGGUCAUUCCCUCUUCUUUUAUGAAUUUGUCUAUUGAUUGACAUCUCUAUAUAUACAUUGAUAGACCAAAUUACUCUUGUUUUAAUGUUUUGUUUGUUGAACUUUGACUGGGGAAUUUGUUUGUUUGUCUCAUAGUUGUUAAUGUGGUUCCUAUUGAAGUGUAUAUAUCUAUCACAUCAAUGUCUGAUGUCAAUUUUCCUUUACUUAAUCAACUAGCAUCCUUUCCAAGUCCAGAUACUUACCCAUUUGUUCAGCCACAGUGAUUGCAGUCUGAAUUCUUCUUUACUGUCUAUAUGUGUUGGAGUUUGUCUAUUGUCAACUUCUCAAAUGGAUUCCAUGCAGGGUUUUGAAUGUCUAAUUAGGAGAAAGAUCAACGGAUGACCUUUUGAAGAAGCCUUGCACAACAGGCUUGAUACCAAAGUCUCCAGGUGGUUGAUACCAAAGAAUGCCAUUGUUUCUGGGCUUGGGCUCCUUGGCGUCAAACAAGAUAAUGGGAAAUAGGGGCAACUAAAGCGCGAAGAAAGAGGAUGGUCCGGAGGAAGGUGUCUGCAUAAAUUUGUUGGAGUUGAUGUAGUCAAUUGCCCAAUUUUGCUGCCUGUCGAAGAGACACGGCAUGGAAGUCCUCAUCAAACUCUGAGACACCUAAGAAAUAGUAUGAGGUGGUGGUAUUUCCCUGGUGUUAAUUUCCUGGCAAGUGUGAUUCACAGAUAGAGGGAUUCUUUUCUUGAUGUCUAAAUGCCAUAUGUGAUGCAACGUCGUAUAUUCUAAGAUAUUAAAUUCUAUUUCAGAUUUCUCAUAUAGUGUCGUUGUCACUUCUGUGGUACACUUUUGAUCGCAAAUUUCCAUUUGAAGUAGCUGAUAUUCUUUACAGACUAAUUAUCUAAUGAUUAUUUUGUACAAUAAAAAUCAAAACUUAAAUUAUUUGAUCAUACUCAACUUAGGUCUUAUUCGAUACUACUAGUUGUUGUGAAGAAAAAAAAAAUGACAAUGUGUAAUAAAUGUAUGACUUUUAAAUAAUAAUUUUAAUAAAAAUAAUAAAGAUAUUAUAAGUUUUUUUUUAUAAUAAAAUAUGAGAUCAAAUCAAAUUAAUUUUUAAGUCACAAUAGCAAAUGUUUAUCAAAACUAUUUAAUUAUAUGACUUAAAAGAUAUAGUUGUCUAACCGCAACAAUAUAUAUAAAGAUUUACCAAACUUUACCCGACUUUAAUUGUACCCACUCAAUUAUGUAAGUCCAUACUCCACGCGCUUGACCAUAUGAAAUGUUACUCAACUUUAACAAAUCUUACUUAAACUUUGCACGUUUGACCUGCUGGAUGAAAUAUGAUAGCAUAUGAUGCGAUAGAAUAUAAUAGGAAUGGUUGUAACAAGAUUAUAAUUAGUACUAGUUUAUAUUUUAUGUGAUGUAGUAUAUGAACACAUUAUAUUACAAAUUUUAGUGUUAUACUAAUUAAAAAUUGGAAUUAUUUUAUUAUUGUAAAAAUUUAAUAUCUUAAAUAACAGUUAUUUUUAUUAAGUAUUUUUGUUGCAAUGAAUUAUACUUUUUAAAAUAUAAUUGAAAAUUCUUAUUACUAAACUAAUAAAAAAUUAAUUAUUUGAGUUAUCUCCUAAACUACUUAGCUCACGAGAUAAAUUCACUUAGUUUAAAACGAAACGGAUUACAUUUAGUACUAUUUUGUAUUUUAUGUGACGUAGUGGAUGAUUCAAUUAUAUUAUAAAUUUUAUUGUAAUAAAAAAAUUUUGAAUUAUUUUAUUAUUGUAAAAAUGUAAUAUCUUAAAUAACAAUUAUUUUUAUUAAGUAUUUUUUAAUGAUUUAAAAUAUAAUUGUAAAUUCUUAUUAUUAAACUAAUAAAAAAUUAAUUAUUUGAGUCAUCUCCUAAACUACUUAUUUCACGAGAUAAAUUCAAAUAGUUUUGAGAGAAAGAAAGAGAGAGAGGGAAAAAAAUCUUGCUUCCUCUACUUUCUACUCUAGAAGAAAAGGAAAAAAUCUAAUAGUUUUCUCUAUUUUCUAUGACUAUUGAUCGUUAUUCAAAUUUUCAAACAAUAGCCUUAAUAUAAACAUAAGUUAAUUUAUGAUUUCAUCUCAAAUUUCUGAUUUUAUCUUUUUAUUAUUCUCUUAAUUAGUUGUGUUGUUAUUUGUUCUUAUUUCUUUUUAAUAUAUUCUUUUAUUCAUCUACUUUUUUUGUGCUUAUUUUAUCUAUUUUGAAAUAAAACUAUAUCAAAAAACUUUAGACAAUAGAAGAAUAAAAAAAGAGUAAUGAUACAGCCACAAACUCUUGUACAAACUUAUUUUGUACAAACUGAUGUGGCAUGAUAAGAUUGGUUGAAUUAAAUAUCACUUGGCCCACAUGAUUUGUUUUUAUUAAUUUAUAUUUUCAUUCAAUCAAUGAAUUAAUGCCACAUCAGUUUGUAUAAAAUAAGUUUGUACAAAAUAAGUUUGUACAAGAGUUUGUGGUUGUACCAUUACUCAUAAAAAAAUUAGUUUAAUUUAAAAAAAUAAAAAAGAUAUCGUUAAACUUAAAAAAAUAAGUAGAAAUGUUAUAAUUGAAUUAAAAUUUUAUGAAUUAACAACAAUAGAAUAAAUUUGUAUUUAAUAAUUUUAUAUUUUAAAGUAUUUAAAGAAUUAAUUUUUAAUAAAUAAUAUUAAUAUAUAUAUAUAUAUAUAUAUAUAUAAGUUACUUAUCUCUCCAUCCGCACUUAUCUCUCCCUCACAUUCAUCCUCAACCACACAUCAACAUCAACAUCAACAUCACCUCUCAUUGGACCCCACAUCCUCAAGCCCAUCACAGCCGUCCAUAACCUCACCCUCCUCCUCCUCUCCCUCAUCAUGGCCGUUGUUUGCCCUCUCUCCAUCAUCCUCCAUUUACCGCACCUCCGUUACACCCUCUGUUUCCUCCUUACCAUUUCUCCGUCUGGCACGGCCUAAUUCCGACGGAAUCAACGACGGUCGUGAUGGGUUUUGGCUGCGACUAUUCGCGCUUCAAACGGCGGCGUUUCGGUUGGUUUUUGGCGACAGUGACGGUGGGAAAGUGAUGGCUGGCUCAGGAGCUUUCGUUGCUACCAUCCAUGGCCGGUGAGGUGGCCGAAAAUCGGAUAUAUGUCUGCGUCGGGUUCGCAGUUUUGGGUCGGGUUUUCCGGGUCAGUUUGACAGCUUCCUCUAUCCCUCUCCCCCAUAAAACAUUACCCAGCUUCCUCUUAUUAUUAUUUUUUUUUUCACAUACGUUACAGAACAUUAAUGAGAGAUGUUUAGUAGUAAGGACUAUUUUGAUAUUUCGAUGAGUAGUAAAAACUAAUGUUAAAAUUUUAUAGACGAAUGUAUAGUAAGAUGCUCAAAGUACUAGAACAUAUAUAAAUAAUCCCAGCUCUUAUAAAAUUUUGCCACAUAAUGAGUUUUAUCCCUUAAGCAAAACAUAUCGAUAAAGUAUACAAAAGCACAAUGCAUGAAUGAUGGUCUUACAAAGUUCGAAUAUAAAGUUUAUAAUCUAAAAUUAAUGAUGUGACAAUUAACCUAAUGGAGUAAGAAGGCCCAAAUAGAUUAUAUUUUGCUAAAGAAGUAAAUUCUACCAAGAAUACCUCUUUCUAUUGAAUUUAAAUGAUGAUUAUUUGUUUAUAUCAUAAAAACUAAAAUAACUGUGUGAGUAAUUUGAUUCUUUUACAGUAUAAAAAUAAAUUCAGAAAAUGUUAGGGCAUGUUCUGUGUUUUAUUUUUAAAUUUAUAUUAUGAGAAUGAAAAUGGUGUUUUCAAGUUGAUAAAUUUUCAAUUGAAAUAUGUGUUUGUUAUUAUUUCAUUUAUCCUAUAUUUUCAAAAUGAAAAUAACCGAUAGAUAAAGUUAAAAAUGAUAAAAUAAUGGAUAUAUUAAGCAAUUUUACUACAUGCAAAUUAUUUUCUGUGUUUAAAGUUCAUAUAAAGCUUGUUUAUUUUUCAACAUACCAACUUACAAUAAUAAUAAUAAAAUUUUUGUGAUAUCCAAUAUUAACUUUUUAAAGUAAUUAUUUUUUGUUAAUGUGUCCGCUGUUCAAUCGAUCUUUCUACUUUCUAUGCUUGAGAUUAGAUCAUUUGCUUCAAAGAUUCGAACUGGACUUAUAGUAGGAAAAAUAAUUUUCUUCAAUAUGAACUCUAACUCUCUUUUUUAUAUAUAAAAAAAAAUCUAAUUCUCCUUUCAACAUUUCAACAUUUUGAUGAAAUAAAAAAUUAUUGGCGAAAGAUUACAUGCUUCCUUACAUUAGAGAACCAAAUACUCAGAUAGGUAGUGUAAAUCUCUACUGAUCGUUGGUGAUUUUAUCAAAAUAAAAUUCAAUAAAAUGUAUAAGAACACUUAAAUCCGUCCAAAAAAAAAAAUGACCCAGCAAAUAAAGAAAAGUACUGUGAAGUAAAAAUUGAACAAACCUAGAAAGAAGAGAAGAAGAAGAAUGGAAGAAGGAGAUUCGGUUCAUAAAUCAUGGAGGGAGAUGAGACUUAAGAGAUAGGGUUAGUGAGACAGACGAGGUCCUAGAGUCUUAAAGAUGAAGACUAUCUAUUAUUAGUUACUUAUUAUAAUGAUGUUUAUUAUUAUAAUUUAUUUUACAAUUUUUUUAAUGAAACAAGUAAAACAUGUUUAAGUUGUUUUGUAAUUUAUAACUGUUAGAGGCAAGUCAGAUUCUGUGUUUUACAAUUAAAUUUUAUGAGGACUACUGAACGCUUAUUUUACUUAGAUUUAUAAAACGAAAAUGAGAAUGGCAACUUACUUCAUCUCAUACUUUUAGGUCACAAAAAUAGCAAUAAGUCUAACAAAUUUAUUAUUGAAUGUGAAUGGUUAUAUAUCGAUCAUUUGACACGUAUUUUUCUUGACAGAACCUCAAUUCAAUAGACAAAAGCUCCUCUUAAUUUUUCUUUUCUAUUUAAAUAAAAGAACAAAAGAAAUUGAUUACAGAGCCAUUACUUCUCCAAGAAUUAAUAAACGAAAAGGCCCAUAAUUUUUGUAAACCCACCCCACUUUCAAGAAAUAAUUACAAUAAGUUCAAAUUAUUUUUAAAAAAUUGAAAUAAAGAAGAUGUAAUUACAAUAAGUUUGGAGAUUGAAUCAAAUAAAAUAAAAUACCUAAACUAUUAUAUACACGAACUCUUGAUUCUUGGGGUAUUUUAGUCAUUUUAUAUUAUCAUGGUAAGUUAGUCAAAUAAAACUUAUCUUAAAGCAACCUAAAUGGUCAAAGACACCUAAGUUAAAAAAAAAAAAUUAUAUGAAUGAUUUAAUUUAUUGAUUGUCUAUACGUUUUAUUGAUUUAUAUAUUUUAAAAAUAGUAUGAACGUAUUACAAUUAUUUUCUGACAGCAAGGUAGAUUUGUAAAAUAAGUGGGUAGAAAAUAUCCCCGUCCUCAAACAAAUAAAUGAAUUAUCGGUGAUGCAUGCUUUUUUCCAACUUCUUUUUUUCUUUUGGUUUUUUUUUUGGUUUUAAAUGGCAUUGGCCCGACCACUACAAAUUAAUUAGAGAAUAUUUACAAUUAUGUAUCACAGCUGUGGAGUAGAAUCAGGGAAAUUAAAAAUGCUAAAAUUAUUGACGAGUGGGUUAGGCGACAAUAACCAUAAACAUUUUUCGUGUAGUGUAAGAAGAAUGCAACAACUCGUUUCUUUCAGUAUUUUUGCAACAAAAGUACGUUGAACAACUUAUGAAAUUAUUUCUCCUUUUCUUUGCCAGAAUGGAUGUGAUCGCUUCCCCUCUCCCGGAGCAGCUGAACUCCUUUGCUGCUUGUGACUUACCAUAAAUCUUCAAGCCAUUCAAGCUGUGCUUGAAGAUGCAGAGAAGGCAAGUUGAUAUAAGAUUGUUGUAUGGAAUAAGCAGGGUAUCUUCCGAGGCUAGAAAUUGGGCUACGAGUAUUCGUUUUGGACAUAUAAUAUAGUUUCCAAGCUUACGAUGAGUCGAACCAAAUGCAGAACAACCUAGGCUGUUAUGUCCUGCGAUUGAGCUAAAAAUUUCACUUCUUUUAUAGUCGUUUUUCAGUUUUAAGAUAUUUUUCUAUUUUUCUUGAUUCUUCUAAGAUUUUUUAUCAUUUUUUCUAGAUGUUGGAUUUAAGUGCCAUCUGUUUUCUUUCUCUUAUUUAGAUUCGAAAAAUUUUAUUAACAUAUAAUAUUUUGAAUUUGCUUAGUUUGUUAAAUUUGCUAUAUUUAGGCUCCUAUAAAUGGGUUUCAAAACCCUAAUUUUGUUCAUUCAAAUUAUUCUCAAUAAAACUUAUUAUUCAAAUACUAGUUUAUAUUAUGUAAUACCCCACCCCUGGUUUUUGACCCUGUUGACCACCCAUAUAUAUUGAGAGAGAGAGAGAGAACGAAAGAGAGAAGAGACAGAGAGAGAGAGAAAGGAGUUGACCCGGUUUGACCCGCAACCCGACCCGGACCCGCCACUUGACCCGGCCGGUUCUCCCAUUUCCGGCCACCGUUCAGGGCAAGGUUGGUACCGAUUUGAAGCUUGAGAGAUGAGCUACGUAUCCAUGUCGUCCUUGCCGCCGAAAAACGAUCGGAAAGCCACCGAACGAAGCGUUGAAGUACCGCGGAAUCGCCGGCUCGAUUCGCCGUGAUUUCGCCGAGUUCCGGUGUAGCCAUCACUUGGGUUUUGUUCCUUACCUUUCCCUCUGCCAUUUCCGACUAACCACUGACGCCGGGGACGUCGUUUUGCCGUUGAUCGGCCGUUGGAGGACUCACGGCUUUGGGACCUCGAUCCGGAGCCAUCGCCGCGCGUGGGAGGUCACCACCGCCACCAUUGGACUCAGCGUGGCUUGAACUUUCAGUUCUGAGCUUCCCGUCGCCGUCGAUUGGAUUCCGGUGACCGUUGACCGGCAAGGGUAUUUCGGUAAUUUCACAGUCUAAGGGCAAUUUUGUAAUUUUAGAUUUUAUGGGUAUUUUAGUAAUUGUUGUAAUUGAGGAUAAAGUUGGUAAUUUAUGAUUUUGAGGUUAAUUUGGUAAUUUUGAUAUGAGAGUAUUUUGGUAAUAUUGAAUUCAAGGGUAAUUCGGUAAAUUCAUAAAUUUGAGGGUAAAUAUGUAAUUUGUGGAAUCAGUGGAUAAAUUGGUAAUUUUAAGUUGGGGUAAUGAGGUAAUUUGAUAUUUCGAGAGUAAUUCGGUAAUUUAAGUUGUUAAGAACAUUUUGGUAAUUUACGCUCCGAGGGUAAUUUUGUAAUUUCUGACAUUGUGGUUAUUUAUGUGAUCUGAAUUGAGGACAAUUUAGUAAUUGAAGAUUUUGAGGAUAAUUUGGUAAAAUAAUGAUGAUGGGGGCAUUUUGGUAAUUUUGGCAUGUAGGGGUUUUUCGGUAAUUUUGUACAUGCGGGAAUAGUUUAUUGUUGAUAGAUUUUCGUUUCGAGAAUUAUUAUGUAAGAUUCGUUGUAUUUCAAGUUAACGGAGAAUGAUUAUGUCGUUUGCUUGAUUAGGAGGAUCUGCGAAACGAGAAUCAACCCGCGGACGUUGUUGACACCGAGUCUGGACAUUGUCACUGUGAGUGGAAUAUACGAAACCUAUUUUUAGAGUUAAUUAUGAUAGUAAAGCAUGUUUGCGGAAUAAGUAUUUUAAAUGUUCUGAUUUAAUGAUUUCUUGAAAUGGAUUUAAUGGGAUUUUCUCGAAAUGGAUUUUAUUCACGUGUUGAUAUUAUAUUAAAAUGUUUGGUUAAUGAUUUUGCGUAUCGAUUUUGAAUAAAGAGUGAUAUGAUUUGAAAGCUAAGAAAAGUGGAUUCAAAUGUGGUAUGAUUUAAAAUAUGGUAAAGAGGUAUGUGAAUAUGAGUACAGUGAUUGUUUUUGAAAUCAUUAGACAGUACCCUUCCCCUCCAGAUACAGUGAUAUAAAUGAUAUGAGAUGAGAGGUCUUUGGGGCCCGUCUGAACACACAUAGAGGCUUUGGGCCGUGUGUUUGGGCGCUUUUGCCUUUGGGGCAUAUGCAUGCGGUAUGAUUAUUACAGUGAUACAGAUAUUGAGAUACAGUGAUACAGAUAUGGGCUACAGACAGUUAUUGAGAUACAGUGAUACAGAGAUGGGAUACAGAUCAGUUAUUGAGAUACAGUGAUACAGAGAUGGGAUACAGAUCAGUUAUUGAGAUACAGAGAUACAGUGAUAUAGAUAUGAGAUACAGACAGUUGAGAUACAGAUGAGAUACAGGCCUUUGGGGCCCGUCUGAGUACACACAGAGGCUUUGGGCCGUGUGCUUGGGCGCUUUUGUCCUUUGGGGACUAGAUUAUGUAUGCACAGAUAUGAUGAGAUAUGAGAUAGUAUUUCCCUGUCUAUCCGUGUAGCUCCGGGGCGUGACGUUACCCAGAUAGUAGCCCGUCCGUUGAGGUCCGAAUAUGACGAGAUUAUUUCCCUGGGUACUUGUUUGAUGAUAGUUUUGGUAUUCAGUAUUUGAUAUGAUAAGUAUUAUGUUUCCAUCGAUUUUAUGCAGAUUUAUGUAAUAUAGUAUUUCAGUGACUGAUUUGAAUUAACUACUUAUGAUAUUCUGAUGAAAUUGAUUUGAGAAAUUGAUGAUUUGAGAAAAUUGAUUUGAGAAAGAUUAAAUCAUUUGAAAAGAAUUGGUUUUUCAAAGUUACUAUCCACUCACUGAGUUCACUGAGUUUUAUACUCAUUCCGCUUUUAUUAUAUUUCCCCCCCCUCACAGGAGAUUUGCAGGUACAUCAGUCGACUCAGUAACGAUAGUUAGAUUUGAAAUUGUGGCCACGUGCUGGUGCUAGGAGUCGUGGAUUUAAUACUGUGAUUUUUGGGAUAUUGCGAGUUGUAUUUAUUUAUUCUAUUUCGUAAUUAAGGAAAACUAUUGUAUUUUAAUAUCAGAAUGAUUUGGGAGUAUUUGGUAUGUCGACUUGAGAAGUUGGUUAUGGAGGAUGGAUGGAUAUUGAAUUAUUUUGGGAGUAUUGUUUUGUAAAUUGCAGGUUGGGAAUGUUUUAUUUAUAAGGGAGAUUCUGCCGAAAUUUUUAUAGAAUUCUUAGAUAUCGUAAUUAAUAUCGUUUUGAUUUUACGAGUUCAGAUGGACUCGCCCUGGGGGUGCGGGGCGGGUCGUUUCAUAUUAUCUAAUAGCUUUUCAAUGUUUCUGCAUCAUCAGCUGGUAUCAGAGCAAGUUCACUUGUCAUCAUGGUGCGAACACACAAUCAAAGGAGCAACCAUCCCGGAGACGAUGUUCAAGGGAUGUAGGCAACGACUGUGGAGGUUAUCAGAUAGAUGGUCAAAGGAGCAGUCUUGCAAGUCAUGAAGGACGCAUAUAACCUGAGAAUGGUAGCAGACAAAUAUUAGGUUAUCUCUUGUAAGCCAUAUUCAUAAAUGUAUUGAGGGAAAGAUACUUUUUUCUUGUCUUAAAUGAUGUGUGGGAUGGACGUUACAAUUAAUGGGAACCAUUCUUCUGUUGUUUAAAGAAUGGUCUCUACGAUAGUCAAAUUUUGAUUACUACACGUAAUCAGUUAGUAGCAAGCAUGAUGAGAUCAACAAAUCUUGCCUUUCUUAAGGAAUUAAUUGAAGAAGAAUGUUGGUCAUUGUUUAAGGAGGUAGCAUUUUUGGGUCAAUUCUUCAAGGAUCGUGAUCAAUCGAUCAAAAAAUUGCAUGUAAGUGCAAAGGCUUGCCUUUUGUUGCAAAGAUAAUAGGGAAAUUCUUACACUAUAAAUGACCAAUAGAAGAAUAGAAAAUAAUUUUAGAUAGUGGAAUGUGGAAGGUAGAAGAGUUUGGGAAAGCUCUUUUGGCUCCUUUGUCGUUAAGUUAUAAUGAUUUGUCGUCCAUAGUAAAACAAUAUUUCUCACAUUGUGCUAUCUUUUCCAAAGGUUACAAUAUGUGUAAAGAGGAACUAAUUACACUAUGGAUGGCUCAAAAUUACCUUAAAUGUAGAAGAAGGAAGAGAUGGAGAUCCGAUCCAAUCUGAUAGUAGUAGUUUAUUUUAAUUUUUAUUAAUUUGAUUUCAUAGGAGUAGUUUUCAUUUUUUGUUGAAAUUUGGUAAAACAAAAAACUGAAAUGAGAUAAUUACUUUAAAACAAUCUUCAAGAACUAAAAUAAUUAAAAAAAAACUCAAAAUAAACAAAAAAGGCUUUAAAAUAACCCUAAUCCGAACAUUAUUUGAAUCAAUCCUAACUAGCCCGAAUAUGAUUUUAACCCAAACCCAACCUAACUCGCUUAUAAUUAUAACCCAAUGCGAUCCAAAUUCAACUUGAAUAUUUGAUCCGAUCUAAUCCAAUUUGUAUAUUCUAACCCUAUCAACCAGAAACGCAAUUAGGUUGAUCUGAACCCACAUUUGUCCACUCCCAAAGGGGAUCAUGACCCUACAAGCUUUGAAAGUUUUUUGAGAUUUCUAAGUGAAUAUUAAAAAUUAUGUAUAAAAAGACUGAUUUGACCCCUAAACACUUGAUAUAGAAACUUUAUACAUACAAUAGAAAUUUAAUUUUAUAUUUUGUGAAAUAAAGUCAAAGUAACUGAAUUUUUUUUUAUUUUGUUAAUUAUUUUUCUACUAUGACAAAAUGACAAAUAGCCUUGUGCCUAGCCCUUUGACUUUUAUUUUGCUAAUUAUUUUUUUCAUUUCUCUUGCAACAGUAACUUCAAUUAUCAAUCAAAGUCGCCAAAUCAAAAUCUCUGCAGCCUGCAGCUACAAGCAAACUUCUCAAAUUUCGAAAUUCCUUAUGACUACAUAAUAGCUAUAAAUAGAAAAAGCGUCUAAAAUAACUAUGUUUUUCGUUUGAGCUUGAGCUCCCUGAAGAUUUACUCCAUACGUAACAAAAUAUUAGUUUUGCUAGUAAAAUUGCUAACUAUGUUUUUCUUUGUAUUUCCACUCAAGGAUGAAGAAAUUUCCCUAGACUUUUGUGGUGAAUAUCUUACGAACAUAUGAAAAUUUAAUCUUUGGCUGAGACUUGCUUAACAUAAGAGAUGACACUUUGAAGCAAUAGGAGAGAGAGAUAAUAAGCUUUGUUCCCCCAAAAAAAUCUAUCAGAUAUAUUAUGCCCCCGGUUGCUAUUGCUAAAAAUAGUCAUAAUUACUAAAAAAAUAAGUAAUUCUUUUUUUAUAUAUUAAAAUGGUAAACGGGUGGAUAAAAUUUAAAAUAAUUAUUUAACUUUUUAUCUAUUUUGACAUUCGAAUUUUAAGCUCGAGAAGUAAAGCAAUAAAUAAACCUUUUUGAGAGGCUAACUAAAUUCUUAGUAAUUUCAUAUAAUUGCAUUUCAUCAGAACAGUUUUAUCAAAAGCAAUUUUAUAAAUCUUUGUGGAAAGCUUUAAUCCUUAAUUAUCUUUCACAUAUUUUCUUUGUAAUAUGAGGUAAGUCAUGGACCAUAGUAUGGUAUUUAUUGUAAAUAAAAUCAUUAUGAAACUGAUUUUAUUCUUUUUUUUUUUCACAAACAAAGUAUCUAGCUAACUGCAGAUAUAAUGAAUUACUAAUUACCAUUAUUUGAGUCGCUCUCUAAAUUAGAUCUUGGAGUCUGUCAUGGCAUAAUAAAAUUAACGACAUAAUGGCUUUUGAUUUUGCCUACCUGAUAAUAAAAGUUGUCUGCCAUAUAGACAAGAAAUGGAUCCAUACGUUAAAGCAAAAUUGAAAAAUAUAAAAAAAAUAAAUUGCUAGGAGAUGAUUUUAUCUGAAAUUUCACUUGCACGGUAUUGGCUACAAAUAAAUUUGUGAUGAAAUUCAUAACGGAUUAAUAUAAUUGAACGGAAUUACUCUAUACAAUUUCAUAAGUAUGUAUUAUACAAUUAAAAAUCUAUUGAUAUUUAUAAUAAAAUAAUAUAUCUACUAAGUGCUGGGAUAUAUAUUUGUGGGGAAUGAUAAAUGUAGAGAAUUACAGUAAUAAAGGUGGAAGUGGAACUUUAUUAUAAUUAAUUAAUGUGUUUACAAUUCUAUAAGUAUAAUAAAAUAAUAGUAAUAGGUAAAUUGUAGAAAAUUAAUGUGUACUUCAAGGCACAUUACAAAUGUCGCCUUCCUAAAGAUAUUAUUUGUCCCACCAAUUAAGUGAUGCAUAUAGGCUAAACAAAUACACCUCCAGGAUACAAUGAAUCACUUAUUUGUUUGCUUGCGUUGUUCAUCGAUGGAAGCAAACUUGAAUACUCUUGAAUGUUGCAAGCUUGCCAAGAAUCAAUAUAUUAUUCAUGUAGUAAACAAUAUAUUAGAUAUUUGAUGCAUAUAGUAUUGAUGUUAUACAAUAAAAUUUGUUUCAGGAAAGAGGGCUGAAAAGAGAGUGAUGCAAUAUCAUUGUUUCCUUGUUUAAAAAUUAAUUCUAAAUUAGCCAUGACAUGCAAUCUUUUAAUAUUCACAUGUUCUAAAUGAAUAUGCUACAAAGAUAAUGAGUCAAUCAUGUAAGCAGAAGAAACAUUAAUUUUAUUAAUAUUGAGCUUGAGCAUUCCCUAAUACAUGUAUUCUUUCCCAAUAAAGGUACCACCCUUAGACAAUGCAAAUUUGCUUUGACUCAAAUAAGGUACCACCCUAAUUUAGAUACAAGAUUUUUCCUACCUUUAGAUACAUGAUAAACAUCAAUAUGAGUUAAAGGUUUUCCACAAGUGAACUCUAGUUGCACAUUCCCUCUAAUUGAUGCACUGGAGGAAUUUCCCAUCUAAAGAACACUUCAAUCAUCCAUUGCUUUGUAAGAUAUGAAAAAGCUACGAUUCUUGUACACAUACUUGAUUGCACCGGAAUCUAUUCACCAUGCAUUAUCAUGUUCGAGAAUAUUAAUCUUAGAUAUCACGGCCAUAAAUUUUGUCCACAAAAUUUGUGUUCGAACACUUCUUUUAUUUCUUAAGAAGUUGACAGUCUUUUCUAAAGUGGCUAGGCUUUUCACAUUGGUCACAUGUACACUUCUUUUUUUAUUCUGUUGGUUUGAUUCUAUUUGAAAUCAAACUUUUGCUUUUGGUUAUUAAUGCGGUCAUUAGACUGCUUAAGCUCCUUCUCCUCCUCCACAACAUUAAUUUCAGAGGACAUAGCAGUUUGUUCCUCAAGACUAUUAAGUCUAAGUUUCUAUUCAAUAUGAAGACUUUGCUAUGCCUUCCAGGCUAAUUUCCUCUUUGCUAUAUUUAAGACUAUUUUCAUAGUUUUUUCAAGUGGGGGGAAGUUUAUCAAUAAUUGAAGAAAUAAUAAUAAACUUGUUACUUUUCAUGUUGUGUUGGUUGAAUUGAUUAAGAAUGCAAAAAAUCUCAUUAUAUUGUUCAUGCAAACACAGCCUGGUUUACAGAUUUUAGUCGUUGCUUCAUGCAAACACAGCCCAUCCAGGAUGCUCAGGUAUCAAAGAUCCGGCGUUGUUUGAGCUAAGAAGCAAAAGCAAACUAUGUAAUUGUUCAAAUAGAAGGAUUUGCAAGCAUGGUGCUCCAUGCCAGCUGAAAUAUGUAAAGAUAUGCAAGAAUCAAAUUCCACAUAUAGCUUUCGAAGAGGUUCGCGCAUUAGGCUUUUCUAGUUUGUCUGAAUAUUUGGAAAGAUUUGCAAGCAUCAUGUUCCAGUCACAGAACAUCCACGUGAGGAUGCUCAUAAACAUGGCUCCCAUGAACUUGCUGAACGUCUUAAUUAUGAACCGCAAGCUGCCAAUAAGCAGAAUAAUUAUAUCUUUUCCAGUUUUUCUGUCAUGGCUCUUUAUUCCUGUUGUUUGUAAGACCAUGAAAACAAAAAAUUUGAUAUUACAAAUGCUGAUCACUAUUUAUGGUAACGUAUGACGUAUCUAGUAGUACAAAUGCAUAUAGGGUGAAUUUCAGCAUUUUAAUUGACAAGUCAUUUGCUGAUGCUCACCUUUCAAAUGCACUACUGGGUUCUGAUAAUUGAGAGGCUAACUAAAUUCUUAGUAAUUGCAUAUAAUUUCAUUUCAUCAGAACAGUUUUAUCCAAAGCAAUUUUAUAAAUCUUUGUGGAAAGCUUUAAUCCUUAAUUAUCUUUCACAUAUUUUCUUUGUAAUAUGAGGUAAGUCAUGGACCAUAGUAUGGUAUUUAUUGUAAAUAAAAUCAUUAUGAAACUGAUUUUAUUCUUUUUUUUUUUCACAAACAAAUUAUCUAGCUAGCUGCAGAUAUAAUGAAUUACUAAUUACCAUUAUUUGAGUCGCUCUCUAAAUUAGAUCUUGGAGUCUGUCAUGGCAUAAUAAAAUUAACGACAUAAAGGCUUUUGAUUUUGCCUACCUGAUAAUAAAAGUUGUCUGCCAUAUAGACAAGAAAUGGAUCCAUACGUUAAAGCAAAAUUGAAAAAUAUAAAAAAAUAAAUUGCUAGGAGAUGAUUUUAUCUGAAAUUUCACUUGCACGGUAUUGGCCACCUAUAAAUUUGUGAUGAAAUUCAUAACGGAUUAAUAUAAUUGAACGAAAUUACUCCAUACAAUUUCAUAAGUAUGUAUUAUACAAUUAAAAAUCUAUUGAUAUUUAUAAUAAAAUAAUAUAUCUACUAAGUGCUGGGAUAUAUAUUUGUGGGGAAAGACAAAUGUAGAGAAUUGCAGUAAUAAAGGUGGAAGUGAAACUUUAUAAUAAUUAAUUAAUGUGUUCACAAUUCUGUAAGUAUAAUAAAAUCAUAUUAAUAGGUAAAUUGUAGAAAAUUAAUGUGUACUUAAGGGCACAUUACAAAUGUCGCUUUCCUAAAGAUAUCAUUUGUCCCACCAAUUAAGUGAUGCAUAUAGGCUAAACAAAUAUACCUCCAGGAUACAAUGAAUCACUUAUUUGUUUGCAUGUGUUUUUCAUCGAUGAAAGCAAACUUGAAUACUUUUGAAUGUUGCAAGCUUUUCGAGAAUCAAUAUAUUAUUCCUAUAGUAAACAAUAUAUUAGAUAUUUGAUGCAUAUAGUAUAGAUGUUAUACAAUAAAAUUUGUUUCAGGAAAGAGGGUUGAGAAGAGAGUGAUGUAGUAUCAUUAUUUCCAUGUUUAAAAAUUAAUUCUAAAUUAGCUAUAACAUGCAAUCUUUUAAUAUUCACAUGUCCUAAAUGAAUAUGCUACAAAAAUAAUGAGUCAAUCAUGUAAGAAGAAGAAACAUUAAUUUUAUUAAUAUUGAGCUUGAACAUUCCCAAAUACAUGUAUCCUUUCCCAAUAAAGGUACCUGAAACGACCCGCCCCGAAAACCCCUAGGCGAGUCUAUCUAGUCUCAUCAAAACGGACUAGAAAAUCUAUUCAUAAAGAGUCUGCCGAAAAUUCGGCAGAGUCUCCUUUAUAUAUAUAACACUCCCAAUCUACAAAUAUGAAAAUAACACUCCCAAUACAAAUCUCAUAUACAACAAACUCCAGUACUCAACAUACUCAACCAAAAUGCUGAGUCUUAUAUUAUACAAUCCCAAAAGAACAAGAUGACCAAAAUGUCCCAACAAAAACAUUUACACAAUCUAGCACCAUCACGUGGCCAAGACUCAAAAUAUAUAUACAGUCGCUGGGUCAGUCUGGUGUACCUGCAACCUCCUGGUGAGGGGGGAAAAAUAUAAUAAAAGCAGGGUGAGUUUAAAACUCAGUGAGAUCAGUGAGUGGAUAGUAGGUUUGAAAAUUAAAUCUUACUUUAAAAGAAAUAAUCAUAUCAUUUCCAAAUACGGUUUCAUUAAACCAUAAGCGAGAAAUCAGAAAUAAAUCAUUAAACAUUUAAAUCAGAUUACCAACCAUAGAAAUCAUAUCACCAAAUCAUAUAGGAUUCACAAAUCUGAAAAUCAUCAUAAAACAAGUACCCAGGGAAAUAAUCUCGUCAUAUCCGGACCUCAACGGACGGGCAAUGACGUACUAUCUGGGUAACGUCACGCCCCGGAGCUACACAGAUAGACAGGGAAAUACCAUCUCAUAUCUCAUCAUAUCUCUGCAUGCAUAAUCUAGUCCCCAAAGGACAAAAGCGCCCAAGCACACGGCCCAAAGCCUCUGUGUGUACUCAGACGGGCCCCAAAGGCCUGUAUCUCAUCUAUAUCAUCUGUAUCACAAUAUCGGUCUGUAUCUCAUGUCUGUAUCAUCUGUAUUUCAAUGUCUGUCUAUAUCUCAUAUCUGUAUCACUGUAAUCAUACCGCAUGCAUAUGCCCCCAAAAGGCAAAAGCGCCCAAACACACGGCCCAAAGCCUCUAUGUGUGUUUAGACGGGCCCCAAAGGCCUCUCAUCUCAUAUCAUUUAUAUCACUAUAUCUGGAGGGAAGGGUACUGUUUAAUGAUUUUAAAAACAAUCAUAAUACUCAUAUUCUCAUACCUCUUAACCAUAUUUUAAAUCAUACCACACAUUUUAAUAUAAUCUCAACACGUGAAUAAAAUCCAUUUCGAGGGAAUCACAUUAAAUCCAAUUCGAGAAAAAUCGCAUUAAACCCAUUUCGAGAAAUCAUUAAAUCAAAACAUUUAAAAUGCUUAUUCCGCAAACAUGCUUACUAUCAUCGCUAACUAUAAAAAUAAGUUUUAUAUAUUCCACUCACAGUGAUGGUGUUCAGGGUCGGUUAUCGUCCAUGUCCGCAGUCCGGUUCUCGCUCGCGGAUCCUCCUAAAUCAAGGAAACGACAUAAUUAUUUUCCAUAAAUCGGAAUUCCGACUCAAUAUAUGCCAUAAACUCGAAACGAACAUUUAUCCAUAAUUUACAACUCCCGUGUCGAUAAAAUUACUAAAAUGCCCUUGCCGGUGAACGGUCGCCGGAAAUUGGUCAACGACGAUGGGAAGCUUAGGUCUGCUAGUUCAGACCUCGGUGAGUCCAAUGGUGGUGGCUGUGAGUCCCCACGCGCGGUACCGACGGCGGAUCGAGCUUCCCAAGCCGUGAGCUUCCAAGUGGCUAUUCGUCGGCAAUCCGGCCGUUUCAGAUGACGAGGUUGGUCGGAAAAUGAUUCUGGUGACGUGAGGAGUAGAAACCAGCUAGAGGUGUGCCCAAACUCUGGCAAAAUCGACGGCGGCGAAAACGGGUCUUGGCCGCGACUUUUCAAGCUCAAACGCCGGCGUUCCAGUCGGUUUCCGGCGACGAGGAUGGCAGGGUUAUGAUGGCCGGCUUCCAAGCUUCAGAUUGGUACCAAGCUCGGCUGGUGAGGUGGCCGGAAUCGUGAAAUCCGUCCGGGUCAAAGUCGCGGGUCGGGUCGGGUUUCCGGGUAAAAAAUCGGGUCAACUCUCUUUCUCUGUGUUACACGUGCAUGUGUUUUCCUUUGUUUCCAACUUAUUCCUUUGCUUAUAAACUCCUUAACCGCCUCAUGCCAUCUUAAGUGCAAACACCACUGCUGCUAGCUCUAAAUCAUGUGUUGGAUAGUUUUGUUCAUGCUUCUUAAGUUGUCUAGAGGCAUAAGCCACCACUUUCCCAUGCUGCAUCAAUACACAACCCAAUCCAUGCCUAGAGGCAUCGCUGUAAACCACAAAUCCUUCAUUACUAUAUGGAAGUGUAAGAACUGGUGCUGAGGUCAAACAUGUCUUAAGUUCUUGAAAACUUUUCUCACAGUCAUCAUCCCACUGGAACUUAGCAUUCUUUCUGGUUAACCGUGUCAGAGGAGUAGCAAUCUUGGAGAAGCCUUCCACAAAUCUACGAUAAUAACCAGCUAACCCAAGAAAACUCCGAACCUCUGUGACAUUUGUAGGUCGUUCCCAUUUCACAACUGCUUCAAUCUUUUGAGGAUCAACAUAAAUGCCUUUAGCUGAUAUCACAUGGCCCAAAAAAUACUACUCUAUCUAACCAGAACUCGCAUUUGCUGAACUUGGCAUACAACUGUUUUUGUCUCAAAAUCUUCAAAACAGUCCACAAAUGCUGUGCAUGCUCCUCCUCGCUUCGGGAAUACACUAAAAUAUCAUCAAUGAAUACAACCACAAACCGAUCCAGGUACAGGCGAAAUACCCUAUUCAUCAGGUCCAUAAAAGCAGCUGGGGCAUUUGUCAACCCAAAUGGCAUCACUAAGAACUCAUAGUGCCCAUAACGGGUUCUGAAUGCUGUUGUAGGAACGUCAACAUCUUUAAUUCUAAGCUGAUGGUAACCCGAGUGCAAAUCGAUCUUAGAAAAUACUUUUGCCCCUUGGAGUUGAUCAAAUAAGUCAUCAAUACGCGGAAGUGGAUACUUAUUGCGCACCGUAACUUUAUUCAACUGUCUGUAGUCGAUGCAGAGUCUAAAAGUCCCAUCGUUUUUCUUAACAAACAAGAUUGGAGCUCCCCACGGGGACACACUGGGUCUAAUAAACCCUUUCUCCACCAACUCUUGCAAUUGAAUCUUCAGUUCCUUCAAUUCUGCUGGAGCCAUUCUGUACGGUGCCAUAGAUAUCGGAGAUGUUCUAGGGACUAAGUCAAUAGAAAACUCAACUUCUCUGUUAGGUGGCAUCCCAGGAAGUUCAUUUGGAAAUACAUCUGGAAAUUCUUUAACUACUGUAAUAUCCUCCAAUCUCAAUUUUCGGACUUCUGUAUCUAUCACAUGAGCUAAAUAAGCUGAGCAUCCUUUUCUUAGCAACCUUCUUGCACUAAUAGCAGAUAUAACACAUGAGGGUAGAACUCUGCGCUCCCCACAAAAUUUCACCUCAGCUUUCCCUGGCUUUUUAAACACAACGUCCUUUUUGAAACAAUCCACCGUAGCAUAAUGAGAUUCAAGCCAAUCCAUACCCAAAAUAGCAUCAAAGUCAUAAAUCUUUAAGGAAAUCAAAUUCGCCUCAAAUUCAUAAUCACCCAUUCCAAUCAUACAAUCUCGAUACACACUCUGAGCAAGUAAUGACUCUCCGGUAGGUGUACGAACAACUAAUUCGCAAUCUAAUAGUUCGGGCUCUCGCCCUAUAUGCAUAGCAAAAGCACGAGAAACAAAAGAGUGUGUAGAUCCAGGAUCAAUAAGAAUAUGAGCCUCGCGGCCAAGGAUAGAUAAUAUACCCAUAAUAACUCUGGUGCAGCACGUGCCUCCUGCUGCGUCAAAGCAAAAACUCAAGCCUGAGUAUGAGGUCGACCAAGCUGACCUCUCUGACCUGGAGCAGUCGUCUGACCCCUAAAGGUAGAUGUAGAACCUCCUGUCUGCACUCCUCUCUGACCCUGAGUCUGGCCAGAGUAAGGCUGAUACCGUGAGGCUGUCCCUCCUGUAGAGCUAUCACCCUGAGAUAAAGUAGGGCAAAAUCUCCUGAUGUGUCCAGGCUGACCACAUAAAUAACAAACUUUGUCUCCAACACGACAUGGGCCCUGAUGAUUCCUGCCACAUGAAGGGCAAGAAAUCUGCUGAAAACGCCUAGAACGAUCAUCACGAUAUCCCCCACCACUGCGGUCGUACUGUCCCUGAUUCUUGGUAUUACUCCCCACCGAUGGUUGCACAGAGCUAUGACUAACAGCUUGUCUCGAGUCCCCCCUGAAGCCUGUACCCUGAUUCCUUUGCGUACUAUCAGAAUAACUCGUAGGAAUACCCCCUCUCUUGGGCGGCCUACUACUAGAGCCACCCUCUGCCCAGCUCUGGCUACGCUUUUGCUUCAGUGCAUGAAAUCUACGUCCUUCUGCAAUACUGUGCUCUACUCUCCUGGCUGCCUCAACUACCUCUCCAAACUUAGUAUAUCGUGAUGCAGUCACAGUGGUACGAAUCUCAAAUCGGAGGCCAUCCUCGAACCGUCUGCAUCUCUCUCUCUCAUCACCGACUACAGAUGUAGCAAAUCUAGAGAGGUCUAAAAAUUUCUUCUCAUACUCCUCAACUGUCAGAGAUCCCUGAACCAACCGAAAGAAUUCACUUCGUUUAAUAUCCUGAUAUACAGCAGGAAAAUAAUGAUCGUAGAAUUCCUUGCGAAAAAUGGCCCAAGUAAUCGCAGCAUGUCCCUGAUAUCGUCUCUCCACUGUCUGCCACCAAUGAUAAGCUCUAUCCUCGAGCAGGAAAGUGGCGAAGGAUAAUCUAUCAUCCUCUGAACACUUCAUCACAUCAUAAAUACGCUCUAACUUAACAAACCAUGACUCAGCCUCAGGUGGUUCUCCGGAACCAUUAAAACUCUUCGCCCCUAAACUCCUCACUCGCUCAAUAGUAUUUGCAUUACCGACAUGCGCUUGCGUCUGAUUUUGCACAACUGUAGUCAUGAUUUGAGCCAGCCUAUCAAAUGACUGCUCAAUAUUCGGGGCAUCCCCCGGUGUCUGUUGUGCAAUUCCAUGCGUAGAGGAUUCAACUAUCCCCUCAUUCGCGGGUUCACGUUCCCCCGCAGGUACACUACCAGAAGUCAACCCAGCUAUUGGCCUAGUACGGCCACGGCCACGUCUACUACUACGACGAAGCAUGAUGGUGCCUACAAGAGAUAAACUCUAACUUUAAUAAAGAUAAAACUUAUUCUGAUUAAGACAGUGAAGUCUACAGAAUCUAAAACCAUGCUCUGAUACCAACUGAAACGACCCGCCCCGAGAACCCCUAGGCGAGUCUAUCUAGUCUCAUCAAAACGGACUAGAAAAUCUAUUCAUAAAGAGUCUGCCGAAAAUUCGGCAGAGUCUCCUUUAUAUAUAUAACACUCCCAAUCUACAAAUAUGAAAAUAACACUCCCAAUACAAAUCUCAUAUACAACAAACUCCAGUACUCAACAUACUCAACCAAAAUGCUGAGUCUUAUAUUAUACAAUCCCAAAAGAACAAGAUGACCAAAAUGUCCCAACAAAAACAUUUACACAAUCUAGCACCAUCACGUGGCCAAGACUCAAAAUAUAUAUACAGUCGCUGGGUCAGUCUGGUGUACCUGCAACCUCCUGGUGAGGGGGGAAAAAUAUAAUAAAAGCAGGGUGAGUUUAAAACUCAGUGAGAUCAGUGAGUGGAUAGUAGGUUUGAAAAUUAAAUCUUACUUUAAAAGAAAUAAUCAUAUCAUUUCCAAAUACGGUUUCAUUAAACCAUAAGCGAGAAAUCAGAAAUAAAUCAUUAAACAUUUAAAUCAGAUUACCAACCAUAGAAAUCAUAUCACCAAAUCAUAUAGGAUUCACAAAUCUGAAAAUCAUCAUAAAACAAGUACCCAGGGAAAUAAUCUCGUCAUAUCCGGACCUCAACGGACGGGCAAUGACGUACUAUCUGGGUAACGUCACGCCCCGGAGCUACACAGAUAGACAGGGAAAUACCAUCUCAUAUCUCAUCAUAUCUCUGCAUGCAUAAUCUAGUCCCCAAAGGACAAAAGCGCCCAAGCACACGGCCCAAAGCCUCUGUGUGUACUCAGACGGGCCCCAAAGGCCUGUAUCUCAUCUAUAUCAUCUGUAUCACAAUAUCGGUCUGUAUCUCAUGUCUGUAUCAUCUGUAUUUCAAUGUCUGUCUAUAUCUCAUAUCUGUAUCACUGUAAUCAUACCGCAUGCAUAUGCCCCCAAAAGGCAAAAGCGCCCAAACACACGGCCCAAAGCCUCUAUGUGUGUUUAGACGGGCCCCAAAGGCCUCUCAUCUCAUAUCAUUUAUAUCACUAUAUCUGGAGGGAAGGGUACUGUUUAAUGAUUUUAAAAACAAUCAUAAUACUCAUAUUCUCAUACCUCGUAACCAUAUUUUAAAUCAUACCACACAUUUUAAUAUAAUCUCAACACGUGAAUAAAAUCCAUUUCGAGGGAAUCACAUUAAAUCCAAUUCGAGAAAAAUCGCAUUAAACCCAUUUCGAGAAAUCAUUAAAUCAGAACAUUUAAAAUGCUUAUUCCGCAAACAUGCUUACUAUCAUCGCUAACUAUAAAAAUAAGUUUUAUAUAUUCCACUCACAGUGACGGUGUUCAGGGUCGGUUAUCGUCCAUGUCCGCAGUCCGGUUCUCGCUCGCGGAUCCUCCUAAAUCAAGGAAACAACAUAAUUAUUUUCCAUAAAUCGGAAUUCCGACUCAAUAUAUGCCAUAAACUCGAAACGAACAUUUAUCCAUAAUUUACAACUCCCGUGUCGAUAAAAUUACUAAAAUGCCCUUGCCGGUGAACGGUCGCCGGAAAUUGGUCAACGACGAUGGGAAGCUUAGGUCUGCUAGUUCAGACCUCGGUGAGUCCAAUGGUGGUGGCUGUGAGUCCCCACGCGCGGUACCGGCGGCGGAUCGAGCUUCCCAAGCCGUGAGCUUCCAAGUGGUUAUUCGUCGGCAAUCCGGCCGUUUCAGAUGACGAGGUUGGUCGGAAAAUGAUGCUGGUGACGUGAGGAGUAGAAACCAGCUAGAGGUGUGCCCAAACUAUGGCAAAAUCGACGGCGGUGAAAACGGGUCUUGGCUGCGACUUUUCAAGCUCAAACGCCGGCGUUCCAGUCGGUUUCCGGCGACGAGGAUGGCAGGGUUAUGAUGGCCGGCUUCCAAGCUUCAGAUUGGUACCAAGCUCGGCUGGUGAGGUGGCCGGAAUCGUGAAAUCCGUCCGGGUCAAAGUCGCGGGUCGGGUCGGGUUUCCGGGUAAAAAAUCGGGUCAACUCUCUUUCUCUGUGUUACACGUGCAUGUGUUUUCCUUUGUUUCCAACUUAUUCCUUUGCUUAUAAACUCCUUAACCGCCUCAUGCCAUUUUACAACCACAGGUGUUACAGUACCACCCUUAAACAAUGCAAAUUUGCUUUGACUCAAAUAAGGUACCACCCUAAUAUAGAUACAAGAUUUUUCCUACCUUUAGAUACAUGAUAAACAUCAAUAUGAGUUAAAGUUUUUCCACAAGUGAACUCUAGUUGCACAUUCCCUCUAAUUGUUGCAAUGGAGGAAUUUCCCAUCUAAAGAACACUUCAAUCAUCCAUUGCUUUGUAAGAUGUGAAAAGCCUACGAUUCUUGUACACAUACUUGAUUGCACCGGAAUCUAUUCACCAUGCAUUAUCAUGUUCGAGAAUAUUAAUCUAAGAUAUUACGGCCAUAAAUUUUGUCCACAAAAUUUGUGUUCGAGCACUUCUUUUCUUUCUUAAGAAGCUGACAGUCAUUUUUAAAGUGGCUAGGCUUUUCACAUUGGUCACAUGUACACCUUUCUUUUUUAUUUUGUUGGUUUGAUUCUAUUUGGAAUCAAAUUUUUGCUUUUGGUUAUUAAUGCGGGUAUUAGACUGCUUAAGCUCCUUCUCCUCCUCCACAACAUUAAUUUCAGAGGACAUAGCAGUCUGUUCCUCAAGACUAUUAAGUUUAAGUUUCUAUUCAAUAUGAAGACUUUGCCAAGCCUUCCAGGCUAACUUCCUCUUUGUUAUAUUUAAGACUUUUUUCAUAGUCUUUUCAAGAGGGGGGAAGUUUAUCAAUAAUUGAAGAAAUAAUAAUAAACUUAUUACUUUUCAUGUUGUGUUGGUUGAAUUGAUCAAGAAUGCAAAAAAUCUCAUUAUAUUGUUCAAUCACAAGUCUAUUGUCAAUCUUUUUAAAACUAAAAAAAAUUAGAAGUCAAGAAUUUCUUACUUGUGGUGUCUUCUAUCAUGUACUUAGACUCCAAUAAGUCUUAUAUUUCUUUUGCAGUGGAUUUUGUUGUGGUACUUAUGAAAACAAAGUACUAGACACAGCAUUGUAAAUGUGUCUUAUGCACACGUAGACAUCUUGCUUCCACUUUUGCCACACUCGAGUUUCUCAUUCUCAUGUUCUUCAGGCUUUGAUAUUGUAAGAACAUUAACAACAUUGAGGCUUGUCAAUAAGAAAUGUAAUAUUUUUUGCCAACGUAUAGAAGUUGUGACCAUAAAUAUUUCUUUACUAUUGAUUUUGAUGAUAACAAACUUGAUUAAGAUUGAUUAAUCCUUUAAAAGCUCAAAAUAAUUUUCAUAUACUUUUAAAUCAUCACUCUCACUUUAUAAAGACUUUAUAUUCUAUGGAAAUAUUUUUGGUUAUUCUCAUGUUAAUGGUUUCAAUUGAAAAAGCUUUGAGAAUUUUGAUAAUAACAAAUAUUGUUUCAAAUCCUGUAAAUGGAUCUAUUUGACAAGUUUUAUAAAGUGUUGGGUCAUAGUAUAAUUUUAUGAAGUUUUGGGGUCAAACUAUUAUUUUGUAAAAUAGUUCAUUGUAGCAGUUACUGUAGAAAACGAUGAUCCGACAUCUUGAUAAUGGCUCGCCGACAUCAAACAGAACUGAAGAUUAGCCUCCGGACACUAACGACAAUCCGACAACUUGAUAACGGCUAACCGACAUUGCACUGAAUUGAAGAUUAGUCUCUGGACACUAACGGCGAUCAACAUCUAGAUAACGGCAAUCCGAAAAUUUAAAAAUUCUGCCCAAUGGUCAUAUUGACAAUUUAAAACAGCGAUUCGACAUCUAGAUAACGGCAAUUCGACAAUGUGUAGAAAGUCAAUAACGGCUAGUUUUCAGCUCCAGUAAUAAAUAAGCUCAAUCAAAUUCAAACUAAAACGAUUGCAACAAUUAUUAUUGACUAAAGUCUUGAGCAUACAACAUUCAUUGAGCCUUAAAUUCUUGUAUUCAUCUCAUUUACUCACACUUUGAAUCUUCAUUUGUAAUCAAACACAGUGUGAGAGAAAUUUAUUUUGUAACAUUCUUUAAAAUCAAAUUGAGUGAUUGUAAGUGUUGGGAUGCACUUGGGUUAAGAGAUUUGGGAUAAUCUCUUUUUGUAAAGGUUUAUUGACACCUUAGGAGUCAAGUGUAAGCAUUUGAAGCCUUGGUGGCUUACUUAGCGGAAUCAUCAAGCCCGGAAAGUUUAGAGGUGUGGACGUGGGCGAGGUUGGCCAAACCACGUAAAAAUCCUCAUGUUUGAAUCUCUCUUACCUUAUCUUUUUAUAUUGUGAUAAAUUUAUUUGUUAUUGCUUUAAAUUUGUUUUAUAUUUGCAUUGAGUUUUGCUUUAAAAAUUGUAUAAUUUUUAGAAUCCUAAUUCACCCCCCUUGGGUUGCAUUACUAGAAUUUCAUUUGGUAUUAGAGCCUUGUUCUCUUGUUAAGACAUAAUCAUCUAGAGUAAAAGAUCAAUGGCAACCCUAAAUGACUCAACCUUUAGAGAAGGACAAUCCACAACUGGACCACCGUUCUUUGAUGGUAAUGACUAUGCAUAUUGGAAAACUAGGAUGAGAAUCUAUUUACAAGUUUUAGAUUAAGAAAUUUGGGAAGUUGUUUAUGAUGGUCCAUUCAUGCCUAUGUUUAAAAAUGAAGGAGAUGAUAUUCCUAAACCAUCAAGUCAAUGAGUGAGUUAGAAAAGAGAAAGAUGUCCUUAAACUCCAAGGCAAUGAAUGCCUUGUUUUGUGCUCUUGAUAAGAAAGAAUUCCAUAGAGUAUCUAGUUGUGAAAGUGCACAAGAAAUAUGGAAUAAACUUGAAGUUGUUUAUGAAGGGACAAAUCAAGUUAAAGAGAUUAAAAUUAGUAGAUACACUCGUCAAUAUGAAUUAUUCCAAAUGGAACAAAAUAAAAAUAUGUAUUCUAUGUAUACUAGAUUUACGAAAAUAGUGAACACCCUAGGAGCUUUGGGAAAAACUUUCUCAAAUAGUGAGAAAGUAAAGAAAAUCAUUAGCUCACUUCUUAAGGAAUGGAGACCUAAGAGGACUGCUAUUUAAGAGGCCAAAAAUUUAAAUACUUUACCUCUUGAUGAUUUAAUUGGCUCUUUUAUUUAAUAUGAAGAAGACUUAGCAGCCGAAAAAAGGGAAAAGUAUUGUUCUCAAAGCUUCAAAAUUUAAGAGCGAUGAGCAAAGUGAACCGGAUGAUGAGGAGUUGGCCAUGAUAGAAAUGAGGUUUAGAAAAUUCUUCAAGAAAACCGGUGAGCGAAGAAGAUUUAGAAACUUCAAGAAUCAAAAGGAGAAGAAAGAGGCAAUCAUAUGCUAUGAAUGCUAAAAGCCCGGCCAUAUAAGAUCGGAAUGCCCACUUCUCAACAAAUUCAAGAAGAAAGCCAUGGUUGCUACUUAGGAUGAUAGCGAUGAAGAUUCAAGUGAUGAAGAUGAAUUGCAUGAAGCAUCAAACCUAACACUUAUGGCAAUAGGAGAUGAUGAUGAUCUCAAUGAGGUAAGUGAUCCUACCUAUGAUGAGUUGUAUGAUGCUUUUAAAUAAUUACAUGAUGAGUUGAUGAAAAUUAGUAAAAAGAAUGCAUGCCUUAAAAAGAAAAUGCUAGAACUUACAAAUGAAAAGGAUGCCCUGGAAAAAUGCAAUAAUGAGAAGAUAAAAGAAUUAGAAUUAGAGAAUAAAAUGUUACAUGAUAAAACUUUAGCUCUUAAAGGUAAACAAAGCACUUAUGAACAUGAAAAAUCACAUGUGGAUGAGUUAAUGAAAGAGAAUGAAGUGCUUAAGAAGAAAAAUAAUGAACUAAAUGAAAUUGUGCUAAAGUUUACAAAUGGACAAAAGAUGUUGGAAAACAUGUCAAUUCACAAAAAAUGUGUGUUUGAUAAAGGAGGUACUGGAUAUAAGCCAAACUUAAAACAAAAAUAUUAUAAAACUACUUUGUGAAAAGUACUUCUAUUAACAAUCAAAUUGUAUGUCAUCAUUGUAAUCAAGAUGGACACAUGAAAAAUAGAUGUCCAGUAAAAAGAAAUGCAUAUUAUGGUGUGAAAUGUAUUUGGGUUCCAAAAGGAACCAUUGCUAACAUACAAGGACCCAAGAAGUUUUGGGUACCUAAAACUUAGAAACUUUUUCUGCAGGGAUUAAAGAAAAAGAAAAAUAAGUGGUUCUUGGAUAGUGGUUGCUCAAGGCACAUGACCAGAAACUAUGCAUGGUUUUCAAGUUUCACCACAAUCGAAAAUGGUGGAGAUAUUUCUUUUGGAGAUAACUCAAAAUGAAGGUACUUCUCAAUCACUCCCCAAAGAGUGGAGGUAUGUUUCUUCUCACCUUAAGGAUGUAAUUUUAGGAGAUCCCUCACGAGGUAUUACAACUAGAUCAUCACUUAGGAAUACUUGUGAGCAUAAUGCAUUUAUUUCUCAAAUUGAACCCAAAUCCUUUGAGGAUGCGGAAAAUGAUGAAUCUUGGAUUAUGACAAUACAAGAGGAGUUAAAUCAAUUUAAAAGAAACAAUGUGUGGGAAUUAGUUCCUAAACCGGAACAUCAAUCUUUCAUAGGUACUGUUGGUGUAUAAAUACUAAUGCUAUUGGUGUCAAUGUGCAAGUGCACACAACAAGUAAUAAAGUGAUGAGUAUUCAAGAUCGUCUCCACAAGGAUUGAUGUUAUCAGAUUUGCUACAGCAAUCUUAACAGUGCAGAUUUUGUGCUAAAAUAAAAUAAACAAUUAAUGAAACUAAUGUACUAAUUAAAAUAAAAACGCAAUAAAUAAAUGCAACAAAGUAAACUAUCACGUCAAGCUCAAGGAUAAAACUAAUGGAAAUAUAUAGUAGUUGAGUGACUAAACUCUUCUAAUGGUCUUGACUAUUUUCUAAUGGUUGGCUCGGUUGCUGCAGUAUUUGCUACAGCACUGGCCAGAAUCCUUAUGUAUCCUCAACUGUCGCAUGUUGGAUAUCUUAUAUCUAUAUGCAACCUAACAGUGAUCAGUUGUUAUGCCAACAUAAGAUAUAGCAUUACAUGCUUAGAUUCCAUUCACCCUACAAGGUGAAUCCAUAUGUCUAGUUCAUCACUAAUUUUAAAUGAAGCAUGGCCCUUUUCGAAUAAGUUAAACUCAAUCCAGGAAACUCAAUCUAAACCAAGUAUUGCUCUGAUAUGUUCCGCUAAGAUAGGCCCUUUUGCGGCUCUCUCCUAACUUGUAUUAUUAAAUGGGUGAUCAACCAAAAUAAUGAAUAAAAAUAAAUACUAUCAAAACAAACUGCUACAGUAAACAUGCAACAACACAUGUAUUUAGUCAAUAAACCAUCAAGAUUGUUUAUCACUCAACCACAAAUAAAUUUAGUUCAUGGUUUGCAAAAAAAAAAAAUAAAGAACAAAGUUUUAGCCAUGAAAUGCAUCCCCAUGUAUAAACAGAAAACACGAAAACAAGAGAAGAAUAAGAAUGAUUGAGCUCCCAAUUGAUUUCUGCAAAUUCUCCUCUUGUGCAGCCCUUAAUCUCUCUCUUGAAUCUUGUUUUUCUUUUGUUUCUUUGUGUUUUUCUCCUUGGGUGACGGCUCCCUCUUUUCCUUAUGAUGUGUGCUUCUUUUAUAGUUGAAAAUUAGGGUAAACGGAAGCCUAGGGCGCGCAUAAGUCAAAUUAGGAAACUGUAGAUCGCAAUUCUGCAAGUAUCCCGCGUGAAAUUUUCUCUGUCAUUGUUCCAGGAUUGCUACAGCAAUGGUUGCUACAGCAAUAUCUACAACAACUGCAUUGUUCCAGAUUUGUUUCAACUCUUUUUUAGCCAUGUUCUUUCCUUAUUUUUGCAACCCUAUUGCAUAGCAUUCCUUCCAUGAAUUAUAAACUUCUGGAAACCUACAAUUUUGCACACAAUUUGAGCACAAAUUACUUUAAAUCGAGCAAAACUUAUUAAGACUAAACUAAAAUGAAUAUUUAUGCAAAAUGUAACAAAAUACAAUAGAAACACAUCAUUUACUCUUUAAACAAUAUUGAUUUAAGUCUGAAAGUGCCAUAAUAACUCUCAUUUUAUAGAGUUAUCACACUCCCAAACUUAAACCAUCACUUGUCCUCAAGUAAUGACAAUAACACUAACACUUCAAUCACACAAUCAUUCAACAAAUAACUUAGCUCUGUCAUCAAAUUUGUAAGGAUUCUUCAACCCUCAUAUCACAUUCUUAAUCACACAAAAUAACCAUAAUAGUUUAGUUCUAGAACUAGGCUUCAUUCUGUCCAGAGUGUGUGUGUGCCACUUUGAUCAAGUUUCAGAGGUGCUACAACAUUACACAGGCAUAUAAUUCAGAGAUAGAACACAAAUAUAUUCACAUAUGAGGGAGUAGAAUUCACCAAUAAACUCAAACUGUGCUACAAUAAUAAUACUUUUUUUUUUCAGUUAAACCCUUCAAUGCAACAUUGAGCUUUCAUGUGAGUGCCCAUCACUUGUAAUGACGACACCCAAUUACUCACUCAAAAUAUUUGUUAGAGUUGCUGCAGCAACACAUUUAGGAUGUUAUAUCUAGGUCUUGCCUUUGGACGCCUUUGACUCAAGGCUGAACAUUGGGCUCAUGAACAGACCAAAUUACUCAGUAUCCUAGGGAGUGGACCUCUUUAUUUUUCAUUCCUUCAUCACCAUUUUUUUCUUUUUUUUCAAUAUAUAAUUGCUGCAGCAUUGCUCAUAACUCUUGCUGCCUUUGGACUCAAGUUUGUAUAUGGGGUACACACUCAACCUUGGUUACUCAGCAACUUAAGCCAUUGGAGCAAAAUUUAUUUCAUAACAAGCACAGUUCAACAAAAAUUUUCCCCCAAACUUGAGAUAUUUUCUACUCUUUUUUGGUUUUCCUGGCUCUGCUACUGCAUUUUCAUAAAACUCAACCAAAGUCUAAGUGUCGGGACAGAAGUUCAACCCCUAUCUAUAACUAUCUCUACUUGGCUUUCUCAUAAAUACUGAAUAGCACUCAAUUUAUCUUCAUGAGGUUUUCAAAUUCAUACACAAAUAUUAGAUAACAAAGCUUCAUACAACACAAGCAUAAAUACAUGCACUCAGAAACAUAACCCCCCCAAACUUGAGUGAUGUUGUGUCCUCACAAGCACACAAAACAAAACCACAUAAACCAGACAUGUAUACACUAAAUAAAAGGACAUGCAUAAUGAAUUAGAAAAUUAAAACUAAAUGAAAGAAAAUUUUUGCAGCAAGAAGUAAAAUAAACUAGCGGUUAGGGGUACUGCCCUGUUACUGGAAGCACUGCUGCAUCAUAGGCUGUAAAAGGUCACUUUUUCUUUGAUAUACUUCUCAAACGCUCCUUAUCAUAAAAUCUGAUCAAUCCAUUUACUGCUGCAAAAGCAAGAAAUGCCUCUAUUGUUUGAGAAUCUUCUGUUAUAUGUCAUGCUGUAAGUGAUGCUGCAACAAUUCUUUCCUGCUCUUUUUUUCGUAUUUUUUUGUUUUUUUUUACCUGUUGCAAUUUAACACAAAGACAUAAAAAACUAGAUGCACACUUAAAAUAACAACAAGACAAAUUCAAUAAUUUAAAAACUAAAUUUAAUGCUUUAAAAAGUUAAAAUAACUUUCCUUAUUGGGUUGCCUCCCAAUUAGCGCUUGAUUUUAGGUCUUUAAGCAUGACCUUUCUUGUUUCCUCAACCUCGAUCCUUUAAGAACCGAUCCUUCAUUAGGCUGUUCACCUCAUCUCCCAUAUAGUGCUUCACUCUUGGCCCAUUAACCACUAAGCCUGUUUAUCUCGAGACCCGAAAGCUCGGUCGAGAGAUUAUGUCUGCGAUCGGAUUUUUUAAGAAGCAUGGGAAGUGGGAAAAGACAACAUCCUCUAAGAAUGAAGACACUUUUAUUGCUCCAGAGGAUGAUCGCAUGCUAAAUGAUGUCUAUUUCAUGGGUGAGUUACCUGACUUCCGCCUUAGGGCUAGACCGUGUGCCCCUCGCCGAGCAACAGCAGCAGCAUCCGCAGCAGCUUCCUCUUCGGAUGACGAGCUAGCUGAGCCAGCUGUCCCUCCUGCAGCAUCUUCUGCCUCUGAGGACCGCUUUUAGCAGCUCUUCGACAAGAUGGAUACACUCUCCUAGUAGCAGCAGCAGCUUCAAUCUGAUUUUGUGACUUUUCGGCAGCAGAUAUUAAAUCAGCAGAUGGAGUUACUUGCUGGACAGUGUCGCAUUCUUGGUCACCUUGGCUAUGAUCCUGGAAGUUCCUCUUCACCACCCCCAUCUUAAUUUUCUGCCCCUAUGAUUUUUGCACAAACAUUACUCAUUUCAUGUAGUUUGUUGUGGUACUUUUCGUUUUUUUGAUUGUUCUUGUGAUGCUUUUAUGAUGUUUUUAUUGGAUAUGUGAAUUUUAUUUAUGCAACGACCUGCCCCGACCUCCACAGGGCGAAUCUUACUGAUAGAUGCUUAAAAAUAUAAUAAUAAUAAAUAAUAAUAAUCCUUUUACAAUCCAUAAAAAUUAUAUCCUUGAAAAUACAAAUAUAAAACGCAAACUGCAGCGGAAGAAUUUAAAAUUCAUGCCAAACCAUCUAAUUCCUCCAUUCAAGUCCUUCUCGACGAUCAUCACGAAUCAAUCCUAAUUUACGAAAACUGAAUUACAAUAAACUAUAAUGAGUACGAAACUCAAUAAGUAAACUAGUUUUGCAUAUACCAAAAUACAUACAUACAUAUAGAUAGUGCAAAUGAAUGGCGUGCCAUGAUAUUCGAAAACAUCGUAAAAAAAAUAAUUGAAAUCUCAUUAUGUCUUUCUCAAACUUUCACAUUCUCUUUCAAACCACUUACUUGAGCUACCUUUAUUCGAUUACCGCUUAGUAGGACACUCCCUUAACUUUCAUAAUUUUCAUAACUUUCAUACUCUUUGUGCUUCUCGCCAAUGCGUCCUUCGCCCACUUAUCUCAUAACUAUAUAAACAUCUAGAGUGUCUUCCACUAAGCCAAUAACGAAUUCAAGCAUCCAAGCUAAAACUGUAAAACAAUCUUUCUUUCUACAAAUUCCAUUUGGCUAAAAUUCACUUUCUCAUUUUAUAGAAAACAUAAUGCAUUUCGUGCUCAUGCCAAUGAAAUAUUCACACAUACGUAUGCCCAUGUCCAUAAACACACAUAACAACACAUCAUAUCAAAAUAUCGUAUAAACACAUGGGCAGAGCAUAUAAAUCAAUAUCCGUACUUAUAUAAAAAUAGGCUUUCCAAACAUGUCAAACAUAUAUAUUGUUUAUUGUGAUUCGUUUGGAAAUCUAGUUUACUUACCUCCCGGUAUCCUUGAGUAACAAAUGCACAUCGAUAUCAUCGGCCUAAAAAUAAAUAAAAAUACUCUCAUAAGAAUAAAAUUAAACCAUAAUCAUAUACUCCAAUAUUCUCAAAUUCCUCAAUAUAAUCACAUUCCAUACUUCACCUCAAAUAAUCUUAAUUUAAAUCAUAAAUCAUCAAAAUACUGAUAAUUCUUAAAAUUUCAAAAUUACCUGCAAAUAUCAAAAUUACCAAAAUGCCCUUGAAUUCAAUAUUACCAAAAUACACUCAAAUAUCAAAAUUACCAAAUUAACCUCAAAAUCAUAAAUUACCAAGUUUAUCCUCAAUUUCAAAUAUUACUAAAAAACCCACAAAAUUUGAAAUUACAAAAUUGCCCUUAGAUUGUGAAAUUACCGAAAUACCCUUGCUGGUCAACGGUCACCAGAAUUCAACCGACGGCAACGGGAAGCUUAGAACUGAAAGUUCAAGCGACGCUGAGUCCAAUGGUGGCGGUGGUGACCUCCCACGCGCGGUGAUGGCUCCAGAUCGAGCUCCCGAAGUCGUGAAUCCUUCAACGGCUAAUCAAUGACAAAAUGACGUCCCCAACGUGAGUGGUUAGUCGGAAAUGGUCAAAGGAACAAAACCCAAGUGAUGCCUUCACUAGAAACCAGCGAAAUCAUGGUGAAUCGAGGCGGCGAUUCCGCGGAACUUCAAAGCUUCGAUCGGUGGCUUUUCGAUUGAUUUCUGGUGGCAAGGACUGCAUGGAUACAUUGCUCGUCUCUCAAGCUUCAAAUCGGUACCAACCUUGACCGGAAUGGUGGCCAGAAAUGGGAGAACCGGCUGAGUCGCACUCACGGGUCGGGUUGGAUCCGGUUCGGUUUCUCCUCUCUCUCUCAAUUUAUAAGGGUAGUCAACAGGGUCAAAAUCGGGUGUGGGGUAUUACAAUUUAUGAUUUCGUUGAUUUUGAUGACAUGUUUGGUUAUUGUUCAUGAUUAUAUUGAAUUUGUUGGAAUGGAGGUUGGUUGAUAAGUUGGAAAGUAUAUAUGGGAGUGUUUUAACUAUUUGUAUUGUUGAGGAUAUGUUCAUUUUUAUAGGGAGAUUCUGCCAAAAUGUUUCCAACAUGGGUACUCUCUGAACUUCUCAUUUUCACUCUUUUCGUGCUCAUUUCUUUUUUAUGAUUAAGGGGGGAGAUAAUUGAUCAAUUCAAUCUGUUCUGUUUAAAUUUUUUUUAUGAGAUUAAAAAUUGAUGAUAUAAUUUAUCAAUUCAAUCUGUUCUAUUUAAUUUCUUUUUAUGAGAUUAAAAAUUGAUGGGCACAUAUUUAGGGGAAGUUAAAUUCCUUAAAUAUUUUACUUAGGGGGAGCACAUAUUUAGGGGGAGCAGGAGCAAAAUUGCACAAAUAUUUUCUUGAAUAGUUUGUCAUGAUCAAAAAGGGGAAGAUUGCUAACAUAAAUAUUUCUUUAUUAUUGAUUUUGUUGAUAACAAAUUUAAUUAAGAUUGAUUAAUCUUUUGAAAGCUCAAAAUAAUUUUCAUGUACUUUUAAAUCAUCACUCUCACUUUAUAAAGACUUUAUAUUCUAUGGAAAUAUUUUUGGUUAUUCUCAUGUUAAUGGUUUCAAUUGAAAAAGAUUUGAGAAUUUUGAAAAUAAAAAAUAUUGUUUCAAAUCCUAUAAAUGGAUCUAUUUAACAAGUUUUAUAAAGUGUUGGGUCAUAGUAUAAUUUUCUAAAGUUUUGGGGUCAAACUAUUAUUUUACAAAAUAGUUCCCUGUAGCAAUUACUGUAGAAAAUGGCUAUCCGACAUCUUGAUAACUGCUCGCCGACAUCGAAUAGAACUAAAGAUUAGCCUCUGGACUAACGGCGAUCCGACAACUUGAUAACGGCUAACCGACGUUGCACAGAAUUGAAGAUUAGUCUCUGGACACUAACGACGAUCCGACAUCUAGAUAACGGCGAUCCAACAAUUUAAGAAUUCAGCCCAACGGUCAUGUUGACUAUUUAAAACGGUGAUUCGACUGUGUGCAGAAAGUCAAUAAUGGCUAGUUUUCAGCUCCAACAAUAAAUAUACUCAAUCAAAUUCAAACUAAAACGAUUCCAACAAUUAUUAUUGAGCAAAGUCUUGAGCAUACAACAUUCAUUGAGCCUUAAAUUCCUGUAUUCAUCUCAUUUACUCACACUUUGAGUCUUCAUUUGUAAUCAAACACAUAGUGUGAGAGAAAUUUAUUUUGUAACAUUCUUUAAAAUCAAAUUGGGUGAUUAUAAGUGUUAGGAUACACUUGGGUUAAGAGAUUGGGGAUAAUCUCUUGUUGUAAAGGUUUAUUGACACCUUAGAAGUCAAGUGUGAGCAUUUGAAGCCUUGGAGGCUUGCUUAGUGGAAUCCUCAAGCCCAGAAAGCUUGGAGGCGUGGACAUAGGCGAGGUUGGCCGAACCACAUAAAAAUCCUCAUGUUUGAAUCUCUCUUACCUUUAUCUUUUUAUAUUGUGAUAAAUUUAUUUGUUAUUGCUUUAAAUUCGUUUUAUAUUUGCAUGCUUUAAAAAUUGAAUAAUUUUUAGAAUUCCAAUUCACCCCCCUCUUGGGUUGCAUAACUAGAAUUUCACUAAACAUGGCCUCUAUUUAUAAAUAAACAUGUGCCCUCCAUUUGGAUUGUCAUUUUUCAUGAUACCCAUUCAUUUAUGGUCAUUGGAUCAAGAUUUGAUUUUAAUCAAUUGUCUAUAUUGGUCCAUCACCAUUUCAAAUGAAAUGACAAUAUGAAAUGAUACAUUCUUAAGUGGAAAGAUACCUUUUAUAUGGGACAAUUACUUGGACAUGUUUUUAUAAUAAAACAUCAUUUAUUUUAAAUUGUUACAGCACUAAGAUUAUUCUAGGUUAAGUUAAUCUAUUAUAUAUAACUUCAGAAGGUUCAUCGGUAGAUUGUUUUAAGUUUUUGUCGUAGUUUACAAAUAUUUUGUUACUUAUAAUGUAAGAAAUUUACAAAUGUUGGUGCUGAGUAAUCUGCAUAAUUAUUAUGAAUUAGAGAAACAGGGCAGAUGUUGUACAAUUAUUGUUGUGGUGGAGCGGAAAGUUAGCCCGAGACGGUGACGGCUAUUGGGAUUUCUUUAAUUUGCAGCAUAAAAGCAUUUACAUUGACAUCGACUCAAGGGUAAAAAUUAAAUAUCUCAUGUAGCAUAAGAAGAAUGCAAAAAUGCUUGAAUGAGCAUUCUGACUGAAUACACAAAAGCUACUUUCCCUUGAGCACUUUCGCAACAAAAGCAAAUGUAAAAUUUAGCAUUUAAAUCUAACAUCAAAUGGCUGAUGCCAUCGUUUCCAUCCCUUGGGGGAACUGAAUUCCUCUACCUGACAUUACAGUUUGGAGCGGCUCUUACCUCAGGCAACUUAGGAUAAUUUAGGUGGUUGUUCAGGACCCCACAUUUAACCUAGGACCCCAUUAUAAAUGAAGGUUUCUAAUUUAAUUCCUAAAUUAUAGUUAUUAAUUAUUGAUUUAUAUUUAUUAUUUAUAACUAUAUUUUCCAUAAACAAACUACUAGAUUCUUACAAAAUCCCCUUUUAACAAUAUAAUUAACAAUUAUAAUCCAUUUAUUUCCUCCAUUUAUUUCAUUUAAAACUCUAUAAAGGCCACACCUUUUUUAAAUUAUUAUCCAUUAAUAUCUUUUUCCAAUAAAAAAAAACACAAAACCUUCAUUGCUUUGGUGAAAAAACUACUUUCUCUACCUUACUUUUUGCAUAAGAAAGAAAAGAAAAUUAAUUGUUUUACUUUCUUUUGAUCAUUGUUGCUCAAAGCCUCAAUCCAUCAAAGUUAAAUUUCUUAAAUUUUCAGGUUUUAUCUUCCAAUUCUCUUAUUAUUUUUACAAAGAAACAAAAACACCUAAAUAACACAAUUAAUUAAAUUUCUUAAAUUUUCAGGUUUUAUCUUCCAAUUCUCUUAUUAAUUAAUUGUGUUAUUUAGGUGUUUUUGUUUCUUUGUAAAAAUAUUAUUCUGCUCAUAGGUUGUUCGCUUUUAAUUAUCUAGCAUAAUUGUUUGCAUGAUUACUCUUGUUUCCUUAGAAAAAAAAAAAAUGUCUACUAAAAACUAUGCAUCAUGAUACAAAAAACUUCAUAAAAGGAGAAGAAUAGAAAAGUUAGCUUAAUCUAAAAACGUGCUAUUGAUAAAAAAUUAUUUAAGAUCAACCAUGUCAUAGGAAAGAUUAAAUAGGUUAACUAUAUUAUCUAUUGAGAAAGAUAUAUUAGCAAAAUUAGAAUAUAAAAAGUUGAUUAAUAAUUUUGCAUCUCAGAAAGGUAGAGAAAUUUAUUUUAAAUAAAUAAAGCUUUAAUAAAAUUAAUACACAUAUUUCAUCUCAAAUUUUUUAGAAGGUCUAAUUAAAUCAAUUUAUUUAAGACCUAAAAUAUGAUUGAGCCGCCUUGAAAUUGCAGUAAGAUAGAAAAGUGAAAUAGACAGAACACUCGCUCAUACGUAAAGAUGCGACGAAUUUGAGAAUAUUUAUUAUUAUGUGCCAAAUUCCUAAUGUGUAGGAAUUUAAAAAUGUUAGUGCAGAACAUGUGUUUAUCGGUGGAGUAGAAUCAGGGAAAUUAAAGAUAAGCAUAAUUUUUGCAUCCAAUGCCAAAUUCCCCCAGGUAGAGAGUGGGGACUCCUUUGCAUAAAAGUUGUUAAAAGUUUAUUGUUAACAAUAAAAAUAACAUGCAGAUAUAGUAUUUUAGGUUAUUGUUAAUAGUUUUACAAUAAUAAAAAUCAUUUUGUUAGAUCGUAAAAUGUAGUACUCACACUCUAUUUUGUGCAAAAGUCUGCGAGAAAGGAUUUUAGAUUUACCUAACGGUGAAGUUGGGAACUUGCUUUUUUACCUAGGCUAAAGUUAUUUCAAUAAAUUCUGAUCGUGGAGACUACCAAGAGUUUUCUUUAGUCAUAUAUAUUUAUUUUUUAGGGACUAAUAUGAAUAUUCCUAAUUUUAUCCAUUAUUAAAAAAACAAUGUGCUAAUUUACCAAUAUGAUUUCUCCAAUCUUUUUUCUUUUCGUCAUUUAUUCCUUUGUGAAUUUGAGUUAAUGCUUGAUAUUAUUUUUGUGCUCACUUUUUAAAGUAGAAGAUUAUGAAAAAGUGAACACACAAAAAGCAUAAAAAUCAUUAUUAGAUCCAAAUUUGUGCUAUUUCAUACAUAACUUGAGAAUAUUUAUAAUUACGCAUGAAAACUAGUGGAGUAGAAUCAGGGAAAUUAAACGUUCUACAAUCAUUGACGUGUGGGGUGGGGAUAAGCAUAAGCUUUUUCUAUGCAGUAUAAAAGAAUGCAAUAACUCCUUUUCUUUCAGUAUCAUCGCAACAAAAGCACAUCUAAUAACUCUUCAGAAUUCUCGUCUUCUUUGUCAGAAUGGUUGAUGCGAUCGUUUCCUCCCUCCUGGAGCAGCUGAUCUCUGUUGCGGCUGAUGAAGUGAAACAACAGGUGAGGCUUGUGACUGGUGUCCGAGAAGAAGUGAAAAAGCUUACCAGCAAUCUUCAAGCCAUUCGAGCUGUGCUGGACGAUGCCGAGCAAAGGCAAAUGCAGCAAGACAAAGCUGUUACUUUUUGGCUGGAUCAGCUCAAAGACGCGUCCUACGACAUGGAAGAUGUGUUGGACGAGUGGGUCUUUGCAAGGCUCAAAUUGCAAAUUAAGGGCGUUGAUGAUGACAAUGCUUUUUCCCUUGCUCCUCACAAGAAGAAGGUACGUUCCUUCUUUCCUGCUGUAUCAAACUGCUUUGGUAGUUUCAAACAACUCAGUCUUCGUCAUGACAUUGCUGUCAAGAUUAGGGAAAUCAAUGAAAAGCUAGAUGAUAUUGCCUCCCAAAAAGAUAGGUUUAAAUUUGUUGAGAAUGUGAGUAACCGUGUUAAAAAACCGAAACAAGCGCCAACCACCUCCUUGAUUGAUGAGGGAGAGGUCUGUGGUAGAGUUGACGAGAAAAACGAGCUCUUAAGCAAGUUGUUGUUUGAAAGUAGUGAACAACAAAAAGGCCUUCAUGUCAUCUCACUAGUUGGGUUAGGGGGCGUAGGUAAAACCACUCUUGCACCACUGGCCUAUAAUAAUGAUGAGGUGAAAAGAAAUUUUGAAAAAGUUAUAUGGGUGUGUGUAUCACACACUUUUGAGGAGAUUAGGGUUGCCAAUGUAAUCAUUGAAGGUCUAGGUGAGUCAGCUUCUAGUUUAAGCGAAUUCCAAUCUCUUCUAAGCCAUAUCCAUGGAUCAAUUGUAGGAAAAAUUUUUUUUCUUGUCUUAGAUGAUGUAUGGGAUGGGGAUUAUAAUAAAUGGGAACCAUUCUUCCAUUGUCUAAAGCAUGGUCUCCACAGAAGUAAAAUUUUGGUUACCACACGUAAUGAGUCAGUUGCACGUAUGAUGGGAUCAACAAAUAUUAUCUUCAUUGAGCAAUUGAUUGAAGAGGAAUGUUGGUUGUUGUUCAAGCAGUUAGCAUUUUCCGGUCGCUCUUUCGAGGAUUGUGAAAAAUUAGAACCAAUCGGGCGAAAAAUUGCACGCAAGUGCAAAGGCUUGCCUCUUGCUGCAAAGGUAACAGGGAAUCUCUUAUGCUCUAAAGUACAAUAAAAGAGUGGCAAAAAAUUUUAGAUAGUGAAAUGUGGAAAGUAGAAGAGAUUGGGCAAGGCCUUUUUGCUCCAUUGUUGUUGAGUUAUAAUGAUUUGCCCUCCAAGUCUAUGGUAAAACGAUGUUUUUCAUAUUGUUCUGUCUUUCCGAAAGACUACAAUAUAAAAAAAAGAACUAAUUUCACUAUGGAUGGUUCAAGGUUACCUUAAUGCAGAAGAAGACGAAGAGAUGGAGAUGACUGGGGAAGAGUAUUUCAACAUUUUAGCAGCAUGCUCUUUCUUUCAAGAGUUUAAAAAAGAUGAUGAUGAUGAUGAUGAUGAUAUUAUGAGCUGCAAGAUGCAUGACAUAGUACAUGAUUUUGCCCAAUUUGUAAGUAGAAAAGAAUGUUUGUGGGUAGAAAUUAAUGGUACCAAGGAAUCAGUCAUAAACUCUUUUGGUGAUAAAGUCCAUCACUUAGGGUUAAAUUUUGAAGGAGGAGCUUCAUUUCCUAUGUCCAUUCAUGGACUUAAUAGAUUGCGGACCCUCCUAAUUUAUUUCCAAAGUCGUUCCAAUCCGUCUCUUAAUAGUAGCAUCCUUUCGGAGUUAUUUAGUAAAUUGGCAUGUUUAAGGGCAUUAGUUAUAGGGCAACAGAACUUUAUAUUUGAUCCUUACCCAAAUUUGAUUAGAGAAAUUCCAGAAAAUGUCGGAAAAUUGAUACAUUUAAAAUAUCUUAAUUUUUCUGAAUUAUGUAUAGAGAAACUGCCUGAGACUUUGUGUGAAUUAUAUAAUUUACAAAAGCUAGAUAUUAGGUGGUGCGAAGAUCUUAGAGAAUUGCCGGCGGGGAUUGGGAAGUUAAAGAACAUGAGGAGUUUACUAAAUGGUGGCACUCCUUCGCUGAAGUACAUGCCAAUAGGGAUUUCCAAAUUAACCAGUCUUCGAACGUUAGAAAAGUUUGCUGUGGGCGGAGGUGUUAAUGAUAUCAGUACGUGUAGGCUUGAAUCUCUAAAAAAUCUUCAACUCCUUCGAGAAUGUGGAAUAGAAGGACUGAGUAAUGUGUCACAUUUAGAUGAGGCUGAGAGAUUAGGACAUCACAAUAUGAAAAACCUCCUUCGUUUAUCUUUUGAGUUUGACGAGGAAGGUGAAGAAGGGAGGAGGAAGAAUCAACAACUUCUGGAAGCCUUACAACCGCCUUUGAAUGCAAAAGAAUUAGGGAUUGUGUCCUACGGAGGCAACAUAUUUCCCAAAUGGUUGACUUCACUAACCAAUCUAAGGGAUUUAAGACUUAAAUCGUGCGUUAUCUGUGAGCAUUUUCCUCCCUUGGGAAAAUUGCCGCUGGAAAAACUCACCCUUUACGGCCUGUAUGGUGUGAAAAGAGUGGGUAAUGAGUUUUUGGGAAUCGAAGGAACCAGUGAGGAUGACCCAUCUUCAUCUUCAUCAUCAUCAUCAGUCAUUGCCUUCCCCAAAUUGAAAUCACUCCACGUUGGGGCAAUGGAAGAAUUGGAAGAGUGGAAUUAUAGGAUUACAAGAAAGGAAAACAUCUCCAUCAUGCCGCGUCUUUCUUCCUUGACGAUUUGGCAUUGCCCCAGAUUAAGGGUGCUGCCGGAUUACCUUUUUCAAUCGACGACACUGCAGAAAUUGAGUAUUUCUUAUUGUCCAAUUAUGGAAGAACUGCCCAUUCUAGAAAGACAUACCACGUCUUUCUUCCUUGGAAAUUGAGUAUUGCCCCAAAUUAAAGGUGCUGCCGGAUUACCUUCUUCGGACGACGACGCUGCAGCAAUUGAGUAUUCAGGGAUGUCCUCUUCUGGAAAACCGUUAUAGAGAGGGGAAAGGAGAAGACUGGCAUAGGAUAUCUCACAUUCCCCACAUCGAGUGGUAAAUUCAAACAACGACACUGCAGACAUUGACAAUUUGGGGUUACAGAGAAGGGGAAGGAGAAGACAGGCAUAAGAUAUCUCACCUUCCCCACAUCAUGCGAUCGGCGUAAGAUAUCACUCGCCGGUAAUUUCUCCUCCUCCACUGAUUUACUCUGUUGUUGCUUGCAAUAAAAUUAAUAAAAAUAAUCAUAUUUUGAAUUAAAAUUCUAUAUAUUGCCCAAUGUCUAACAGGAAUAUACAAUAUUUUCUAAUAUUUUGAUUUGCGUAUUGAAUUUAACUAUUUACUUCCACCAUUAAUUUAAUGGGUCACUUUAUGAUGCUAUUAUAAAAAUUACAGAAUCAAUCAUAGUAUAAAUAUGUAGUGUUAAAUUUAAUCAAUUGGUCAUAAAGGUUAGUUAGGAUAAUAUUUUAAUUUCAAUUAUUUAAAAUUUAAACUUCCUAGUCAUCAAAUUUGUUAAACUUGUUUUCUAAAGCUAAAAUAAUAAUAAAAUAAAAAACAAGUGCAGUCUGUUGAAAUUUCUAUAAUUUCUUUUAAAAAAUAUGUAGUCUUUUGUAAAAUUUCAUACAACAUCAUAGAAAAUCCUAACGUAUUUUAUUUUUUAAUGCACAAAAAUUUGUUGUGUAACUUCCUGAGAGACAAAAUCUCUGUGAUACAUUUGCAGUAAUGUUGAAAACUAAAUUAUCAAUGUUAUCUUGUAUAAUGAUAAUCGUGUUUUUUUAUACAUAAUUUAUGUGACAUUAAUUCUUUAAAGUAAUUGUGUGAUUGUUUUUAGUAGUACAUGAGCCCACUUUGUUUUAUUUCAUACGAGUUUAAUUAUGUUCACCAGUGAUUCGAGGAAAUGUCAGAACUACACUAGCAAUUCGCAGGUCCACGCUAAUUUGGUUCUAAUGAUGCACGCAGGAGAGCAAGAUUAUGAAAAUGAAUAGUUUAGCCAAAGGGUUGUGUUAGAGUGCAAUUUAUGCACUAGUUUUGCAUUGUUUACUUCCCUUAAUAUCGAUGUUUUGCAUUUAAUAAUAGUGAUUUACUUGUGUUUUACUUUUGUAGGUGCAAUUCUAUUGAUUGGUGAUAAAAUUGAGCUAUAAGAUGAUGUUUAAGGAUGAUUGUUCUCUUGAAGAAAUUAUGAGCGGCAGAAGAACUUUGUUGAUAAGGCGUGGGCGCGUGCUGUCAACUGCGGACCUGCAGUUUUUAGUUUAACGUGUUUUGUAUUUUUGGCUAUUUUUUUAAUUACGAAUUUAAUAUUUCAAAUAUUAGUAUUUUAUUUUAAAUAGAACUCUAAAAGAGAAGAGAGAGAGAGUAUUUAAGGGAGGAAUCUAUUGUGAAAAAGGGGGAUUUGGAUUGGAGAAAAAGAAAGAAACCCUAAAUCUAAUUUUUCUCUUCUCUCUAUGAAGAACUAAACCUAUUUUUCUGGUUGAAGGAUAAUGAAGCUUUGAUUCAUCACUACUGUGAGAUCUUUCUUGUGCUUUAAUUGUUUUAUUGCUUUUUGGGUAUUUGUUUAUUCUCUGAAUUAUUUUCAUGAUUAUGUUUGUUAAUUAGGUAAUUGGCCACUAUUUAAUUAUCAACUUAAUCUAUUGUCAAUUAAAGGAUUCAUCGUAUGAAGAAUUUAAUGUUUGUGACAAAUAACAUAGCAGAGAGUUGUGUUAUGAGAAUAAACAAUCUAAUUUAAAUGAAUCAUCAUAUGUGUUGAUUAUGAUUUGGGUCUCUCUGGUUUUUCAGGCUGUCAAUUGAUUAAAUCCUAUGAUCGUAUCUAGGGUUGUCUAUUGAUUAGGGAAAUAACCAACGGUCGUACCUUGGUUAUCGACUAGUUAAGGAGAGAUUGGCUAUUAGAGGGUCUCAGUAGCUAUAACCGGUCUAUUCAUAAGUAAUAAUAAUCUAUAUUUGAAUCAAUGAUCAGUAGUCGAAUCAAGCUGAGUUAAUUCCUUCAACCAGAGCUUUCUCCAAUUUGAAUCACAACUUUAAUUUACAUUCUCGUUAUUUUAAUUUGAUUUUUAUUAUUGUCAACAAUUCCCCCAUUUUACGUUUUACGUUUCAAAAGGUUUUAAAUAAUUACCGAUCUCUGUGGACACGACCCUGCUCAAUCACUAUACACAAUUUAUUUAGAGUAGGAAUUUAUUUUUGUUGGCUUCGACACCCAUCAGGUUGCCAAAAUGUUUUGCUGGUAAUUCACUUGCUUUUUUUUUUUUAUAGAAUUUCAUUUCCAUCUUCUUCUAUUGAUAUCUUGUUGUGAAUAAACAAGAAUAGAGAAGUAAAUAUAUAUAUAUAUAUAUAUAUAUAUAUAUAAAUUCCCUAUUAUGAUGAUGUUAAAGCAAGCUCAUGCUCAAGCAUUGCAUUUUUAUUUUAUUUAAUUUAUAGAAUUUUCAUUUCUACCUGCAUUGCAUUUUUAUUUCAUUUUCAGGUUGACUUUGAAAACUCUAUGGAGGACAUUAGGGUAACCAAGGAUUAUCACUGUGGUUAUUGAGCAACGUUUGGUUGCUGGACUUUGAAGAAGGAAGUGAUGGCCGGGUCUGCUCUGUUUCAAUUGAGGAUGGAUAGCUGCCUGAAAGACAUGAUGAUUAUUAUUGCAUGAUGUUAAGGUGCUAAGAUCAUCAUUUCUAUCUUGUUUCAUUCUUUGAUCGGUUUAUCCUAUAUAAACAUAUGGAAUUCUGCUAAUAUUAUCAAAUUUUUCACCUAAUUUUCACUGUUGUUGUGAAAACAAUUUCAGGCUCUCAAAAGCUACAAAGCAAAGCAUUUGUGGGUUGAUCAUAUGUUUCAAUUGAGGAAGGAGCUUGGUGUUGGCAAUAUUGUCCAGGUAACCACAGCUGAUAAUUUCCACAAAUUUGCAUUGUCAGAAUACACUUUAAUGUUCAUUGUGUUCCUCUGUGUUAUCAGGUUAUCGUGGUAUGUAAAGUAUCAUCUUUAAGGAUUCGUAAGAGACUUCGCAGUAAACUUAGUUGUCACCAUCUCCUGCAAUUGCUCAUUCAUUCAAGAGUACUUCAAAAUUAGAUUCUCAACGUUUGAAUGUUUAGUUGCAAUCAAAAUGUUUAGUCACUCAUUCGUAAUCUUUUCCGAUUUUCAAGUUCUUUAGGGCCAUAAACAGUUUUCCAACUCAUUCUUAAUUUUUAGGUUGAUUUCGAGUACCCUGUUAAGGACAUUCCUGAGACCAAGGAUUAGGCUGGCGAAGGAACUACUACCUCUGUUGUUAUUGUGCAAGGUUUGAUCAUUGGACCUUGAAUAAGAAUCCCUUACACACAUUCUGUACUUCAAGCAUUCUCUAAAGGAAAAGAGCAGUAGAAGGGAUAGUGAUGGCCGGAUCCGCUCUAUUUUAGUUCAAGAUCUCUGUGAUGUCGAUGAACUUAAAGCAGUUGAUACUUCUUGAAAAUUGUUGUUACGGAUGAAUUGAUUCCUGAAGAUGGGUAUCCAUCCAAAGGCAUAUUUUCAUAAACUUCCUUCUUUUAACAAAUGCUCCAAUGCUUGCUGUAGUAACAAUUUCGUAGAUUGCAUCUCUCGGGUGCAUCAUGUUCAUGGGUUGGAAAAAGCACUUGUGGUAAAGCUUCAAAGCUUGUAAAAUGGCUGUGAAAAGGCACAUUCAAUUCGGUAUGCUUUGGUGCGGUCUCCUAAUGCUAAUAUUAUGUUUCAAUGCUGGCCGUAGUAACAAUUUCAUAUCUUGCAUCUGUUGGGUGCAUCAUGUUCAAGGGUUUGAAAAGCAUUUGUGGUAACGCUUUAAAGCUUGUACAAUGGCUGUGAAAAGGCACAUUCAAUUAGGUACUUUUUGGUGCGGUCUCCCAAUGCUAAUAUCAUAUUUUGUAUAGCAAUUAAAAUUUAGCUAUACAAUCUUAAUAUGCAAUAAAUCAUUGUAUACAAAGUUUUCUAUUGAUUAUAUGGUGACUGAAAUUUUAAUUAUCAUAUCAAUUUAAAUUUUUUUGUAACUCUCUUUUACUUUGCUUGUACAGAGUACCUGUUUUGGCUGAUAUGUCUAAUUCGUAGAAAUUCAUUUACAUCGGUUUCCAUUGGCUUUAGCACAAACAGAAACAGAGCUCUGGGGAAAAGUUUUACUUCUUGUGGUAUUAUGCCUUUGUUUCUUCAUUCAUCAUAUUUUUCGAAUUCAUGCUCUCAUUCAGAGGGUAAAGCCUUUUCCAGGCUGCUUUGUAGCCAAACUUUGACGCCUUUGAUGCAUGACUGUCAUUUAGAUUUCCCAAAUAACUGUUAGAUUGGAGAAGAAUAAAAAGAUACUGUUAAAAGGGUAUUUAAUUAGCGCCCUCUGAAUUUCUUGGAGUUAAUGUAGUCAAUUGCCCAAUUUUGCUGCCUGUCGAAGAUACACUGCAUGGAAGUCCUCAUCAAACUCUGAGACACCUAAUAAAUAGUAGGAUAGUAGGAGGGGGUGGUAUUCGCCUGGUGUUAAUUUCCUGGCAAGUAUAGUUCACAGAUAGAGGGGUUCUUUUCUUGAUGUCUAAAUACCUUAUGAGAUACAACAUCGUGUAUUCCAAUUUUUCUCUAGUUAAAUUUUAAUAAGUUAGAAAAGUUAAUUUUGUUUUAGCAAUGAAUUGUUUUCUUAAUAAUAAUAAUUGCCAUGUUCCUCUAAAGUCUUAUUAAUGCCAGACCAACAACUACUAGGUUCAUCUCUCGUUCACUUCCUCAGGGAAUCUCGAGGGCAUUCAUUGGCAGGUAGCCUUUCUUGUUGAGCUCCUGGAAUUACUUUUAAUUUAUCAUUUGUUGGGUUUUGCUUUUUGAUUGCUUUGGGAUUUGUGUUAUUAUCGCUUUGUCGCUCAUUAAUCUUGGCUGUUUUGAAUCUGUGUUGGAUUUAGAAGUUUGGAGUUGAAAACAGUUAAAGCUUAGACUAGUAGAAGAGAUUUAUACAUUCAUUUAUCUUGGACAAAGUUUUUGGGGAUAAAAAAAAAUUAUAAGUAUACACUUUCCAAUGGUUCGGUGAUGUUUGAUUGGUUUAAAGAUGUUGGAUAUCUCAUCAGAUUUCUUAUGUAUUGACUGCUGUUGCCACAGGAUGCUCGCAGAUCCUGCUUUUUUGUAUAAACUUCUACUAGAGCAGGUUGCCACAAUUGGUUGCACUGUUUUGUGGGAGUUGGAGAAUCAUAAGGAGAGGUGUGUUUUUUCUCUCAUAACAAAGGAACUCUUCCCUUCCUUUUUAUUUUCAUCUUACAUAUUAAGCUAAUAAAUGGGAUGGGAUAAAGCAAGAAUGGGAUCAGCUUGGUUUUGGUGCUUUCCUUGGACUAUAUGCAAACAUGAGAUAUCAGCUAUUGUGUGGAUUUGAUAGAGCGGUCUUCAACCAUUUUGAUGUUACCAGGUUAUCUCUCCCUCUCCCUCUUCUGCGUAUUUGUUUAUUGAUCUACACCUCUAUAUACAUUGAUAGACUAUUCUGGACGUACCAAAUUACCCUUGUUUUAAUGUUUUGUUUGUUAAACUUUGACUGGGGAAUCUGUUUAUUUGUCUGAUAAGAGGUUAGUGUGGUUUCUAUUGAAGUGUGCAGAUCUAUCACCAAGUAUUAUUUCAAUUUUUCUUGACUUAAUCAACUUGCAUCAUUUCCAAGUCCAGAUCCUUAACAAUAGUGCGACAUCGCUACAAAAGUACAAUUUCUCUAUUUUGACAGUUAAAUACAUAAGAAUGGUUUUAAAUUAACUGAACUCUGAGAUAGUUCUCUAAGGAAAUACAAGUGGUGAAUACAGUUCCAACUUUUAAGUGCCUUAAUAUCUCCAUUUGUUCAGCCCUGUGCAUAAAAAAUCAGUAAUUGCCGUCCAAAUUCUUCUUUACUGCCUAUAUGUGUUGGACUUUGUCUAUUCUUCAACUUCUCAAAUGGAUUUUUUGAAUGUCCAAUUAGGAGAAAGAUCAAGGCUUGCUUGGCUAGGAGUGGAAGCGGAUCCGCUACUUCAAUCAUAUGACCUUUUGAAGAAGGCUUACAACGGGCGGCUCAGGAUGUCAAUCGCUCAACUCAAAAGUCCCCAAGGUGGUUGAUAUCAAAGAAUGCCAUUGUCUCUGGGCUUGGGCUCCUUGGCAUCAAACAAGGGAAUGUCGACUCUGUUGAAGGGGAAGCAAGGGCCCCUAAAAUGCGAAGAAAGAGGAUAGUCCGGAAGAAGGUGACCGCAUAAACUUUUUGGGAGUUAAUAGCCCAAUUUUGCUGCCUGUCGAAGAGAUACAACUCAGAAGUCCUCAUCAAACUCUUUGAGACAUCUAAGAACUAGGAGGGAGGUGGUGGUAUUCACACGUGUUUCCUGGCAAGUGUAGUUCCUGAUAGAGGGAUUCUUUUCUUGAUGUCUAAAUACUAUAUGUGAUACAACGUCGUAUAUUCCAAUUUUUCUCUAGUUAAAUUCUAGUAAGUUAGAAAAGUUAAUUUUGUUCUAGCGAUGAAUUGUUUUCUUAAUAAUAAUAAUAAUAAUGGCCUGUUGUUUUGGAAUCUUAUUCACUCUCUGUAACCUAGUUAAAUUGUGCAAAGUCUACUACAGAUUUGUCAAAAUGAGUGUCUUUGUGAUUGUUUUGAUACACUUUUGAUGGCAAGUUCAAGUUUGAAUCAUCUUGUAAUGCCAAAAAACCAUAGCAAUUAGUUACUAAAUCGUACUCGAGUUUUUGUUUGACUUUUAACUACGAGAUCAGCGUUUAGUAUUAGCUGUAGUUAUAAUAUAAACGUUAAUUAUGAAACUCUUACCAAAUUUUAGUUGUACUUUCUAGCCCGAUUGUAGAAAUCCAUACAAGAUGUUACUCAAUUUUACUUAAUCUUACUCGUCUUUGAUUUGUAAAUUUUAUGCCUAAAUUUUUGUCAACAAAUUGCUCCCAGUUCCAAGGUUCUUCAGCUUGGGUGAUCCCAGCAAAACCAUUACGUCCAUUCAAAAGGGUUCCACGUUGAGUGCACGAGAUCCACAAGUUUGAUUGGACAGAAAUAGCUAAAAAAAACUAAUGAAACCCACGUCCAAAGAUGCCGUUGUCGCGGAGGCCUAGACACGACUCCCCAUCCUCUUUUACCAUAUUUUAUAAUUGAAGAGGCCAUUAUUGAAUUGAAAAAUUAUGAUUCAACCAUUGGAAACCAACUUGGAGUUUUAAGUUGAUAUGAGAAAAGAUUUUUUCAUCAUCAUCAUUAUUAUUAGGGAAAAUAUCCACCGUCCACCUGUUUUUUCCAACUUUAUAAAAAAUACACAAUUUUUUUUUUUUGGCUGGAAUCCAUCUAAACUUACGUUUUGUUUCACUUCUCCACUUCUGUUUGCUGCCCGUUAUAACGUAACUGAUGUCGUAGGGGUAAAUCAGUCAUUUCAGCAUAGCAGCCAAAAACGACGUCGUUUACAACUUUAAUUGGACAAAAAAAAAAGAAAAGAUAAAGUGGUCCAGAGAAGCAAACGAGAACAGCCAUGUUUAUUCACGAGUGACCCACCACCACCCUGCAUGAAGAACCAACAAAUUCCCACCAUUCUUUCUGCAGUUUCCAUCGAUUUUCAUCAACAAACAACGCUUGAGUAUCAAAACUUUUGUUAAGUCAAAGAUUCAGAGGUAUUGAGGGAAGCUGUGAGCGGUUUAGAAAUCUCGACACUUAGGUUUUCUGGGGUUUGAAUCUAGUAUCAAGUAAGUUUAGUUUUAUUUAUUAAUUUUCAUUUAUUUUUCGUAUGAUAUAAUGUUAUUUAAGAUUUGUAUCGAGAACGUUGUUAAUCGUUGUUUCUUGAAACCCUAGAAUACAUAUUAAGUUGAUUUAUAGUAAACUGAGUCCGUUUUUUUAUGGUAAUGAUAAAUUGAGAAGUAAUAUGUUGUUUUAAGGCUGGUGAGAAGCACAUGUAUGAAAGAUUGCUGCUAGCAUGGUUGAAUGCAUGUUUAUCCCCUGCAUACUCAUGUACUUGUGCACGUGGUUUACAAAAUUUGGGGUUUUUGAAAAUUUGUAGUUGCUACACUAUGGGUCGUGAUUUUUAGAAAUUUUUUAUCUAUAUGCCCUAGCCCCCCUGGUGAAGGUUCGGCAUAUGCAUGUGAAAUUUGAAUCUCUCAAAGAUUAUAAUUUUUAAUCUGACAAAGUCCUCCAGGAUGUUUGUUCCUUUGGUGAAUCUAAUCGUUUGUUUUGGACAUUCAGGAUGCCACCUCUAGAGUUAGUGAUAUUCUUUCGAGGCACGAAGAAGAAUUUAGGGUUGCUUGAACCUGACUGUACUGUUGCGAAGAUAAAAGAGACUGCCGUAAACAUUACGAGUCCAUAUGGAUUAGACUCCACUUCAAAAAUUAUGUUGAAUGCCACGAACCCGGAGAAUAAGAUGAAAGUUGCACUGGAUUCGGAAUUUGCACUCGAAUUUUUGCGUAAAAUUCAUCACAUUGUGGGUGUCAGUACUUUAACUGUUGAAGUUGUACCAGUUCUUCACCCUCAGCAACAUGAGUACAAAGUAGGUGCCGAUGGGAAACAUAGGCUUAAAUUAGGGCAUGUAUUUAGAGAUGUUGGUCAUUUUAGGGAGAUAUUGCAUGAGGUAAUGAUUAGAAAAAGGUUUGCCAUUAAAACAAUAUAUAGUGAGCCAAGACGAUUCGUAGGUACUUGUAAAGAAGCUAACUGUCCAUGGUACGUGUCUGGUACAAAGCUGAAUGAUGGGACUGGUUUUAUAUUGCGAGAAUACAACAAAAACCACGAGUGUAGGCUUACUAACAAGACAGUGAAAGUUACAUCUGCUUGGGUUGCUUCUAAAAUAAAGGGUCAGGUUGCUGUUGACCCUAAUGUCAAGAUUGAUAUUCUGAAGAAUCAUGUGCAAGAGACGUAUGGUUUAAAGAUUGGGAAGCUGACACUGUAUAGGGCUAGAGCAAAGGCAAGACUUGAGGUAUUGGGGGAUCAUUCAAGGGGAUAUCAGAAAUUAUUUGACUAUGUUGCUGCCAUUCACAAGGCUGAUCCAGGAGCAAUAUGCAAGGUGUUAUGUGAUGCUAUUUCUAUUCCUAAUAAGGUAUUAUUCCAGAGGUUUUUUGUUGCCUUUCCAGCACAAAAAAAAUGCAUAUCUUAACGGUUGUAGACCUUUUAUUGGAGUAGAUGGAUGUCACUUAAAAGGUAAGUACGGUGGAGUGUUGUUAGCUGCUGUUGGCAUAGAUGGUAAUAAUGGGAUUGUCCCUUUAGCGCUAUGUGUUUGUGAGAUUGAGAAUACAGAGACAUGGGGAUGGUUUAUGGAGAACUUGAAUAAUUAUUUGGAUGAUGGAAGGCAGGUCACUUUCAUUAGUGAUAGACAAAGGGGUUGAUUAAUGCAAUUUCAACCACUUGGCCUACUGCCUAUCAUAGGGCGUGUUCUUGGCAUGUUUAUGCUAAUUUUUCCAAGUCGUUUGCUGGUGCACAGUUGAAACAAUUAUUUUGGAAAGCUGCCAAGAGCAGUAACAAGCAUGAUUUUGACGAGGCAAUGGCAGAGAUCAAGGCUGAAAAAGAAGCUGCAUUUGAGUGGUUGGAACGAGAACUAUAUAGUUAUAAUUGGUCGAUGCCCACAUAUGACAGAAAUUGCAUGGUAGAUCGUACCGAUAACAAUGCAUCGGAGUGCUUCAACAGCUGGAUAUUAGCUUACCGAGACAAACCUUGCUUGACAAUGCUUGAAGAAAUAAGAUGUAGACUUAUGAAACGGUUUACAAAACGAAGAAAUGAAGCAGCCACUUGGAAAAAACAGCUGACUCCUAAGGUUUUGAAAGACUUGGACAAAAAAAAUAAGAUUGCACAGAAGAUGAUUGUACAAGCUUCUGGUGAUCUUAAUUUUCAAGUCAUGGAUAGAGGCUAUAAUCCACCUAAGAGGUUUGUUGUGAAGUUAGAAUCUAGAACAUGUGAUUGCGGUUAUUGGGAAAUUGCUGGCCUCCCUUGUCAACAUGCUAUGGCUGCCAUGGGAUAUGCAAGACAUCAAGUUCAGGAAUAUGUUCCAACUUGCUUUAGCAGACAAGCUUACCUUAGCACUUAUUCAGUGAUGUUCAGCCCCCUUCCAGAUUAGUGUACAUGGAAGCCUACAGGAAGGCCGUUGAUUGACCCACCAAUUGUUGAAAGAAAGAUUGGAAGGCCCAAAAAAUCCAGAAAAAGAGCAGCAAAUAAGCCUCAGAAAUUAAGAGAAAAGAAAAUUCUUUGUCAUUUGCUCAUUUUGUGGUGGUUCUAAUCACAAUGUGAGAAGCUGUCUGUUGACGCCAUCUGUUGCAAGGUCAAAUAGAGCGAGGAACAAUAAUUUUCAGGUAUAUUUAAUAUACUAUUAUUAUUUAUUAUGUUUAUCAUUAUUUAUUAUGUUUAAUAUAUUUAUACUGUUGUUAUGUUUACUAUCAUAAUGGUUUGUAGGCAUCAACAACAUCAAGCCAGCCAUUAAAUGCUUCACAGCAGGCAAGAUUGAGAAGAAAACAGGUGCUGCUAGCAGUUCGUUUGUGCCUUCAUAGUUUGUUUUAUGUGUAAUAUAAAAUUCAUUUACAAAUCAACAUAUUUUAUAGGCAGCAGUAGCAAAGUCAAUUGGUUCAGGCCAGCCAGUAGCUACUGCAUCUGAAACAGCAAGAAAGGUGUUAUCUUGGUUCAAUAUUUGUAUAUUUUUGUAUUUUUUGUUCAAGUUCUUAAACUAACAUAAUAUAUAAUUUAGAUACCUAGUGGCCCAGGUCAAAGUUCGAAUGCUGGAACAAAGAAAAGAAGGGCUCUUCGAGGUGCUGGAACAAGGGAAAGACAAUCAAGUCCAAGACUGAACCAAUCCCAAAAUUCAUCUCAAGCUUCAAUUAUCACAGGUUCUUUGUAAUGGAACAAACUAAACUUGUUUAAACAAACUAAACUUGUUAACUUGCCAUUUUGGUUGUUAUUUUGGCAUAUUACUGGUUAUUUUGGAUAAUUAUGUGGUUGUCAAAGGUCAUUUAUAAUGUAUUUUGAUGAUAUGAUUAAUGGUUAUUUUGGUUGUACUUUUGGAUAACUAUGAUAUGAUAAUAUUUUCCAAUUAUUGUGGUUAACAAAAUGUUAUUUAGGGUGUAUUUAAAUGCAAUUGCAAAGAUCGAUACUAGGACUGUCAACAAUAAGCUUUUAUUUCAGUAAUGCAUGUUUUAUAGGAUACAUUACAUUUUAAUAAAUACAAUUGCACAGAGGCACACUAGCAGUAUUAUUAUAUAUUUAAGCUUUCCUUCAAUCAGCCUAAGCCUUUUCUUUAUCUUCACCAUCUCAUCAGCUCCAAGGUUUACUGCAUUUGGCUCCAAAUUUUGAUUAUCUACCAUUUGAUCACUUCUACUAGGGUAUAUGAGAGCUUCAGUAGUAAACCAUUGCCAAAACUUGCAUUUGUUCAACCUGCAUGACCAAAACAUUGCAUUAGGAUUUUGUGGUGUAGUGGAAACCAUAGCACACGCCUGCAUGCCACACCAGUAGUACUUGGGAAUGCAUUUAAUUUUUCUCUGUGGCUGUCCACUGGCUGCAGAACUUGAACUAUAACUUGAUGCCAUUUUAAAUGUGUAGAUGAUUUGUUUCAAUGAAUGGUUAAUCAAGUGAUGUGAGGAUGAUGGUUGAGCAGGUCUUGAGUUUGAAUGAAUGAAUGGUUGAGUGGCUGUAAUGUUUCUGAUUAGUAUUAAAAAUUGUUUAAUUAUCAAGCGAUAAUAUGUUAUUUUAUGCUUAUAUUAUAAUUUAUAUUUGUAUUUAUGUAAUUUAUUAUGAAUUAUGAAUUAUGUUUUAAAUAUAUUUAAUUUUUUGUAUUUUUAUGUGCUUAUUAGGAAAAAUAUUAAUUUCACGUACUUUGAGGCUCCAAACAGAUAAACGGAGGUCAAAUUUGGAUUCCGGAGGUCCGAAAACCUUAAGAUCAGUCAAGAUCGGCUUAAAAUUGGGCUUGUGUAAAAAAAGUUGACUUUUCCUGUUGACCGAGUACUGAUUGGAUGAUGAAAUGAGCUUACAAUAGAUAUGAGUGCAUGGGAUAGCUGGCAAUCUUGACCAAAUCUAAACCGUUCAUGAUUCAAUGGCCAUGAUUGUGCCACGUGGCAAUGGUUGGUGAAGCAAGUUGGAGGAUCCGAAUCUUUGUAUUCGGGUCGACCCGAUCCACCCAUUAACCCGCCAAAUCUCAACCGUUCUUUGGGUAAAUCGGACGAGUCAAAUGAUGCCAUGUGUGAUGUUGACUUUUAAAGUUUGACCAGCCAUUGGAUCUUGAUCUAAGGGUUGUGAGGAGCACAUGCUUGAAGCCUAUGAUGGACCACAAAGCACUGGAUUAUGAAUUUAAUUUUCUAUAAAUAGGGCCUCAUUUUUAUGUUUUAAUCAUCUCUCUACAACUCUCUUCUUCUCAAAUUCUCUUCAUCUCCUUGUAAUCUUCAUUUCCAGGUGUGUUUUUAAUAUUUUGUAUAAUUAUUUUCAUUAAUAAAAUUAGUUUUAUUUCCAAUUUUAGUUGUUUUUAUUUCUUUUAAUUAUAAGUAAUGCAAUUUUACUACUUCUUUUUAUUUUAAUUAUCCUUAACUAAAUAAUAUUAGUUAGGGGAAGGUGAAACUCUUAGGAAAUAAAUAUGAUUUAAUCAAAUUCUAUUUUUAAUUUUAUAAAUUAAAUUAUUUUCUAUUUAAUUUUAUACAUGUUUUAUAUUUUGAAAUUUUGAUUUAUUGUAGACAAACAAAUGAAUUUGGCACAAUAAAUUCUUAAGAUCUUAAUAUAAGGCAUGGUGAAAUGGUAUUUUGACUUAUUGUAGACAAAUAAAUUUUGGCACAAUAAAUACUUAAUCCAUCAUAAAAUUAAAGGGAAAAUAAUAAUAAUUUGUAUAAUUAAUCUUUUGGGUAAUAAAUCUAAAAAAAUUGGCAAAAAGAAUUUAUUAAGUUUUAUUUACUACUAAGAGUGGAUCCAUAACCCUAAUUAGUUCAAUUUCAUAGUUUCAUUUAAAUUAAGUUGUUUAUAUUCAAGUUUUAAUUUCAAUUUUUAGAUAAAAUAAAACAAUCAAAUUAAAUCUUUUCUCUGUGGAUCGACCUCGGACUCACCGAGUUAUAAUACAACAAGACACUCUUAUACUUGGGAGUUAAAUAUUACUUUUAAGUUGUGUCAAGUUUUUGGCGCCGUUGCCGGAGAAAUUUUUUUUUUAUUUGGUUUGUUUUUCCCUUUUUAUUUUUCUCUUAUAUGUAAAAUUUCGUUUGCCCCCUUUUCCUUUUCUUAAAUUUUGUUUUGUCCCUAUAUCUUUUAUAAUUCGCGUUUCAUCCCAACAAUUCUCGUUUCUAGCCCAAUCUUCUGGUAAUUACAUUCUGACCCCAACAUCUUUCAGUCGUUUCACUUUCAUCCCAAAAGGCUCAAUUCUAAACUUCUAAAAAUUACAGUUUGACCAUAAAAUUAAAAAUAAUUUGUAAUAAAAUACCUAGACGAAAUUCUCAAAAUAAUCAAGACUUGGACAUACUUUGGACAUAUUUUGGACAUACUUUGGACAUAUUUGGACUUAUUUUGGACCAAACUAACUUUAACUACUAACUCUAAUUACUAACUCUUAACUUACUAACUGCUAACUCCUAACUUUUUUUUUUAAUUUCAGUUAUUUAAUUUUCUGCAUUUAUUUUAUUUCGUAUUUAUUUAUUUAUUUUUGCUUCAUUGGUGGGUUUAACCACCAAACUAACUACUAACUCUUAACUUUAAUUUUCAGUUAUUUAUUUAAUUUUGUAUUUUUUAAUUGGUGGGUUCAACCACCAUUUUUUUUCUAUUAUUAUUUUGCAUUUAUUUUACUUAAUUGGUGGGUUCAACCACCAAAAUUGUUAUUUAAUUUUCUUUUGUAUACAUAUAUUAUUUGCUUAUUUAUUUUUUAUUUUGUUAUCAAUUUGUGUAAAUAUUAUCUUUAUAACAUAACCCUUGCAUGAGACGUUGGUCUCGAUCUUCAAGUAGCAGGUUAAUUCGUAGAUCUCAAUCUCCACCACCAAUCAUGGAUGAGAAUGAAGGCGAAAACGUUUUGGGCGAACUUAAUCCUCAAAUUGAUCAGGGAGACAACCAAUCUCAACAUGGGCAUGAUCAGAAUCAACCAAGGACUCUGAGAGACUACAUGAAUCCAACCAGAACCGGAGCACCGUCGUGUAUAGUAUUUCCUCCAGAAGCAUCUCGAUUCAACUUUAAACCAGGUAUUAUCCAGCUUUUACCAACAUUUCAUGGUUUAGAAUCUGAGAAUCCAUACUUGCAUCUAAGAGAUUUUGAGGAAGUUUGUAAUACAUACACGGACCAAAAUUGUAGCAUGAACAUAAUUAGAUUAAAGUUUUUUCCUUUUUCAUUAAAAGAUAAAGCUAAAACUUGGCUACAAAACCUUAGAUCUGGAUCAGUAAGAACUUGGAAUAACAUGCAAGAACAGUUUUUGAAAAAAUUCUUUCCACCUCAUAGAACAAAUUCUUUUAAAAGGCAAAUCACUUCUUUCACUCAAAAAAAUGGAGAAACAUUAUACCAAUGUUAGGAUAGGUUUAAAGAGUUGCUUAACAUAUGUCCACAUCAUGGUUUUGAAACUUGGCGAUUGGUCACUUACUUCUACGAGGGCUUAAUACCCCAAAGUAGACAGGUUGUUGAAAUGAUGUGUAAUGGUGAAUUUAGGGAUAAAAAUCCUGAAGAUGCACUAGAUUACCUUGACCAAUUAGCUGAAAAUGCACAACAUUGGGAUACUGUUGGAACUUUUGAAUUAACAAAUAAGCAACAAUCAUCCCCAUCUAGUGGAGGAAUCCAUAACCUUAGGGAAGAUCAUAAUUUACAAGCAAAAUUUGCAUCCCUAGUUAGGAAAGUUGAAGCUUUGAGCAUAAAAAGAGUGAUCAAGUCAAAUCUAUUUAAGAAAUUGCAUGUAACAUAUGUAGUUCGAAUGAUCAUUUCACUCAAGAGUGUCCUACUUUGCCUGCACUUAAAGAAUGUCUAAAUGAUCAAGCUAAUGUCAUUAACACUUUCAAUAAACCAAACCCAUAUUCACAGACUUAUAAUCCUAGUUGGAGAAAUCAUCCGAAUUUCAGUUGGAGGAAUAAUAAUAAUGCACAAUCUUCACAAGCACCACCUCCACAAAAUUUUCAAAAUCCUCAGCCUUAUGCACCAUAUGUUCCAUCACCCUGGAAAAAUCUAGAAGACACAAUGCAUUCAUUCAUCAGAAAGCAAGAUGUUAUUAACAAUCAAAAUGCACAAACUUUUUCUUAUUUGAAAGAUACUCUUGCUAAAAUUGCUUUUGCACUCACCAUUCAAGAAAAAGGAAAAUUUCCAGCUCAACCACAACCAAAUCCUAAAAUUCAACAAAAUCCACCCACGGACCAAGUCAAGUCAGUUAUAACUCUUCGUAGUGGUAAGGUUGUUGAUAGACCUAUGCCUGAACCUUAUGAAAAUGAUGAAAAUUCAAAGGGUAAGGAAGGACUAAAUGAACUUACACCUAGUGAAGAAAUAACUAGUGUUCCACCUGAACCACCAUUUCCGCAUGCAUUGAAUAAACCAAAGAAAUCAAACCACUCUUCUGAAAUUUAUGAAAUCUUUAAGCAAGUGAAAGUUAACAUUCCUUUAUUAGAUGCAAUCAAGCAUGUUCCUUCAUAUGCCAAAUUUUUAAAGGACUUGUGCACUGUUAAGAGGAAAUUGAAGGUAAGAAAGAGUGCUUUCAUGGCCGAACAGGUAAGUACAAUUCUGUCUACUAAUAAUAAGUUGAAAUAUAAAGAUCCUGGUUGUCCUACCAUUUCUUGUAUUAUUGGUAACCACAGAAUUGAACAUGCUUUAUUAGAUCUUGGUGCUAGUGUUAAUUUGCUUCCAUAUUCAGUUUAUCUUCAACUUAAUCUUGGUGAGUUAAAAUCAACUUCAACUACACUUUUGCUUGCGAUAGAUUAGUUAAAGUACCAAAAGGAANNNNNNNNNNNNNNNNNNNNNNNNNNNNNNNNNNNNNNNNNNNNNNNNNNNNNNNNNNNNNNNNNNNNNNNNNNNNNNNNNNNNNNNNNNNNNNNNNNNNNNNNNNNNNNNNNNNNNNNNNNNNNNNNNNNNNNNNNNNNNNNNNNNNNNNNNNNNNNNNNNNNNNNNNNNNNNNNNNNNNNNNNNNNNNNNNNNNNNNNNNNNNNNNNNNNNNNNNNNNNNNNNNNNNNNNNNNNNNNNNNNNNNNNNNNNNNNNNNNNNNNNNNNNNNNNNNNNNNNNNNNNNNNNNNNNNNNNNNNNNNNNNNNNNNNNNNNNNNNNNNNNNNNNNNNNNNNNNNNNNNNNNNNNNNNNNNNNNNNNNNNNNNNNNNNNNNNNNNNNNNNNNNNNNNNNNNNNNNNNNNNNNNNNNNNNNNNNNNNNNNNNNNNNNNNNNNNNNNNNNNNNNNNNNNNNNNNNNNNNNNNNNNNNNNNNNNNNNNNNNNNNNNNNNNNNNNNNNNNNNNNNNNNNNNNNNNNNNNNNNNNNNNNNNNNNNNNNNNNNNNNNNNNNNNNNNNNNNNNNNNNNNNNNNNNNNNNNNNNNNNNNNNNNNNNNNNNNNNNNNNNNNNNNNNNNNNNNNNNNNNNNNNNNNNNNNNNNNNNNNNNNNNNNNNNNNNNNNNNNNNNNNNNNNNNNNNNNNNNNNNNNNNNNNNNNNNNNNNNNNNNNNNNNNNNNNNNNNNNNNNNNNNNNNNNNNNNNNNNNNNNNNNNNNNNNNNNNNNNNNNNNNNNNNNNUUAGAAGAGUAGCAGGACAUCCUUACUACUGUUUUUAGAUGGAUAUAUAGGUAAUUAUCAAAUACCUAUAGCCCUAGAGGACCAAGAAAAGACCACAUUCACAUGUCCUUUAGGAACAUUUGCAUUUAAAAGAAUGCCAUUCGGGCUUAGUAAUGCUCCUGCAACAUUUCAAAGAUGUAUGUUAAGCAUUUUUUGUGAUAUGGUUGAACAUUGUUUAGAGGUCUUUAUGGAUGAUUUGACUGUGUUUGGGAAUUCUUUUGAUGAUUGCCUUGAUAAUUUGGAGAAAGUUUUAAAAAGAUGUAUUGAAAAAGAACUCGUGUUGAAUUGGGAAAAAUGUCACUACAUGGUUACUUCUGGAAUUGUUUUGGGUCAUGUUGUUUCUAUUAAAGGAAUUGAAGUUGACAAAGCAAAAAUUGAAGUCAUAUCUAAAUUGCCACAACCAAAAACAGUUAGAGAUGUGCGAUCCUUUUUAGGACAUGCAGGAUUUUAUAGGAGGUUUAUAAAAAACUUUAGUGCCAUAUCUAAACCACUUUGUAACCUCUUAUUAAAAGAUGCACCAUUUGAAUGGAAUGAUGAUUGCCAAAAAUCGUUUGAAAAAAUAAUUUGUCUUUUAACAUCUGCACUUAUUAUGCAAUCUCCUGAUUGGUCUUUGCCAUUUGAAUUAAUGUGUGAUGCGAGUGAUUUUGCUAUUGGUGUUGUUUUAGGACAAUGAAGGGAUGGUAAGCCUUUUGUGAUUUAUUAUGCAAGUAAGACUUUAGAUAGUGCUCAAAUGAAUUAUUCUACAACUGAAAAAGAAUUACUUGCUGUGGUAUUUGCAUUAAACAAAUUCCGUUCAUAUUUGCUUGGCUCUAAAUCUGUUGUGUUUACUGACCACGCUGCUGUGAGAUAUUUGAUGAGUAAACAGGAUGCCAAACCGAGACUAAUUCGUUGGAUUUUGUUACUACAAGAAUUUGACCUUACCAUCAAAGAUAAAAAGGGUGCUGAAAAUGUUGUUGCAGAUCAUCUAUCAAGACUCACAUCCGAAUUCUGCAAUGAUAUAACACCCAUAAAUGAUUCUUUCCCUGAUGAAUUUUUAUUUUCUGUUACUUCAAUGCCAUGGUAUGCUAACAUUGUUAAUUUCCUUGUUACAGGUAAAAUGCCUUUGCAAUGGAAUGCUCAAGAGAAGAAGAAAUUUUUUGUUGAAGUAAAGAAAUUUUAUUGGGAUGACCCUUAUUUGUUCAAAUAUUGCCCAGAUCAAAUUUUUCGGCGAUGUAUUCCUGAUAAUGAGGUAAGUAGUGUCAUUAAUUUUUGUCAUUCUGAAGCAUGUGGUGGUCAUUUUUCUUCAAGAAAAACUACUGCUAAAAUUUUGCAGUGUGGAUUUUAUUAGCCUACCAUGUUUAAAGACACAUAUGAAUUCUGCAAAAGCUGUGAAAAAUUUCAAAAAUUGGGAUCAAUUACAAAAAGAAUCAUGAUGCCCUUAAAUCCCAUACUUGAAAUUGAAAUAUUUGACUGUUGGGGAAUUGAUUUCAUGGGUCCAUUUCCAUCAUCUUUUGGAUUUGUGUAUAUAUUAGUUGCAGUUGAUUAUGUCUCAAAAUAGAUUGAAGUAAUUUCUUGUCGAAAUAAUGAUAGUAAAAAUGUGAUUAAAUUUUUAAGAGAAAACAUUUUAAGUCGAUUUGGAAUCCCUCGAGCCAUUAUCAGUGAUGGAGGUAAGCAUUUUUGUAAUAAGUCAUUUGAGUUUUUAAUGAAGAAAUAUGGAAUUACACAUAAAAUUGCUACCCCUUAUCAUCCUCAAACAAAUGGUCAAGUUGAAUUAGCAAAUAGGGAGAUAAAACAAAUUUUGGAAAAAACGGUUAACCCAAACCGAAAAGAUUGGUCUCUUAGACUUAAUGAUGCACUUUGGGCUUACCAUACUGCAUUUAAAACGUCCUUAGGAAUGUCACCCUAUCGGUUAAUUUAUGGUAAACCUUGUCAUUUACCUGUUGAACUUGAACAUAAAUCACUUUGGGCUAUUAAAGCUUUUAAUUCAAAUUUGGAUGAUGCUGGUAAUGUGCGAAAAUUACAAUUGAAUGAACUUGAGGAAUUAAGGAAUGAUGCAUAUGAAAAUUCAAAAAUUAUUAAGGCAAGAACAAAAGCAUUUCAUGAUAAAAGAAUUUUUCGAAAAACAUUUGAGAUUAGUCAAAAAGUGUUGCUUUAUAAUUCUCGUCUUCAUUUAUUUCCAGGGAAGUUAAAGUCAAAAUGUAGUGGCCCAUUUGUUGUAAAAAAUGUAUAUUCACAUGGAGCCAUAGAAAUUGAGAAUAAAAAAAACGGUGUCACAUUUAAAGUUAAUGGCCAAAGAUUAAAACCAUAUCUGGAACAUCACACACGUGACGAGGACACCGAAAUUAAUUUGGGUGACCCACCAGUUCUUGAUUAAGUCUUUAAUGAUUUUUUUUAAUUUUAUUUUACUAUUAUUUUACCGUUUCAUUGUUUGAUUUUUUUCCUUUUUCUCUAGAUUGAUGCACUGUACAUAGUUUUUUUUAACAUUGUUUUUCUUGUGUAAGCGUGUUUGUUUGACAGUUGUACAUUCUCUCAUCAAUUUCCAUUUUACAUCAUGAGCACCUCAAUGAGAAAAUUCCUGUUCGCACAUCUUAAAAGAUUUCUUCGUGUGAAAUUUCACUUAAGAGGCCUGAUACAAAGCUGUAAAUCACAUCCACUUUGGGAUCUGCAACCACCAGAAUUCGUGUCCUAUGUUGAGGAUCUAAAGGAACAACUCAGAACAGUAGAGAGUGGCAUAUAUAAAUUUCAAUUGGAGCUUGAGGUUAACUCAAUGAGAGGACGAAUGUAAGUUCAUUUUCCUUUUUAUAUUGUGUGCUUCUUUUUGCUCGCUUUCACGCUUGAUUUGAUUUUGCAGAUUUGAUUUUGGUGAGUUUUGAUUUAUUUUCCCGUAUAAAUGGCGGAUAACGGUACUCCGUGACUUCUUAAGUCGGUAUCUUCAGUUUCCCACAAUAACUGAAACCCCAAAAUCAAACAUGGAAAAAAUACAACAUAAACUGCAUAAGCACUUUCCUUCUCUCCCUCAGAAUGCCCUCAGGAAAAUUUACAAAGCUCGUUGUGAACGACUGCGUUUGUUAAUGAUCAAUGGCAUUCCUUUUGACAUUCGUUGGUUAAUUGAAGCAAAGGUCCGAUUAGCAGGUGAGUUUUCUGAUCCAUUUGUUUCUUACAUGCCUGGUUUUGGUAAAAGUACGUUUGCUAAGAAAAGGAGAGCUAAACGACUUGGCUCAAAAUGUCAUAACUGUGUAAGACUUGGUUGCAAACGACCAGAUUGUAAAUCUUUAGGAAUGGUUUCUGAUACUCGUGAAGAUAAAAUUAAAUUCGUUAAAGAUGGCAUGAGUAAAGAAUCGUUGGAUGAUAUCUUAUGAUCUCUUGAGACGCAUCGAAGCGGAUUUGUGCAACGAGAAAUUUAUAAUUUGUGGAUACUAUUCCAAAAACAAAGUGCACAGUUUAGUCUUAGGAAUUUGACUCAAAAAGACCCUGUUUGUCAGUUUGUAAGAAAACUGGAUGGGAAGCCAAUCCUCGACCCAUAGAGGGCGUUUAAGCCGUUACUGGACGUAAAACCAGAGGAAGAUGUGAGCCACAAUCACAACUACCAGUAAAUAUCCUUUCACUUCACUGUUAUUUUACUUUACUGUUAUUUUAUCAUUUGCAUUAUUGCAUUUAGCGGUGUGAUUUUGUAUUUAAUAAAUAUUUGUUUUCUUUUAUUGUUUGCUUUUUCUAAUCAUUAUUUUCUUUUUACUGUUUGUUUUUGAAUUAUUGAGCCACGAGCUUUACUCGUCAUUUGACAAAUAUGCCAACCCAUUUACAGCUGUUUCUCAUUAUUUAUGUCACCAAGAUCUUUAAAUAUGAGCUCGUUUUUCAAACACUCACAACCUGUUUUUGAAAAAUUAGUCCAAUGGCAGCAUCUUCGAGUAAACAAUUCAAAAAUAUUUGUGUGCUUUCUGGGUAUCACUAUGGAAAGUACAAAGAGUUUGUUCAGGCAGCAGUAGAUCUUGGUCGUGUCAUAGCAGAGAGGAAACUGCAUCUUGUAUAUGGAGGAGGUGAACGAGGGUUAUCAAGACUUGUCUCAGAAGCUGUUUUUACCAGAGGAAGUCAAGUACUCGGCAUUAUCCCAAAACCCAUGAAACCGCUAGUGUGCUUGUCUGGCCCACCAAUUGGGGAAGAAUUAGUGGUAUCAAGUAUGCAAGAGAGACUAUCUGAAAUGAUGAAUCAAGCUGAUGCUUUUAUUUUUUUGCCAGGAGAUCUUGCAACUUUUGAGGCACUAAUUACAUUUGCAUCUUGGGCCCACUUGAACAUUCAUCAAAAACCCAUCGGUUUGUUAAAUGUUAAUAACUUUUAUGACGGCUUGCUAACUUUUAUUAACCAUACAAUAAAGAAUCAUUUUGUUCCACAUUCUGUAAAAAAAAACUCUUUAUCUUUGUUUCUACUGCUAAUGAGUUACUUAAUCUCUUACAAGCUUAUACACCAGAGCCAGAUCCAAAGACUUUUGAAUUGAAUUGGUCGACUGAUGAUGGUAGCGGUAACAGUAGCAGUAAUAAGAAGCGCGAUUUAGAUUUAACUCUCCGUCUAUAAAUAUUUUCUGUUGUAGUGUUCAUGUACUGUCUUCUAAACUCUUUCUUUUUCCUUUUAAAACAUUAAGAACAAUGUCUUUUUCAGGUUGGGGGGAGGGAAUAGUUGAUAAUUGUGGAAUGUCUUAGUCCUGGUUAUGUUUUUACAAAAAAAAAAACAAAAACAAAAAAAAAACAAAAUUUUUUUUUUCUGUAAAGACUAACUUAGGACAAAUUUGAGUCGAAGAUGGCAGGAUAUAGAGAAUGUAGUCUCUCUAAAAACGCAUCUUCUUAAUCUUAAGGGUGUUGUUAAAAAAAAAAAAAUUUGACUUUUUCUUCAUUUUUGUUAUCUUCUUUUAAGCUUCUGCAUCAAGUUCAGGUAAGAUCUCCUCUUCUUCUUCUUUUAUUAUUCUCUUUUAUUUUUUAUUCAUUUUUUCUUUUUCUUUUUGCAUAUCUGUAAAAUUAUAAAAUGUUAAGAUAAUGUUUAGAUUAGGUUGUGGGGUGGGGAUAAUUGACGUAUGUUUUAAAUAUGUGUGUUGUUUUUCUCUUUUCUCUUUUCUUUUCUUUGUCAAAAAAAAAAAAAACAAAAUAUUUUUUUUUGGUCUAGGAUGGCCGUGUAAAGAGUCACGACUUUUGAGACGCAUCCUAAUAGUCUUAUUGUAUUAUAUUUUGAUUUUGAAAUUCAUAGUAAGUUGUUUUUGUUCCCUUUUCUUUGAAUUACUCAAAUUUGUGAACUCUCCACUUGGUUAUUAAGUUAUUUAAUUGUUUACUCAUUUAACAGGUAUUAUUGAAUCAUUCUUCACACACACAUUAUGACACAUACUAGUGGGUUGUAAGUUAAAAUUUUACAGCAUUUAGUUCUUUUGAUUUAUUAGGAAAAGUAUCUAAGGUAGUCGAAAGUGUAUAUUUCAAAAAAAAAUAAAAAAAAAGAAAAAAAUUAUUGUUUGUUAUAUCUAGAAACUCGAGUAAUUAAGUCCGUAGGGGUGUUUCAACACCUAGUGCCCUAAGGUCAACUGGUCUGGGAGUCACUGGCCUAAAGCUCGCUACAUGGGUAAUAGAUAUAUUGUUUGUUUAUUAGAAACCCGAGUAAUUAAGUCCGUAGGGGUGCUUCAACACCUAGUGCCCUAAGGCCAACUGGUCUGGGAGUCACUGACCUAAAGCUCGCUACACGGGUUAGAAAUAUAAUACAAAAAAAAAUAUGUGUGAAUAAUCUAUUGCCUAAAGAUAUAAUUUCUAAUGAAUUUUAGAACGAAAAUGUUGUUUUUCUUUUAAUAAAGCCCCAUAAGUAUUGUGUUAAUUACUUGAGCACAAAAGAAGGUUUGAUGAUACUCUGGAUAAUGAGUGAACAUCAAUGUGGUAAAGGAAUUUAGGAGAGUUCAUUUAUUUGGUAAUUUAGAGGAUAGAUGAACAAUUAUUAACUUGCAUGUGAAUUUUAUAAAUCUUAAUAUAACGCUUUAAUUGCUAGAGGGCUAGCAAUAAGCUGGUUGGGGGGUGUGAUUAGUAUUAAAAAUUGUUUAAUUAUCAAGCGAUAAUAUGUUAUUUUAUGCUUAUGUUAUAAUUUAUAUUUGUAUUUAUGUAAUUUAUUAUGAAUUAUGAAUUAUGUUUUAAAUAUAUUUAAUUUUUUGUAUUUUUAUGUGUUUAUUAGGAAAAAUAUUAAUUUCACGUACUUUGAGGCUCCAAACAGAUAAACGGAGGUCAAAUUUGGAUUCCGAAGGUCCGAAAACCUUAAGAUCAGUCAAGAUCGGCUUAAAAUUGGGCUUGUGUAAAAAAAGUUGACUUUUCCUGUUGACCGAGUACUGAUUGGAUGAUGAAAUGAGCUUACAAUAGAUAUGAGUGCAUGGGAUAGCUGGCAAUCUUGACCAAAUCUCAACUGUUCAUGAUUCAAUGGCCAUGAUUGUGCCACGUGGCAAUGGUUGGUGAAGCAAGUUGGAGGAUCCGAAUCUUUGUAUUCGGGUCGACCCGAUCCACCCAUUAACCCGCCAAAUCUCAACCGUUCUUUGGGUAAAUCGGACGAGUCAAAUGAUACCAUGUGUGAUGUUGACUUUUGAAGUUUGACCAGCCAUUGGAUCUUGAUCUAAGGGUUGUGAGGAGCACAUGCAUGAAGCCUAUGAUGGACCGCAAGGCACUGGAUUAUGAAUUUAUUUUUCUAUAAAUAGGGCCUCAUUUUUAUGUUUUAAUCAUCUCUCUACAACUCUCUUCUUCUCAAAUUCUCUCCAUCUCCUUGUAAUCUUGAUUUCCAGGUGUGUUUUUAAUAUUUUGUAUAAUUAUUUUCAUUAAUAAAAUUAGUUUUAUUUCCAAUUUUAGUUGUUUUUAUUUCUUUUAAUUAUAAGUAAUGCAAUUUUACUACUUCUUUUUAUUUUAAUUAUGCUUAACUAAAUAAUAUUAGUUAGGGGAAGGUGAAACUCUUAGGAAAUAAAUAUGAUUUAAUCAAAUUCUAUUUUUAAUUUUAUAAAUUAAAUUAUUUUCUAUUUAAUUUUAUACAUGUUUUAUAUUUUGAAAUUUUGAUUUAUUGUAGACAAACAAAUGAAUUUGGCACAAUAAAUACUUAAUCCAUCAUAAAAUUAAAGGGAAAAUAAUAAUAAUUUGUAUAAUUAAUCUUUUGGGUAAUAAAUCUAAAAAAAUUGGCAAAAAGAAUUUAUUAAGUUUUAUUUACUUCUAAGAGUGGAUCCAUAACCCUAACUAGUUCAAUUUCAUAGUUUCAUUUAAAUUAAGUUGUUUAUAUUCAAGUUUUAAUUUCAAUUUUUAGAUAAAAUAAAACAAUCAAAUUAAAUCUUUUCUCUGUGGAUCGACCUCGGACUCACCGAGUUAUAAUACAACAAGACACUCUUAUACUUGGGAGUUAAAUAUUACUUUUAAGUUGUGUCAGUUUCAAUGUGUUAUGAUGAAUGGUACAGUUAUGAUGUGUUAUGGAUUAUGGUUGUAUGAGGAGGUUUAUAUGUCUGGUUGGGAGCAGCUUGCAUGGUUGAAUGGCCUCUUCAUGCAUGCUGAUUCUUGUGUUUAUAUUCCCCAAAUUGUAGCCGUUGGCAGCUAACGGCUACAAUAACAAACUGCCAUUUUUUGCUUUUUUUGAGGGUGAAAUUGUUAUUUUUGUUCUGGGGGCAAAAUAGUCAUUUGACUAAGAAUCCGUUAGUUUUCGUAACGGGCAGCAAACGGAAGUGAAGAAGUGAAACAAAAUAUAAGUUUAGGUGGAUUCCAGCCAAAAAAAAAAGAAUUGUGUAUUUUUGAUAAAGUUGGAAAAAAUAAGUGGACGGUGGAUAUUUUCCCUUAUUAUUAUUAUUAUUAUUAUUAUUAUUAUUAUUAUUAUUAUUAUUUCCUUUUAACAAAAAUUAAGCUGAGACAACAAUAUAUGCCCAAAAUACCCCUCACAUUAUCCCAAACUUUCUAAACUCCCCCACUCCUCUCAACAUCAUCUCUUCCAAAUCUUUCUUCCUCCAAAAAGCAGCCAUGGCUUCAAAUUCAAUCACCUCAACACUCCAAUAUUGGCUUGUAAACCACCCCCAAAUCCUCAACUUCACAUGGACUCAAAACCAAACCCCAGCUUCCUCCCCACACUUCCUCAUUCUCUCCAUCCUCACUUACCUCUCCCUCACAUUCAUCCUCUACCACAAAUUAACGCCAACAUCACCAUCAUCAUCACCUCUCAUUGGACCCCACAUCCUCAAGCUCAUCACAGCCGUCCAUAACCUCACCCUCCUCCUCCUCUCCCUUGUCAUGGCCUUUGGUUGCACUCUCUCCAUCGUCCUCCAUUCACCCGACCUCCGUCACACCCUCUGUUUGCCCCCCACCAUUUCUGCCUCCGGUCCCCUCUUCUUCUACGCUUACAUCUUCUACCUCUCCAAAAUACUCGAAUUCCUAGACACCCUUUUGAUCAUUUUGUCAAACUCCAUCCAACGGCUCACGUUCCUCCACGUCUACCACCAUGCAACCGUCGUCGUAAUGUGCUACCUUUGGUUACAGACGAAGCAGUCUUUGUUUCCUAUCGCACUUGUCACCAAUGCAAGUGUGCACGUGAUCAUGUACGGGUACUAUCUAUUGUGUGUGAUGGGGUUGCGGCCAAAGUGGAAGAGAUUGGUCACUGACUGUCAGAUUGUUCAGUUCGUGUUUAGUUUUGUUGUUUCAGUUUUGAUGCUGUAUUAUCAUUUUGCGGGAUUUGGAUGCUCUGGGAUCUUGGGUUGGUGCUUCAAUGCUGUGUUUAAUGCUUCUCUUUUGACACUUUUUAUUAAUUUUCAUUCCAAGAGCUAUGCUAAGAAAAAGCAGGGAUGAUCAAAACAAAUCGUCGUUGUGAUUGUUCUCUGUGUGUUUUUUUUUUUUUUUUUUGGUUAAUUAUGACUGGUUGUGAUCGGUUCAUUGCAUUUGACAGAGAUGUUGAAGGGUUAUGUUCUGGAAAAUAGAAAUUAAACCAAAAUUAUCACUAGAACUGGUACAUUAUUACCAUCACAGAUCAAGAUCUGAAUGGACGCAUAGCAGCCAUCCUCAAAACCAAAGGAGGAGAAAAUUGAAAUAGAACAACCACCUUAAGGUGAAGAAGGCCAGAACAAGACACACAUCCUCAAAUCAUAAGGAAGAGGUGGGUGCAACCGAAAAAAAAAAAAAGAAAUCAAGAAUCCACUGGAGAAGGCAAGAAAGAUUUUUGCCUCCGAAGAUUUGGUGAGGAAGAGAUGAGGAGUUUGGAGAGGAAAAGUUUUCGGAGAGAUCUACAGAUUAGCUUUAAAAGUGUGUUUUAAAGAGAAAGUUGUUGAGAACUUGAGAGGAUACAGAGGACGGAACUACCUUACCUUCCUUAUACCAAA
rnacentral:lncRNA from 1 species